AGAUGAAAGACCUACUGAGCGAACAGUAGUAGGCUUGCAAUCACAACUUGAACAAGUCUGGAGAUGUCUUGUAGAAGAAUCAGCGGGAAUCAUUGGCCUAUAUGGUAUGGGCGGUGUUGGUAAAACUACACUACUGACCCAUAUCAACAACAAAUUUCUCGAGAGUCCAACCAACUUUGAUUGUGUGAUUUGGGUUGUAGUUUCAAAAGACCUGCGACUCGAAAAAAUUCAAGAAGAUAUUGGGAAAAAGAUAGGUUUGGUUGGUGAUUCAUGGAAGAGUAAAAGUGUAGAGGAGAAAGCUGUCGACAUCUUCCGGAGUUUAAGAGAGAAGAGAUUUGUAUUGUUGUUAGAUGAUAUAUGGGAGCGGGUUGAUUUAACAAACGUGGGCGUUCCACUUCCCGGACCAAAAAAUACUACCUCAAAAGUCGUAUUCACAACCCGUUUCAUCGAUGUUUGUGGUAGCAUGGAAGUUGACAGGAAGUUUCAAGUAGCAUGCUUAUCAGAAAAGGAUGCUUGGGAACUGUUUCGAGAAAAAGUUGGGGAAGAAACUCUUGAGAGUCAUCAUGAUAUCGAUGAGCUAGCCCAAAUUGUGGUCAAAGAGUGUGGUGGUUUGCCACUCGCACUUAUUACUAUUGGUCGAGCUAUGGCCUACAGAAAGAAAGCGGAGCAGUGGAGACGUGCAAUUGAAGAGUUAAGGAGAUCAGCUUCAGAGUUUGCAGGUUUGGGAAAAGAGGUGUAUCCUCUUUUAAAAUUCAGCUACGAUAGUUUGCAGAAUGAUAGUUUGCAGAAUGAUACGGUUAGAUCUUGUUUCUUGUACUGUUGUUUAUAUCCUGAAGAUUAUGUCAUUCCUAAAUGGGACUUGAUUGAUUGUUGGAUUGGUGAGGGAUUUUUUGGGGAAUCUGACAGGUCUGGUGCAGAAAACCAAGGAUAUGACAUUUUGGACACUCUUGUUCGUGCAUGUUUAUUAGAAGAGGUGGAAGAUGAUAAAGUAAAAAUGCAUGACGUUAUUCGUGAUAUGGCUAUAUGGAUAACUUGUGAAAUUGAGAAGGAGAAUAGAAAAUUUUUGGUUUGUGCAGGUGCUGGAUUAAAAGAGGCACCGGGUGUUAAAGGAUGGGAAAAUGUGAGAAGAUUGUCAUUGAUGCAAAACCAAAUUGAAACUCUGUCAGAGGUUCCCACAUGCCCUCAUCUCCUCACUUUAUUUCUUGACUUUAAUUAUAAUUUGAGGAUGAUCGCGGAUGGCUUCUUCCAACUUAUGCCUUCUCUCAAAGUUUUGAAGAUGUCACUCUGCCGGAAUUUAACUUUGAAAUUACCUUUGGGGAUGUCAAAGUUAGGUUCACUGGAACUUCUCGAUAUUUCAUAUACCUACAUACAAGAGUUACCACAAGAGUUAAAGUUGUUGGUAAAUCUGAAAUGUUUGAAUUUGAGGUGUACACACAGGUUAAAUAAAAUUCCACGGCAACUAAUAUCAAAUUAUUCAAGGUUACGUGUGUUGAGAAUGUUCGCUAGUGGCUGGUUCAAUUUUCAUGAAGCAUCAGAAGAAAGCGUUUUAUUUGGUGGGGGUAAAGUUUUGAUACAGGAAUUGCUCGGUUUGAAAUAUUUAGAGGUAUUGGAGUUGACCUUGGGAAGUUAUCAUGCUCUCCAAAUUCUUUUGAGCUCAAAUAAGUUAAAAAGUUGUAUUCGAUCUCUUUACCUCCAUUUGACCGGAGAUACAGCGUCAAUUAUUGAUGCUACGGCUUUCGCAGAUCUAAACCACCUCAAUGAAUUAUGGAUUGAUAAUGGUAUUGAGUUGGAAGAAUUGAAGAUUGAUUAUACGGAGAUAGUACGAAAAAGGCGGGAACCUUUUGUUUUCCGCAGCCUUCACCGUGUUACCAUAUAUAGUUGCAGUAAAUUGAAAGAUGUGACAUUCCUCGUUUUCGCUCCAAACCUCAAGUCUCUUACGCUAUUCAAUUGCGGUGCUAUGGAAGAAAUAAUCAGCGUCGGAAAAAUUGCUGAGACUCCUGAGAUGAUGGGACAUAUAAGCCCUUUUGAAAAUCUCCAAAGGCUUAAUUUAAAAGAUUUGCCAAAUUUGAAGAGCAUCUACUGGAAGCCAUUGCCUUUUACUCGUCUGAAAGAAAUGGCGGUACUUGGGUGCGAUCAGCUUGAAAAGCUUCCGGUCGAUUCCAACAGUGCAAAAGAGCGUAAAUUUGUAAUUCGUGGAGAAGAAGACUGGUGGAACCGACUUCAAUGGGAGGAUGAAGCCACUCAAAUUGCUUUUCGUUCCUGUUUCCAACCUUAUUCCUGAGCGGUGGUCGCAAAAUUUGAUUUCUGGUGAGUGCGUUUUUCUUUGAACUCUUGUACAUAUUCUUGUCGUUUGCUUCACGCAAAACACUAGGUCUUUUCUUCAGUCCGUUACCUACACGCAAAACACUGGUUCUUUUCUCUGUUUUUAUUUCAGUUAGUUUCUCUCUCUCUCUCUCUCUCUGUGUCUUCUGUAAAUCACAAUUAAAUGUUGAAUUAAUGGAAUUAAUGCUUCAUAAAUUUGCCGGCACUGCCGUUACUUUAUUUUAGGGGGGUCGAAUUGGUGCUCUGGUUUUUUACUUUUUGCUGUCAAAUUUUGGCCUUUUUUUUUUUUUUAACAAGUUGAUACUUUAUUUAUAUCUUCUUAGCGAUUUAAUUUCCUGUCAAAAGAGGAACGAGAAGAACAUAUGACUUAAACCAAUGCUCGCAUAAACUUGCUGUAAAAAGAUGUAAUCUCACUGAAAUGCACACGUCUAGAAUGAAUAGAAUUAAAACAGGGAAAAUAUUAAGUAUAUUAGCCCUCUUUACCGAAAAUCAAAUGACAAUAAAUUUUUGGAAGUUUUGAUUUUCUACGGUCAAUUCGACCUUUUGCAAUUUCUUCUGUUCUAACAAAAACCAAAUUCUUUGUUCAAGUAUUUUCGUUUGGGUAUCAAGGAUCUCUAAUCAAUAGCUGGAAGCAAUUCAGAGGGCGCCGAGACCCGAUCCGACCUAGGCCCAAGUUUGGUCUUAAAGCCUGGGCUUGAGCCUGACAAUUAAAUUAAAACAUUAAUUGAUUUAUUGAUUGAAUUGUCGUGCAAUUGAUUUAUGGGGGAUGAAAAUUCAACAUACUUGAAAAUACACUAAUCUUAGCAUCAUCGGUUAAUAACUUUUAGAUUUAUGGGUAAUCAAUAGUUAAGAUCAGUUGUCAUUUAUUUUUUGAAAUGUCCAUAUUCAGUGUACAUUUGAAAAAGACCCAAUAAUUUCUCAUAAAUUUCAAUUAAAAAUAUUCAAUUUGUUAUUUCAGUUCUUUUAUUUUUUAUUUUUUCCAACAUGAAAGCGACUUAAUGUUACUAAAUUGAAGCCGCUGCCCCGCCUGUGGUUCCAAACUUUUAUCUUCCUCCUCCUUUAAAUUAAUGCGAGCAGCCUCCGUCCUUGACUAGUUGACUUCUUUUCUUCUUUUUUAAUUAAUUAAUUAAUUAAUUCAGCCGCCCACCUUUCUUUUCCCAAUGUCUUCUACUUUCGAUUUCCUUUUAUUUUCUCUUUAUUUUUAAAAUAUGCUUAUAGUAAUAAUAAAAAAUAAAAAUAAAAAUAAAAAUAAAAAUGAACAUAUUAAAAUAUAAUUUAUCAGAAAACCAAGAUAAAGAAAUAUUAUAAGCACAUCAAUCAAAAAGUGAAAAAAAAAACAAUUUUAAUUUACAUUAAAUAUAAACUUUCAGUGUUAAUCAACUUUUCUAAAUAACUGAAAUUAUUUAAAAUAAAAAUAAAUUAUUCUUCCCAAAAAAACAAAAAUUACACCCACUCUUGGCUGUAUGUCAAGAUUCGCUUUAAGGACUGAAGUUGGUAACUUUUGCAAGCAGUCUUAAAUUGAAUGGCAGCAACCCACGCUUUCAGAUUUAUGGUUAAUCAAUAGCUGAGAGUUGUUAUCGCUAAUGCCGUGUAUUUUUUUUAAUGUUUUUUCUCUCUCCUACAGCAUCUUCUAGGAAAGUGCAUCCGUUGCUAAAAUUUAGUAUUGUAAAUAAUAAACCAAGAAUAAAUAUUAAAUUUAAGAAACUGUAUUGCAUUUAAUAUUUAAGGGAGAAAAAUAAUUGUAGUGUCUUUAUUAAUCAGUAAAAAGAAAAGAUUAGAAUCAUAAUAAAUUGUAUUGUUAUUGAUGUAUUUAUUUUAUUUUAUACUCAAAAUAAAUUAUUUUAAAUUAUUAAAAUAUUAUUAUUGUUAUUCUAAUAAUAAUUAUUAUUUAAUAUUUAUUAAAAUAUUUGUCAUAUUACUAAAAAAGCAAUAAUAAUAAUGAUAAUAUUGGAAUUGUUGUUUUUUAUCUUAUUAUUAAUCAAAACACUUCUGGUUAGCCCAUUCAUACGUGAAGACCAAAACCAAAUCUCUUCUUCUCCUUCUUUUCUUAAAAUACGGGAUGUGUGUGCUCGGACUGCUCUCUCAUUCUUAAAACAAGACUUUUUGAAUUAUCCAAUUAAGUUAAAUUCUGUGGCAUCUGGUAUUUUCAUUUCUUGUUUAUUUCGCAAGUUAUUAUUGCCUAAUGCUAUGUCAACUCUAACAUUAGCAUAUAUAUUUUUUUUUUGGUCGUCUUUUAACACCAAACAUUAGUGUAGGUUAAGUAACAUAAUCAGUACUGGGACAAUUUGAAAUCCCUUUGUGUUUUAUUCACAGUAUCUAUGAGGGUUUAUCCUUUUGCUAGAACAAACUCUAGCAAAUUGUCAAAUGUACUUAUCCUUUCGCUUGAUGACUCAUUUUAAAAUUGUCUUUCAAUGUACACACACAGAGAUAACCACCGACAUCAAGCACCAAGUUUGGAAUUUAAUUGAUAAGCAUACAUUUGAUAAAUUAAUGAAAAGUUUGGGAGAAUAGUUUUGAUCACCCUCGAUUAGGAUGGUAUCACGAAAAAGAUCAAAAAGAAAACAUCGUCUCUUCUUCAACAAAAAUAAAUAUUUUCCGUUAGAAUUUAAAUAAAAUAAUUAUUUUUUUAUUUUUUGAAUUAAAAUUUAAUUAAAUACACAAAUAAAUUAUAUAUUUUUAAAAAAAAAUUUACACCCAGUCACAAGGCUGGCUAUUAAACUUAAAGGGAAGCUUCGGAGACUAAAGUUGGUAACAUCUCCAAGUGGUCUUAAGUUGACCGGAACUACCCCGACUUUAUGUUUGGUAGCCUAGACCUGAUCGGACCUAGGCCCAAGUUUGGUCUUAAAGUCCACAAUUAAAUUGAUUUGUUAAUUUAAUUGUUGUGUAAUUGAUUUAUGGGGAAUGAAUCAGCAUCCCUAAAAUUACACUAAUCUUGACAUAAUGACAUCAUCGGUUAAAAACGUUCAGAUUUAUGGCUAAUCAAUGGUUUGAGAUUUGUUAUCAUUAAUGCUAAAUAUUUUUUAACAUUUUUUCUAUCUCUCUCUCCUGAAGGAAUUUUCUAAGAAAAUGCAUCCACAACACAAAUUUUAAGGAUCACACUAUGUUACGUUAAACGUAACGUACACACACUCACAGCAACAGUAACAGGUCACGUCUUGUUACUGUUGCUGUGAGUGUGUGUAUAUUACGUUUAACAUAACAUAGCAUAGGCCAAAUUUUAAAUUGUAAACAAUAAACAAAAUAUAAACGUUAAAUUUAAGGAACUGCGUUGCAUUUCAGCUGAAGCUAACUUUAAUAUUUUACGAAAAAAAAUAAUUAAAUCUUUAAUGUGAUUUAUUUAUUAAUAUAUAUGACUAAUUUUUUAAAAUAAGAUGCAGGAUGAAACUUAAAAAUAUAAAUUAUAGAAUUAAUUUCUCUCUUCAAUAAAUCUAAAGUUUAUUUUUUUUAUUACAUGCUUCUAUUUUAUUUUUAUUCCAUGUUAAUGAUUGGAGAUUUAAAUCCAUUUCGGAUUUAUAAAUAUGUUUAGAUAUCUAAAUCCACGUGUGAUUCCAAACUAUAACCUUUUUUUUUUUCUAAUUAAUGCAAACAGCCGCCUCUUUGGACUGCUUUUCUUCUUUGAUUAUUAAUUAAUUAAUUCAGCUGCCCACCUUUCUUUUCCUAAUGUUUUCUACUCUCAAAUUUUUUUAAGGACAAGGCUACGUUGCAGACGCUGUACCUAACAGCUGCACCUUAGCCAGCUUCACAAAGGGUGCAUUUGGUAAGCAAUUUUUCUUUCCUGUGCAUAUGUGUCCUUCCACCAUUGGGUGUACGUAACAGAUAAUGUACCGUAACAAGCUCCUAUUUUUAAAUAUGUUUAUAAUGAUAAAAUAUAAAAAUUAAGAUUAAAAUGUAAUGUAAUAUAAAAUUAAAGGUGGAAGAGUAUUAAAAUAAUGUAUAAGAUAUGAAUAAACAAGUCAAUAAGAAAACAAACAAACGGCAAGAGAAAAGGAAUGGUCAUGCAGAUUUUAAGGUGGCAGUGACAAUGAGAUCUCAUUUUAACCGAUAAAGUCUUUUGAAUUUGUCAACUCAAAAAAAUAGAUUCAAAUGUUUUGUAAUAAAUGAAAAUAUAAUAUUAAAAUAAAUGUGAUAAUAUAUAUUUUAAAUAAUUUCAAUACAAAAAACAUUUGAAUGUUUUAUAAUUUAUUAGACAUAUUUUAUUAUAUUAAUAUAAAUUUUCUAAGAAAUAUGGACAUAAUAUUAAAAUAAAUUUAUGAAAAAUUUAAAUUAUUUUGAAUGUAAAAACAUUUGAAUGUUUUAUAAUUUAUUAGACAUAUUUUAUUAUAUUAAUAUAAAUUUUUCUAAAAAAUAUGGACAUAAUAUUAAAAUAAAUUUAUGAAAAAUUUAAGUUAUUUUGAAUGUAAAAACAUUUUAAUGUUUUAUAAUUUAUUAGAAAUAUUUUAUUAUAUUAAUAUAAAUUUUCUAAGAAAUAUGGACAUAAUAUUAAAAUAAAUUUAUGAAAAAUUAAAUUAUUUUGAAUGUAAAAUAAUUUUAAUAUUAUUAAUCCAUUAAGUAUUAAUUAUAAAAAUUAUUUAACCCAAAGAUUAUUUAUAUCCUUACAAUAAAUAUAAAUAUAUUAUUUGCAUUUAAAAAUUUAAAAAUAUUUAAAUAAUAUUAAUCUACAAUUAUAUUUUCAUUUAUUAUAAAUAUUUAAAGUCAAAUCUUUUGCACUUGUAUUUUAUUACAAUUAUGGCGCACAAAGAAAGAGCCAUAUAUGCUUUAUAGCGUUAGAAAUUGGUUUCUUUUAAAGCUGGAAACAGAGAGGAUGAUUAUUAUAAGGAGAAAAGAAAAAGGGAUAAAGAAUAUUAAUGAUUAACAAAAUCUCUCUGCAAAUUGAUUGCAGUAGAAAAAAAGUGAGCUGAGCAAUCUAAUUUAGUGGUAGAGUGAUAUUUCAUUUGUAGCAAAUUACAUCUCAAGGUUAAAGGAAAGACUUAAGAUCUCAGCUUUUGAUCAUAAUACUUUUUUUAAAGAAAAAAAUUAAUUUUAAUAUUUUAUAAUAAAUAAAAAUAUAAUCUUAAAAUAAAUACAAACACACUAUUAAUAGUACAUAUUUUAAAAUAAUCUCAUUAUUUAAAAUUGUUUUAAUAUUUUGUAAUUUGCCAGACAAAUUUUAUUAUUUUCAAGUAAAUUUUAUAAUAAAUACAAACACACUAUUAAGAUAAAUAUAUGAAAAAUUUAAAGUAAUUUGAAUCUUAUACAAAAUAAUUUUAAUAUUGUUAAUAGUGAGAUAAUUCUAUUAAUUUAAAAUGCUACUUAACCUUAAGAUUUAUUUAAGAUAAAUUAAUAAUUACAUUUUUAAAUUAUUUCAAAUAUUAAAAAUAUUUUAAUAUUAUUUAUCUAUUAGAUAGACUAAAUUAUUUAAAUUAUUUUGUAUAAAUUAAUUCUAUUUAAAGGAUAUUAUGAUAAAAAGAUCUUAGUGUUUUUAUUAAAAAUUUAAAAUUUAUAUGACUAUUUCUUUAAAUAUUUAGGGUAUAUAUGAACCACCGAGGAGAAAAGCUUUAUUUAAUAUUUUUGAAUAGUUUUUGAUCAGUACAAUUGCGUCCUUAUUCAGAAUUAUUGUUCUCUUCCGCAACAGUUUUUGUUUAUCAAAGUCAUCAAUUAAAAUUUUAGAAUUCUUAUCAUCAGAAGUAGUCGUUUUAGAAGUUGGGUCUUGGAUCAAAUUUCUACGAGUGCAUGAAUUAACAAUAAAAAAAAUUUCAUUACACACGGUUUAAGCUACAAAACUACUAUUUGCACAGUUGACUAUAAAACUUACCUCCAAUUACACUAAACCUCUCUAUUUGGUAACGUUGAGACUAAAUUAAUUUUAUUAGCAUGAAAAGAUAAUAGAAAUAUUAUCAUAAAUAUAAUUGUUGUUAAUCAAUUAGUACAUGUGAUAUAAAGGUUAAAUGUGCACUAUAUUUAAUAAAUAAUUAAUGGAACAUGUUAAACAAAAUGUUAAUGUAUAUUUAUAUAGUGUUAGGAAUAUGCAAAGUCAAGUCCUCAAUUUGCAUUAUCCUGUAUAGAAUAUUACUCUAAAAAUGUUUUACUAUAAUUGGCUUAGAACAUUUGUAAAGAAAAUAAUAAUCGUAAUAAUAAAUAACAUACACCGUCACAUAGCAUCUAGACAAUGAUAGAAAAUUAUUAAAGGGAGUGCAAACAAUUAAUUAGAAAUUUUUAUGAUAACUUUUAAUAUUCAUGAUAAUAACAAAUAAAUACAUGUACCACUUUUUAAAAAUAUUAAAUUUGACGUGCUCCAUUAAUAAAUUAUUAUUGUAAUUCAGACUCUAUCUAUAUAUCCUUGCAUUAAGAAUAAUUAAGUCAUAAUAAAAAUUUUCGUAACUACAUCUCAUUUCUUCCUCAUAAUAAUAAUUAGAUUGGUUCGAAUAUUAUAACUAUAUAGAUUUAGGGCGUGUUUGGUGCAUGGGAUUAUGUGGUAUUACACUACUAUUCACAUUAGCUUAUUUCCAAGAAGAUGUUUGGCAAACUUUGACACCUCAUUAUGCUGCAUUAUAAUGCAGCAUAAUGAGGCAUGGGGCCGCAUUACGCAAACCCGAGGGAACCUCGGGUUUGCGUAAUGCAGAAGCUUUUUGCCUCAAUUGAGGCAACAGUUAAUGCCUCAAUUGAGGCAAAUUUAUUUUAUUAAAAUAUUAUAAAAAUAAAUUAUUUUAUUAUUAAAUACUAAUAUAAUGAAUAAAAUAUAAAAAUAAAUUAUAUGAUAAUAUUAUUUUAUUUAUUAAUGAUUCAUAUAAAAAUAAUAUAUUAAUAUUAUAAUAUUAUUUACAUUAAUAUUAAUUUUAAAAUUAAUAUUAUUUAAAUUUAUAAUUAUUUAUGUUAAAUUAUAAAUUUAUUAAUAUAUUAAAAUGUAAAAAUAAUAAUAUAUUGUAAAUUAAAAUAUAAUUGAAUAUUAUUGAAUAAUAAUUUAUUAAUUUAUAUUAACAAUUAUAAUAUUAAUUAUAAUCUAAAUUUAUUAUUUACAUAUAAUAUUAAAUUUUAUAAAUUUAUUUUAUCAUAAUUAUAAUACAAAUUUUAGAAAUUUAAUCAUUAAUUUUUAAUAUUUACUAAAAAAAUUGUUAAAUUUCUACAAUUAAGAUUUCUAUAUUUAUUAUUUUUCUAAGUAUUAAUAAAUAUUAAUUUUUAAUUAUUUAAUUUAAUUAAUUAUAAAAAUUAAUACAAUACAAUGUAACACCAAAUAUAGUUUAAUUAAAAAUUAAUACAGUACAGUGUAGCACCAAACAUUGUACAGCAUUAUUAUAAUACAAUACUAACGCAAUACAGCAUAAUACAAUACACCAGCAUUAAAAUAAUGCAAUACAACAUAAUACAAUACAAUGUACCAAACGCACCCUUAGUGUAUAGCCACAUCCAAUUUAAAUAUUGACCCAAUUGGGAUGGUCCCCAAAAAAAAAAUUCGUUAAAGGAUAAUUCUAAUUAUUUUUACUUCUCAAACGUUAGUGGGACGUUUCUAUUAGCGCACUCGUAAGCCAAGUUGUCAAAUAUUUAUAUUAAACUACAAUUGCUGACAAGAAAAAUCAAGAUCGUGUUGCGCAAGUGGGUCCCGAAUAGGACGUGCCUAAAUCUCUCGUAAGCCAAGUUGUCAAAUGUUUAUAUUAAACUAACAAUUGCUGACUAGAAAAAUCAAGAUCGUAUUACAAGUGGGUCCCGAAUUGGACGUGCCUAAAUCUUUUUAUAAUUUUCCCAGUGUAGCGGACAGAGGUCAUUACUAAAUUUCUCUUCCACACGCCACAGCAGCUUCGGUUAAUCAAACUCAAUCAAUUUUCUUGGCUUCUCCGCUUAUCAAUAUUACAAGGUAUGGGUAGCAUUUUUCAAAUCACAUGCGAUGGUACUAUUUUCAAUCGUUGCUUAGAUUGCUUUCUUGGAAAAGCAGCAUACAUAAGUAACCUCCAAGAUAAUCUCGUUGCCUUGGAGACUGAACUAAGGAAACUAAUCGCAGCAAAGAACGAUGUGAUGACGGCGGUUGUCAAUGCUGAACGGCAACAAAUGAGAAGGCUGGACCAAGUGCAAGUGUGGGUUUCGAGGGCGGAAGCUGUUAAAACUGAAGCUGAUGAACUUAUCAGAGGCGGCUCUCAAGAAAUUGAAAAAUUAUGUCUUAGAGGGUUCUGUUCCAGGAACUGCACGUCAAGCUACAAGUUCGGAAAACAAGUGGCUAAAAAGCUACGAGCUGUGGAGACUUUAAUCGCCGAAGGAGUUUUUGAGGCGGUGGCUGCCGAGGUGGUGCCUGAGAGAGCUCCAGAGCCUGUAGCAGAUGAAAGACCUACCGAGCGAACAGUAGUAGGCUUGCAAUCACAACUUGAACAAGUCUGGAGAUGUCUUGCAGAAGAAUCAGCGGGAAUCAUUGGCCUAUAUGGUAUGGGCGGUGUUGGUAAAACUACACUAUUGACCCAUAUCAACAAUAAAUUUCUCGAGAGUCCAACCAACUUUGAUUGUGUGAUUUGGGUAGUAGUUUCAAAAGACCUGCGACUUGAAAAAGUUCAAGAAAAUAUUGGGAAAAAGAUAGGUUUGGUUGAUGAUUCAUGGAAGAGUAAAAGUGUAGAGGAGAAAGCUCUCGACAUCUUCCGGAGUUUAAGAGAGAAGAGAAUUGUAUUGCUGUUAGAUGAUAUAUGGGAGCGGGUUGAUUUAACAAAAGUGGGCGUUCCACUUCCAGGACCACAAAAUACUACCUCAAAAGUCGUAUUCACAACCCGUUUCAUCGAUGUUUGUGGUAGCAUGGAAGCUGACAGGAAGUUCCAAGUAGCAUGCUUAUCAGAAAAGGAUGCUUGGGAACUGUUUCGAGAAAAAGUUGGGGAAGAAACUCUUCAGAGUCAUCAUGAUAUCGUUGAGCUAGCCCAAAUUGUGGUCAAAGAGUGUGGUGGUUUGCCACUCGCACUUAUUACUAUUGGUCGAGCUAUGGCCUACAGAAAGAAAGCGGAGCAGUGGAGACGUGCAAUUGAAGAGUUAAGGAGAUCAGCCUCAGAGUUUGCAGGUUUGGGAAAAGAGGUGUAUACUCUUUUGAAAUUCAGCUAUGAUAGUUUGCAGAAUGAUACGGUUAGAUCUUGUUUCUUGUAUUGUUGUUUAUAUCCUGAAGAUUAUGGCAUUCUUAAAUGGGACUUGAUUGAUUGUUGGAUUGGCGAGGGAUUUUUUGGGGAAUCUGACAGGUCUGGUGCAGAAAACCAAGGAUAUGACAUUUUGGACACUCUUGUUCGUGCAUGUUUAUUAGAAGAGGUGGAAGAUGAUAAAGUAAAAAUGCAUGACGUUGUUCGUGAUAUGGCUGUAUGGAUAACCAGUGAAAUUGAGAAAGGGAAGAGAAACUUUUUGGUUCGUGCAGGUGCUGGAUUAAAAGAGGCACCGGAUGUUAAAGGAUGGGAAAAUGUGAGAAGAUUGUCAUUGAUGCAAAACCAAAUUGAAACUCUGUCCGAGGUUCCUACAUGCCCUCAUCUCCUCACUUUAUUUCUUGACUUUAAUGAGAAGUUGAAGAUGAUCACGGAUGGCUUCUUCCAAUUUAUGCCUUCUCUCAAAGUUUUGAAGAUUUCACACUGUGGUAGGAAUUGGAAAGAUUUGAAAUUACCUGUUGGGAUGUCAAAGUUGGGUUCACUAGAACUUCUUGAUAUUUCACAUACGCUGAUAACAGAGUUACCAGAAGAGUUAAAGUUGUUGGUAAAUCUGAAAUGUUUGAAUUUGAGGUCGACAGAAUUGUUAAUUAGAAUUCCACGGCAACUGGUAUCAAAUUCUUCAAGGUUACGUGUGUUGAGAAUGUUCGCUACUGGCUGGUUAAAUUUUCAUGAAGCACCAGAAGACAGCGUUUUAUUUGGUGGGGGUGAAGUUUUGAUACAGGAAUUGCUCGGUUUGAAAUAUUUAGAGGUAUUGGAGUUGACCUUGCGAAGUUAUCAUGCUCUCCAAAUUCUUUUGAGCUCAAAUAAGUUAAAAAGUUGUAUUCCAUCUCUUUUCCUCCAGUUGGCCGGAGAUACAACGUCGAUUAUUGAUGCUGCGGCUUUCGCAGAUCUAAACCACCUCAACGAUUUAUUUAUUUAUAAAGGCAUUCAGUUGGAAGAAUUGAAGAUUGAUUAUACAGAGAUAGUACAAAAAAGGCGGGAACCUUUUGUUUUCCGCAGCCUUCACCGUGUUUCUAUUGGGGGGUGCGAUAAAUUGAAAGAUGUGACAUUCCUCGUUUUUGCUCCAAACCUCAAGUCUCUUUGGCUAUUCGAUUGCGGUGCUAUGGAAGAAAUAAUCAGCGUCGGAAAAUUUGCUGAGACUCCUGAGAUGAUGGGACAUAUAAGCCCUUUUGAAAAUCUCCAAAGGCUUGAAUUAUGGGAUUUGCCAGCUUUGAAGAGCUUCUACUGGAAGCCAUUGCCUUUCACUCAUCUGAAAGAAAUGGUGGUACAUGGGUGUCAUCAGCUUAGAAAGCUUCCACUCGAUUCCAACAGAGCAAAAGAGCGUAAAUUUGUUAUUCGUGGAAAAGCAGACUGGUGGAACCGACUUCAAUGGGAGGAUGAAGCCACUCAAAUUGCUUUUCGUUCCUGUUUCCAACCUCGUUCCUGAGCGGUGGUCGCAAAAUUUGAUUUCUGGUGAGUGCAUUCGUCUUUUAAAAGAAGAAUUUAAAAGAAAUUUAUUCUUGUCGUUUUCUUCUCUGUUUUUAUUUCAGUUUCUUUCUCUCUCUCUCUCAAGGAUCUCUAAUCAAUAGCUGGAAGCAAUUGAGAGGCGCCGAGACCCGAUCGGAUCUAGGCCCAAGUUUGGUCUUAAAGCCUGGGCUUGAGCCUGACAAUUAAAUUAAAACAUUAAUUGAUUUAUUGAUUGAAUUGUUGUGUAAUUGAUUUAUGGGGGAUGAAACAUCAACAUACUUGAAAAUACACUAAUCUUAGCAUCAUCGGUUAAUAACUGUUAGAUUUAUGGGUAAUCGUAAUCAAUAGUUAAGAUUAGUUGUCAUUAAUACUAAAUAUUUUUUACUAUUUUUGUCUCUACUAGAGGAUCUUCUAGAAAAAUGCAUCCACAACAAAAUUUAAUAUUUUACAUAAUAAACAAAAUAUAAAUGUUAAAUUUAAGAAACUGCAUUGCAUUUCAGCUGAAGCUGACUUUAAUAUUUAGGGUAGAAAAACAAUUAAAUCCUUAAUGUGUUUAAUUUCUAUCACUUGUGUCAUUAAAAUUUUCUAGCCACCUUAACCAAUUACAUCUCAACCCACUUUUUUUGGAUGAUUUUAUUUUUACACAAUUAUUUUCAACAUAUCAUGAUGUAUUCGUCAAAAGCUGGAAAUGACUGUUGCCCGUCAAAAUUCACAUUUUUUCCUUAACGAUAAAGUUUUAAUAUAAUUUUGAAGUUAUAACGUCAUAAAUAUAUUGCAUAAUAAUAAGAAAAAGGACCUAAAUGGUAAAAGUGAUAAAUAAUAAGAUCGAAGUAUCAUUUUCCAAUGUUAAAUGAGGCAAUGCCAUUCUCCGGUUCUCUUCUUUAAAUGCGUGAUGUGUGUGCUCUGUUUUCUCUAUUAUUCUUUUUCUCUUUUAGAUUUUGAGAACGUAAAGGGUGCAGGAGUCUUUAUCUUGUUAAAACAAGUCUUUUCGAAGUAUUCAACUAAAUUAAAUCAUGGCCUAAUGCUGUGUCAAUUCCAUCAUCAGCAUUUUUUUUUUCCUUUUUAACACCAACAUCAGUGUAUGUUUGGAUAAUUUGAAAUCUGUUUGUGUUUUAUCUCAAAGUAGAGCUUCAAUCAAUUUGUACCUCACAAAUUCACAAUAUCUAUUAAGGAUAAUAAGACCGAACUCUGGCAUAUUGUCAAAUGUGCUUAUCCAAUUCCAAAUUAAAAUGUUGACAGUGUUUCAUCAACCAAGAACUUGUCUUCGAUAGUUAAUCGGAUUAAAGGGAAUAAUUAAUGAGAGCAAUUAAUUAAUAUUAGCCGGCAUCGUCUGUUUCAUAGGUACUCGUGGUUCACUAACAUAAGCGUUGAAUUUGUAUAGUAGCUUGUUCCUUUCCUUCGGUUUUACUUAAUGAAAACCUUGGCUAGAUCGUACACCAAUGUAAAAUCGAAAACCCUUAUGCCACGAAGAGUUCUUAGUGCAAUUGAGAUCAAUGAUAAUCAGCUGAUAGGGAAAACAUUGUCUGAUUGUCAUAAACAAACUUCUUGAAAAUGCCAUCAGUAACAUGGAAGAUUUGGAGGUUAUUCAAAUGCUGACUUCAGGAAUGCAGAUUAAUAUAUUAUGGAGACAGAUUGAGUGCAAUGGCUAAUUGUAACAGGGAAUUUUUAUUGUACAAACAGACCAGCCAGCAAAGAAUAUUCCAAAUCUAGGACUAAACAAGUCAAUAAUAAAAUAAACAAACGGCAAGAGAGAGUGAUUAUAUCUACAACACCAUCGGCUACUACAAAUUCAACUUUUCAACAGUUGUUACUCACCAUGAACAGAAAAAAGAAAAUUACAACAAAAAAUUGGUUGCUAAAAGACGUCUAUUCAUGGUAAUGCCUCUCAAAUGGGUUCAAAACAUGGAAGAAAAGCAUUUAGUGUGGCUUCAUCGUCCCAUUUCAGCUCACUCCACCAGUGUUGCAGGGGCUUAGUCAAAGUGGCUUUCAAGAAGUUUUAUUACCACCUCAGUUCAAAUCCUAAGAGAGGUAGGAGGAUAAAAGAAUUAAUUUGGACUUUACCUAGCCCUCUACCUUUGUUAAAUUUAUGUUAAAAAAAAAAAUAGAUUUGAGAUUGGUAAUAUCCUUAUUUUUUGUUUUCAAAGGAAACUGAUUUAGGACCAAUGAGACUUUGAUCCAAUGGGAGAAGCCUUUCACUUAUAAUGUUAAGUAUAAGGGUUCGAUCCUCCAUAAGAGCUUUAUGAAGGUUAAUUUCAGUACUUCCUUAGUUAUCAGUUAAUUGAGUGGAGACAGUCUCUCCCUUACGAAAUGUGAGUGGAGUAGGCACCCCUCGAAUAUUAGAGAAGGUUUAAAGUAUCUGAGCAAGUGCUUUAGUGGGUUAAUAUAUGGCGGUAGUUCCAGUUGUUUAGUAUGAUUGUAGUACGAUUGUAUAUAUUAAUUGUAAUAUCUAAUGUAAUAUCAAUAACAAUCUGUGCAUAACAGAAUUCAAAAAAAGAAAAGAAAAAAGAAAACUGAUUUAGGUGGUUUCUUGGUUAAGACUUUUUCUUUAGCAUACUUAGUUCCACGUGCUAUUUAGAUAUUUUUCGACAUACUUAUUACUUAGUUCCACAUGCUAUUUAGAUAUAUUUCGACCAAAUGAACAAGCGCAAGCCAUUGACACUUAGCUUAAUUUCAGGGUCAAGCUAUAUUUGAAACUCAAAUAUUAACCUAUUAAUAUUUUCAAUUCAUUCAAUUAUAAAUUAGAGAUGAUAGAAAUUCUCAUAGGAACAGGGGCCCUAGGGGAUUUUAGAGGAUUUUUCCCAUUCGGGAAGGGUAGGAGACAAUUUUAUAUCAAGUUUCUUAUUCCCAGAGACUAUAAUAUUUUUUUACCUAAUUUCUUAUUCAGGGAAGAUAUGGAGAUGAUGUGGACUUUCCAUCCCCUCCCAAUUCUCCAUUUUUAUUUUUAAUUUUUAUAUUAUUUUUCUAGAAUUAUUAGUGAAAAUAAUAAAAUUUAAAUUGUAAAAAUUUUAUUAAUGAAUAAAUAAAAAUAAAAAUUUUAGACACCUUUUUCCCAAACUUGUAGCUUGACUUGCAGUUCUUGGAGCAGUAGCCUCCAAGACAGUUUUUCAAUUUCUCGAGAGCCGUCCCUUGUCAAUUCACCAACUUCAGCUUCCACAGCCGCCACCCUUGAGGUGAUGUUUGGUUGGGAGGAGAGAAUGGGGGAGAGGAAAGUAAUUUAAAUUCUACUUUUAUUUUUAUUGUUUGGUUGCACGAAAUAUAUAAGAAUUUAAUUUCCAUUAGAAUUUAAUAUCCUUUAUAAUCUAGAAUUUGAAUUCCACACCAAAGAGUGAAGAAUUCAAAUUCCUCUUAGGUUGAAAACCCAAGUUUCCAAAUUUGUCCUUCAACAUUUUAACUUGUUUAAUGCUAUUAAUAAUUAUUAUUUAUAAUUUUAUUUUAUCAAUUUAAUAUUAUAAAUAAUUUAAUAUUAAUUAAAUUUAAUGAAUGAUUUAAGACAUUUAAUAAAAUAAAUAAACUUAUUUAUUUAUUUAAUAUGCAAAUAUAUAAAUAUAAAUUAACUAUCGCCGGAACUUCGCUGGACCGUCGCCGGAAGCUGUCGAAAUUUCACCGAAAAGUCACCAACCACUGUUGAUCGGCGUUGGCUUAUGUUGACCGCUACUGUUGACCGGCUUUUAUUUAUAUUAAAUUAUAUUAAAUAGUUUAGUAUAUUAAAUUAUUUUAUAUUUUAUAUUAAAUAUAAAUCAUGAAUUGUUUCAUAACUUUUUGAAAUUAAAAAAAAUUGGUAUUAAUAUUAAAUUAUAUUUUAUUACUAAUAUAGAUAAUUUAGUAUUUAAGGUAAAGGAUAAAUUUGUCCAAAGAAAAAAAUUAUAAUUUCUUUCCUUAUCAAAUUUGAUGUCAAACCAAACAUUGAAAUUUAAUUUUAUUAAUCUCUUCCACUCAUUUCUCCUCCAUUCCACUUUUUUCUUCUCCUCUCCUUUUUUAAAACCAAACACCACCUGAAAGCCAACCUUGCACUUUGUUCAGCCGUCUCAGUUGUUGCUGCUCAGGAUUGGCGACCCUCAUCAUCACAUCGUUCUUUGGUUCAAUUAAUUUCUGCAAUUCGGUCUGGAUGGCAACCAGGUUAUCUUCAAGCUGGCUUAAAUAUCAUGCUUUUCUGCGGGUACAAUUUAUGAAGCCAGUGAAAAUUACGCAUACAAUAGGAGUGCAACACAGUGUGUAUUCGGUUGUGGUGUCUAUGAUUUUGCAGUCGCAGAAGCUUAUUCACCUUAUGAAGACUGAUCAGGUGGGCACCGUCGCUCUCCUUACAUUCUUAUGGAGAGCGAUAGUCCAUGUAGUCAGAUCUCACUGAGAGAACUAGCCGAGUGGGCAAUCGCUCCGCCUGAUCAAAAUUUGUCAUCUUAUAAUAAUAUCUUGAGUAGGUCUUGAAUUUUUUUUCCAAUUUUAAUCUUUAAAAGGUAGAAGAGGUGAAAAAAACCUAAAUAGUAUUUGUGUCCUCCUAAAUAACAUUUCUUGAACAUCAAUGGAUCUUAAAACUUAAUUAAGAAAAUAUUAUAGAUUUAUAAAUUAGUGGCCCUUAAAAUUUAUUUGCAAGUAACAAUUAGAGAAAAGUCGUCAGGCCCAAAAGACUUAGAGCAUCACCAAAAGACUCUUCAAAUAAGAUUUUAUUAAUUAUUUGAAGAGCCAUCUCAAUAUUUAAGACUCCAAAAGACACUCCAAUUAAGAUUCUUCAAAUAAGAAAUAAUUCUCUCUCUUCAAAUUUGGAGAGUUGAUUUCUCCCUCUUCAAUUUAUACUUUAUUACUUUCCAUUGGAGAAAAAGAGAGAAGUGCUUUAAUUGCUAUUGACUUUUUCUUUAAAAAAAUAAUUAUUUGAUUAAAAUAAUAUUAAGUUAUUUCUAUUUGAAGAGUCUUUUGGAGAAUAUUAUUUUUUUUUACUCUUCUAUUUGCCACAUAGAUAAGCAAAUAGAUAUUUGAAGAGUAAAAUUUAUAGAGUCUUUUGGAGAUGCUCUUACUAAAAGUCGGCAACUCGUCAUGACCAAAAUUCUUCCGAGUGUGAAAUACGGCAUGCGCAGAUGCAUUAAAAACAAAAGCCAGCUAAGAUAUUCUUUGUAUACUUGCAUUCCCUAUCAUCUUAUUAAUAAUUUCAGACACGUCGUUCGUUCCCUGUGACUUUUCAUAUGCAACAGCACAGUCAGUGUUACAAUUUACAUUUCGAAUUGGGUGUCAUCUAUAUACUCUACCUAGAUCUAACAUGAUAUUGCAGUAUUGCACUGAUUUUUUUGUCGCAGCGUUUCUCUAUGAAUUCCUUAAACUUUAAACACAUCAUGGAAUAAUUAUUUUCUUAAAGACCAAAUUAACAUAAUUCUUAAAUCAUUUAUAAAACAACAUUUAUCAUAUAACAGAUCGUACACGAAUCAAUUUUCCUUGAACAGUAGCAAACAAACAAGAAUCUCAACCACAUCACGAGAUCGCCCACGUCAAACCAAGUAUUCUUAAUGAGUGGACCAGCUAAUAUAUUCAAAAUUGGAAUUAAUUGAGGAUAAUGAUUAGUGCUAAUACAUUUGCAAAGAAAAAUCAUGCCUAUUGAAAAACUCAUCUUAUUAGCAGCAGCGUUAUAAGUAGCAUCCAAUCAUAGUUUCACGCAAGAUUUUGAGAUUAUUCAAAUGCUGAUCCCGGGAAUGGAGAUUAAUAGAUAAUGGAGACAGGUUGACUGCAAUGGCUAAUUGUAAGAGGGAUUUUUAGCCGUAAAAACAGAUCAACUAGCAAAGCAAAUUCCAAAUCUUGGAAUGCAGUAGCAAAAAAACGAAACAAACAAAUGGCAAGAGGAAGUGACUAUACAACAAUAACAUCGACUUGCAAUUCAACAUUUAUACAGUUUUACACACCAAGAAAAGAAAAAAUUACAAUAGAAAUUUGGCCACUAAAAGAUGCUCGUUCAUGCUUAUGCCUGUCAUAUGGAUUUGAAACAUGGAGUAAAAGCAUUUAGAGUGGCCUCAUCCUUCCACUGCAGCUCAUUCCACCAGUAUUGCUCUCCCCUAAUAACAAGUUUUCGUUCCUUGGCGCUGUUGUAAUCGAGUGGAAGCUUCUUGAGAUUCGGGCAGCCAGAUACAAACAAUUCCAAGAGAUUUGGAAAGGGCAAUGCAUUCAAACAGAUCUUCUUCAGAUUUCUUACAACUUGCAACCGAAGAUAUUGGAGUUUCGAAAAAGUUUUUUGCACUGGAACUUCUGGAACUUCUUCCAAUUUCCAAACACUGAUUAUUUCUUCCAUCUCAUAACAACGUUCUACAUGGACCAUCUUGAGAUUUGGGGCAAAAACAAGCCAUGUCAUCUCCCUCAAUUUACUGCAAUAGUCUAUGGUAACACUUUGAAGGCUGUUGAAACCAUAAAGUUCUCUUGUUGUUUGAAUUUCUGCAUAGUCAACCUUUAGCUCUUCCAAACUUGUACAAUACACAAAAUCUAGUUUGUCAAGAUACUUGAGAUCUGCUAUGGACAAAAUAUUCCAUGACCUUGAAUCCUCACAGCGGCGAAGCUCUAAAGCAUAUUUACAACUCUUGUACUGUUGGCAGCUCAAAAGUCUUCGUAGAGCAUAAAAACUUCUUAACGUGACGCUUAAUACAUUUAAAUGUUCCAAAGUAAUCAACUCCUCUACCAAAAUUUCACUACCACCAAAUAGAACGCUAUCUUCUGGUACUGUAUUAGCAGAGCCACAAUCUAGCAUCCUCAACACCUUUAACCCAGAAAAAUUACAAAGCAGUUGCCGUGGAAUCGUAUGGAGAUAACGCAUGUACUCCAAGUUCAAACACUUUAGAUUUUUCAAGGCUUUUAAUUCAUGUGGCAACUCUUUGAUGAAAGUUUCUGAAAGAUUAAGAUAUUGUAGUGAAACCAAUUUUGAAAUUCCUGAAGGCAAUUGACUCAAGGAGCGAUUCUUUGAUAGGUUUAAAACUUUAAGAGAAGGCAUAAAAUCGAAGAAAUCACUAGGGAUAGUAUCUAACAUAUUAAUGCCGAGGAACAAAGUUAUAAGAUGAGGGCAUAUUGGAGUUAUUGGUAAAAUCACAAUUUUAUUUCUCAUCAACGAUAUCCUUCUCUUAUCUUCCCAUUGUUUAACUUCGGGUGGUUCAGUUAAUUCAAUACCGGCAGAAACCAAAAAGUUUUCAUUCUCCACUUCACAGGCUAUCCACAAGGUCAUAUCACGAAUCACAUCAUGCAGUUUUACAUAAUCUGAUCCUGCUUCUUCCAAUAGGCAUGCAUGAACAAGAACACCAAUAAUGUAGUAUCCUUGGUUAUGUACUCCAUUAAUUCCUUCAUAUUCCUUCAGAAAACCCUCACCAAUCCAACACCCUAUCAAUUCAAUUUUGCUAAUUUGAUAAUCCUCAGGAAAUAAACUACAGUAUAACAGACAAGAUCUAAGGACGUCACUAGACAAACUAUCAUAACUGAAUUUUAAAAGACGAAACACCUCUUUCUCCAUACCUGGAAAUUCAUAAGCUGAUCUCCUUAACAUCUGAAUUGCAUAGCUCCAUUCUUCGGGUGUCUUCUUGCUGCUCAUGGCACGACCGGUGGUAAUAAGUGCAAGUGGCAAACCACUACACUCCUUUGCCACAGUUUGGGCUAACUCCGGAAUAUCGGGAUGACUUUCAAGAGUCUCUUCUCCGACCUUCUUUAGGAACAAUUCCCAAGCAUCUUGAUCUGCCAAACACUCCACCUUGAACUUUUUUUGAGCUUCCAUGAGGCCACAGACGUCCACAAGACGAGUUGUAAAGACUAUCUUUGAUGCAUUUCUUGAACUCGCAGGAAAAGGGACACCCACUUUGGCUAAAUCAAUUCUUUCCCAUAUAUCAUCUAACAAUAGCAGAAAUUUCAUUUUGCUCAAUAAAUUGAAUAUGCCUGAUGCUUUCUCUUCAAAGCUUCUAUUCUGAAGCCAUCCUAUUCUUUCUCCGAUUUUCUGUUGUAUUCUCUCAAGUUGCAUGUCUUUUGACACCACCACCCAAAUCACAAUAUCAAAAUAAUUUGGUGUAUUAAGGAACCUGUUGUUGAUUUGGGUUAAUAGUGUAGUCUUGCCGACUCCCCCCAUGCCAUAAAGUCCGAUGAUUCCAAAUUGUCCUUCUACAAGACAUCUCCAAACUUUAUCAAAUGUUGAUUCUAGGCCGAUUAUUGUUGGCUGAAGAGGCCUUUCAUCCACUGCUGGUUGUGGUACCUUUUCAGCUACCACUGCAAAAGCUCCAUCAUCUAUUAAAGUAGCCACAAGCUGCAGCUUUUUAGACACCUUUUUCCCAAACUUGUAGCUUGACUUGCAGUUCUUGGAGCAGUAGCCUCCAAGACAUAGUUUUUCAAUUUCUUGAGAGCUGUCCCUUGUCAAUUCACCUACUUCAGCUUCCACAGCCUCCACCCUUGAAAGCCAACCUUGCACUCUGUUCAGCCGUCUUAGUUGUUGUUGCUCAGCAUUAGCGACCCUCAUCAUCGCAUCGUUCUUUGUUUCGAUUAGUUUCUGCAAUUCGGUCUGGACGGCAACCAGGUUAUUUUCAAGCUGGCUUAGAUAUGCUGCUUUUCUGCGGGUACAAUUUAUGAAGCCAGCGGAAAGGGCAUCACAUAUAAGUUGGAUUCCCAAAAUAUUACCCAUAGUUUGUAUGAGAUUCAGAGUACAAUAGAAGGAAUGCAACACAGUAUGUAUUCGGUUGUGGUGUUUAUGAUUUUACAGUCGCAGAAGCUUAUUCACCUUGUGAGGGCUGGUCAGGUGGGCACCAUCACUCUCCUUACGCUUUAUAGAGAGCGAUAGUCCAUGUGGUCAGAUCUCAUUCAGAUAACUAGCCAAGUGGGCAAUCGCUCCACCUUAUCAAAAUUCUUCAUCUUAUAAUAAUAUCAUGAGUAGGCCUUGAAUUUUUCUUUUAAUUUUAACAUUUAAAAGGUGGUGGUGAAAAAGUCUAAAUAGUAUUUUUGUCCUCGUACUUUAAUAACAUUUCUUGAAAGUCACUCGAUCUCAAAAUUUAAUUAAGAAGAUAUUAUAGAUUUAUAAGCCCUUAAAAUUUAUUUGCAAGUAAGCCCAUAAGACUUACUAAAAGUCGUCAACUCGUCAUGACCAAAAUUGAAAAUUCUUCCGCGUGUGAAAUACGGCAUGCACAGACGUAUUAAAAGCAAAGGCCAGCUAUGAUAUUCUUCGUAUACUUGCAUUCCCUAUCAUCUUAUUAAUAAUUUCAGACACGUAGUUCGUUGCUUGUGAUUUUUCAUAUGCAAAAGCACAGUCAGUGUUACAAUUUACAAUUACAAUUGGGUGCCAUCUAUAUACUCCUUCCUUGUUUUCAAAAUAUGUUGUAGGAUGGGUAAUUGUAACAAAAGUGAUUUUUAAAAAGAUUUAUUAUAAUAUUAAAAUUAACUUUUAAUUUUUUUAAAUUAUUUUUGAGCUUUCUGAAAAAAAAAUCCUAAACCGGUCUCAGAAGUAUAAUUAGAACCACGAAUUUAUAAAAUGAUCAAAGGAAUCCAUCGCCUAAUAUUAUAGUACGCAAUGGAUUGCUAUAAACUAAAUUGCUAUGAUCUCACUUCAUAAUAAUUUAUUUUCAAUCUCCAUCAUGGUAGAAAAAUUUCAUCAAUCAACAUACCCUACCACCACCCAAUAGUCGACCAUUUAUCAUCUUCUAUCCGUAAAAAAACGAAAAAAAAAAAAGAGAAAAGGAAAAAUUUAGUCCACAAAAGAAAAUAUCGCAAGACCAAACAGAGAGAGAAAAUAGAAAAAGCAAAGAGCUGUACUGAAUACCGGCGGUGAUGGCUCGGUACUUGACCAUUUAGGUUUGAUUCUGCAUUAACAUAAUAUUUUUUCUGCACUGCAUUCACAUCACAACCAUUGAAUAGUCGUGAUCUAUUUUUCUAAAGCGAAUAAUAUUAUCUUCUCGUGUCGGUGGCUUGAUCAUAUAACAAAAUAGACUAAUAAUGUUUCAAUAGACAUUUUGGUAAAUGGAAGAAGUUAUGAUCUGUCCAUUUUUAUGUUACUUUAUUUUAAUUUGUUAAUUACUAUUAAUAUCUUUGAGUGGGGCAGAAUCUUGACCUAAGAUAUAGGGAUGGCAAUGGGGCAUAUAUGGGUUGGAUUUACUCUGCUCCAUAUCCAAAUCCAUAAUAAAAAUUAAGAUCCGUAUCUGCUCCAGAUCCGUCAUGAAUCCAUAUUUUUCGGUCCAUAUUCAGAUCCAAAAAAGAAAUAAAUAUCUAUAUCUACUCCAAAUCUGAAAAAAAUUAAAAUCCAAAUCUGCUCUAAAUCUGUCAUGAAUUCUAAAAUUCAGUAAUAAAAAAUUAAUAAUUUUUUAGAUUGAAAAUUGAAGGCUAAAAUGUAUUGAUAACAAAUAAAUUAUAUAAUUUUUCUCAAAAAUAUAAUAAAUAUUGUAUCUUAUACUUUUUCACCAAAACAACAAAUAAGAAAGAUAAUAAAAUAUCAUUUAGAAGUAAUUGCAGGAGUAAGAUCAAUCUAAUAUUAUAUUGUCUCCUUCAUCAUUCUAAUAUCCACGAUACACCUACCCUCAUUCCUACAACAUUAGAUAAUGACAUAUAAAUUAAAUAUGAUUUAUAUUCAGUCCUUUAUUAUUUUUAUUAUGACCAUAUUUGACUAAAUAUAUGAAUAACUAUAUUUCUUAAAAAUUAUUUGGCCAAUAUAAUAAAAUAAAUUGCCAAGUUAUAUUACUUGGCUUACAAUUUAAAUAUUGCAUGUACAUGCUUUGGGGUUGGCUGGCCUUUAAAUUUACAAAACUAACUUUUAAGUUUUAAGAGUUUAAAUGCAUGGUAAAUACUACUAAUAUGCUAUGAAUAAAAUUUAUUAUCAUUAUAAUUCCACAAUUGUUAAGAAACUUUUAAAAUAAAAUAAAAUUAAAAGAUGAGUGGAUAUGGAUAUGGAUUUAGAUAUUAAGAUAGAUCCAAAUCUGCUCCAGAUCCGUCUUAGAUCCGCACAUCGAUAUCCAAAUCCGAUCCAAAUCUAUUUUAAACCGAUCCAAAUCCGAUCCGAUUGGAUUUGGAUCACGUGGAUCUUGGAUCAGAUCCAAUCCAUUGCCAUCCCUACUAAGAUAUGACUAGGCUCCACAUGUUAUAUAUUAAUUUGAUUAAGCCCAGCUAAUUGUUAAUUAUUAAUUUGAUUGCGGCUUUUUAUUUUACCCACAUUUUUUACGCGUGAAAUCUUUCUUAGUGAAAAACUACACGUAUUUGCAAAUAUUCGGAAUGGACAUUUUCGAAAAAACAAGUAAAAGAAAAUGACUAAAAAGUAAAAGAAAAUAGACACCCAAUUGUAAUUACGAGUACAAUAGAAGGAAUGCAACACAAUACCGAUUUUGCAGUCGCUGAAGCUUAUUCACCCUAUGAGGGCUGAUCAGGUGGGGGCCGUCGCUCUCCUUACACUCUUAUAGAGAGUUAUAGUCCAUGAUCUCAUUGAGAGAACCAGCCAAGUGGGCAAUCGCUCCACCUGAUCAAAAUUCUUCAUCUUAUAAUAAUACCUUGAGUAGGCCUUCAAUUUUUUUUUUCAAUUUUAAUCUUUAAAAGGUAGAAGAGGUGAAAAAGUUAAAUAAUAUUUUUGUCCUCCUAUAUAACAUUUUUUGAAAAUCACUCGUUCUUAAAACUUAAUUAAGAAAAUAUUAUAGAUUUUUAAGUUAGUGGCCCUUAAAAUUUAUUUGCAAGUAACAAUUAGAGAAAAGUCGUCAUGCCCAAAUGACUUACUAAAAGUCUGCAACUCGUCAUGACCAAACAUCUUCCGAGUGUCAAAUACGGCAUGCGCAGAUGCACUAAAAACAAAGGCCAGCUAUGAUAAUCUUUGUAGUAUUAAUAAUUUCAGACGCGUCGUUCGUUGCCUGUGACUUUUCAUAUGCAAAAGCGGAGUCAGUGUUACUUGCAUUCACUGUCACCUUAUUAAUAAUUUCAGACACAUCGUUGGUUGCCUGUGAUUUUCAUAUUCAAAAGCACAGUCAGAAUUACAAUUUACAUUUGGAAUUGAGUGCCAUCUAUUUAUUCCAGCUAAAUCUAAAAUGAUGUUGCAGUAUUGCACUGAUUUUUUAGUCACAGCGUUUCUCUAUGAAUUCCUUAAACUUUAGACCCAUCAUAGAAUAAUUAUUUUCUUAAAGACCAAAUUAACAUAAUUCUUAAAUCAUUUAUAAAACAACAUUUAUCAGAUAACAGAUUGUACAUGAAUAAAUUUACCUUGAACCGUAGCAAACAAACAAGAAUCUCAACAACAUCAAUAUCAUAAUCCCUUCUGACCUUAACAGUAAUUUUAUUCGUCCUUAAUUCAUAGGUAUAAGUAUCCCAAUAUAUACUUGAUGUCAACCUUUACAAUUCUUUACAGAAUUGCAGCAGACCAAAUUUGUAUGCAAAACUGAAAUCAUACAGUAAUUGAAUACAGUGAAAAUAGACAUGAUGGGAAUUAGUAUAUAUAAAUAUCUUAAUAAUUUAAAAGUUUCUUAAACUGAUUUUACAUAUCUGAAAAAUUAUAGAAAUCGGAACUGCUGCAGAAAUCAUAAUUUUCCAGCGAAUGUGUUACAACUUCAGAAACUCAUAAGAAAUUAAAUUCUUGGGAUCACAAAAUAAUUCAUCAAUUUAAGAGAUUCAGCAGUACUUUUAUUACAUCAAUUCUUCAAACAAUCACCAAUCUAACAUUCAUCAAAAUUAAGUCAUAAAAGUCAUGUGGUUUAUAAAAAGAAUUACCUGAAAAAGAUUAGCCUUCCCCUUUCAAAAGCAACGAGAAACUCCAAAAACUCUUCUUCCAUUGCCUAUUCAAACAUGAAAAAAAAAAAUUAGUAUCUCUUCUUUAAACGCGCGAUGAGUGUGCUCUGUUUUCUCUGUUCUUUUUCUUUUUUAGAUUUCGAAAACGUAAAGAGUGUUGGAGUCUUUAUUUUCUAAAAACAAGACUUUUCCAUGUAUUCAGUUAAAUUAAAUUAUGUCCUAAUGCUAUGUCAGUUCCAUCAUUAGCAUUUUUUUUUUCCUUUUAACACCAACAUUAGCGUAUGUUAAGUAUCAUAAUCCAUAGUUGGACAAUUUGAAAUCUCUUCGUGUAGUUGACUGGCAACAACUAUAUUGGCAUUUAGACAUAAUGUACUGCAACCAUAUUGACAUGUUCAAAUGUUCUCACUAUUGUAUUGGUGUGUCGAUAUUAUCUCUAUCAGUCCUAUAGAUCCAAAAAUAAUCUAAAUUUACAAUUUAACUUAAAAUAAAAUAAUUGGUAGAAAACAAUUAUGGUUCAUUUACUUAUCAGUAAUUAAAAUAGACUGAAAUUAGAAUGAGUUGUAUUGACGUUGAUGUGUUUCUGUUGUCCUCGAAUCGGAAUGAAUUAUUUUAACUUACUAAAAUACCCUUUGUUUGUUAUUCUAAUUAUUAUUAUUUAAUAUUUAUUAUAAUAUUUGUCAUAUUAUUAAAAAGAAAUAAUAAUGAUGAUAAUAUUAUCAUUAUUGUUUGUUAUAUUAUUAUUAUUCAAAAAAAUUGUUGUUAAUAACUAUAAUAACUUUAUUUCAAUAAUAAAAAUGAUAAAAUUAAUAAUAACAAACAUGACAACAACAAUAAUUAUUUAUUAUGCCAAAAAAUAACAAUAAUGAUAAGAAUAAUAAUCAUCAUCAUUUUUUUCCCAAAGAAGCAUUAUCAUCAUCAUUUCAAAAAAAAAAAUCAUCAUCAUCAGCAUUUUUGUAGUGGCUGCCUAUCGGCUGCUGCUUUCAUGUGAGAUUGACUUGCGACGCUUCAACUACUAUUAUUUCUGGCAAUGUCAGGUGUUGUUGUUUCAAUCUGGGGAGAAGCUGUUUCGGUGAGCUAACAAUGGGAGGUGUUGCUGCUCGAUGCGAGGUCCAUGGCCAGCUGUCUUGUUUUACACCCAGCUCUUGUAGGAAAUUAUUCAUCCACAAUAUUUCUUUGUAACCUUCAAUAAUUGUAAUAUCAUUUGCUUCCGUGGUAGAAAAGACAACUCAUUACUAAAGUCUAGAUUGCGAUGAGACUGCCUUCCCUACAAAAGUGAGCAAAUAUCCUCAUAGGAAUCUUUCAGAAUCAACAUCUCUUGCCAUAUCUGUUAAGAAUAACAUAUGCUGAGUCAGCUACUGAGUCAUCAAGCCACGCUGGAAGUCAGUUUUGCAGUUAGUUAGAGAGCUUAUCAGCUUCUCUCCAAAAGUUUGUUAUGUGUAUUAGAAUAUGUGCUCACGAGUUUUGUGAGUUUGUAACCUUGAAAAGAUUCUCACACUACUAUAAAUUGUAUUGUGACUCAAUUAAUAAAAGUUGUUGAAGCUUUGCAUUUUCUCUCAGUCAAAAUUUUCUCUCUAUUUUUCUAAGUAACCAAACAAAAUCUACAGAGCAUUUUGUAUUUUAACUUGGUAUCAGAGCUUGAAUCCAAUGGCCUUAAUCGGUUCCAAUCAACAGUCGAGCAACACUUCCAUAACUUCUUUCACCUUCACAAAUCCAAUUAAGCUUGAUCGUGCAAACUAUACGAUCUGGAAACAGCAAGUACUUUCUUCAAUUCGUGGCAAUGGUCUUGAAGGCUAUAUUGAUGGAUCAAGGAUCUGUCCUAGUCAAUUUCUUUCUCCAGAGGCUAGAUCUGAAGGUUCUUCUUCUUCUAACAUCGAAGGUCAAGAGAAUCCAGAGUAUGCAGCCUGGAGACGUCAAGAUCAGCUCCUGCUCAGCUGGAUUCUGUCGUCCAUGAAUGUAGAUAUUCUCAGUCUUGUGGUAAGCUCUAAGACUUCUUUUGAGUUGUGGAAAAAUCUAGAAAAACAAUUUGGAUAUGAAUUUAUGGCUAAGAAGGUUCAUCUGAAAAUGCUUUUGAGUAACCUGCGAAAAGGAUCUCUAACCAUGUCUGAGUAUUUUACAAAGCUUAAGUCAGUUACAGAUGGUCUUGCUUUAGUUGGUAGCCCUGUGCAUGAUUUGGAUUUAAUCACUCAUCUUAUUACUGGUCUAGAUCAGUCAUAUUAUCCUGUAGUAGUCUAUAUUGAGGCAAACAUGUUGAAAAUGGAUCUUAGUGAGGCUUAUGCUAUGCUUCUCACACAUGAGGCUAGACUUGAGAAUAAUAAGCUUCAUGAUAGUAAAGAAACCAAGAACAAUUAUGCAACAAAUGUAGCUCAGGUUGGAAAUUUUUCAAAGAAAGGUAAUAACAAUAAUCAAAACAACUGGAAGGAUGGAGGAAACAAUUGGAAUAAUAACUCUGGUGGAAGAGGUGGUUACCAAGGGUUCAAUCCAGGAAGAGGAAACUGGAAUAAUAAUAAUUUCAGAGGUGUUGCUGGUGGAUUUAACAGUGGAUUUCCUGGUCUCGUGGCUUCAAUAACAAUUAUGGCAGAGGUGGUUUCAACUCAGGCCAAAAUUUGGUGGUUGUUGAAGCCAACAAAAAUAAAUUCCUACUCUAAAUAAAUUGUGUAUAGUGAUUGAGCAGGGUCGUGUCCACAGAGAUCGGUAAUUAUUUAAAUCCUUUUGAAACGUAAAACGCAAAAUGGGGGAAUUGUUGACAAUAAUAAAAAUCAAAUUAAAGUAACAAGAAUGCAAAUUAAAGUUGUAAUUCAAAUUGGAGAAAGCUCUGGUUGAAGGAAUUAACUCAGCUUGAUUCGACUACUGAUCAUUGAUUCAAAUAUAGAUUAUUAUUACUCAUGAAUAGACCGGUUAUAGCUACUGAGACCCUCUAAUAGCCAAUCUCUCCUUAACUAGUCGAUAACCAAGGUACGACCGUUGGUUAUUUCCCUAAUCAAUAGACAACCCUAGAUACGAUCAUAGAAUUUAAUCAAUUGACAGCCUGAAAAACCAGAGAGACCCAAAUCCUAAUCAACACAUAUGAUGAUUCAUUUAAAUUAGAUUGUUUAUUCUCACAACACAACUCUCUGCUAUGUUAUUUGUCACAAGCAUUAAAUUCUUCAUACGAUGAAUCCUUUAAUUGACAAUAGAUUAAGUUGAUAAUUAAAUAGUGGCCAAUUACCUAAUUAACAAACAUAAUCAUGAAACUAAUUCAGAGAAUAAACAAAUACCCAAAAAGCAAUAAAACAAUUAAAGCACAAGAAAGAUCUCAUAGUAGUGAUGAAUCAAAGCUUCAUUAACCUUCAACCAGAAAAAUAAGUUUAGUUCUUCAUAGAGAGAAGAGAAAAAUUAAAUCUAGGGUUUCUUUCUUUUUUUUUUUUCCAAUCCAAAAAAUCCCCCUUUUUCACAAUAGAUUCCUCCCUUAAAUACUCUCUCUCUCUUCUCCUCUAGAAUUUUAUUUAAAAUAAAAUACUAAUAUCUGAAAUAUUAAAUUCGUAAUUACAAAAAUAACCAAAAAUACAAAACACGUUAAACUAAAAACUGCAGGUCCGCAGUUGACAGCACGCGCCCACGCCUUAUCAAUAAAGUUCUUCUGACGCUCAUAAUUUCUCCAAGAGAACAAUCAUCCUUAAACAUCAUCUUAUAGCUCAAUUUUAUCACCAACCAAUAGAAUUGCACCUACAAAAGUAAAUCACUAUUAUUAAGUGCAAAACAUCGAUAUUAAAAGAAGUAAACAAUGCAAAACUAGUGCAUAAAUUGCACUCUAACAGAGGUGCUGGAAAGAAUUUUGCUCAGGGAACUGGUGCUGCUUGUCAGAUAUGCUUCAGGUUUAAUCACACAGCAGCUGAUUGCAGAAACAGGUUCAACAGAAAUUUUAUCCCAAAUUUUCCAGCUCCAGCUCCAAAUUACUUCUCUAAUCAGCACCAAGGACCAAGAGCAGCCUUCAUAACAACAUCUGAAGGAGCUGCUGAUCAGGGAUGGUUUCUGGAUAGUGGUGCAACUCACCACUUAACCAACACAGUUCAGAAUCUGAGUGAUGGUAAGAUCUAUUUUGACUCAAACUUACUUACUGUUGGUAAUGGCCAAGGUUUUAGAAUUACUCACAUAGGUUAUACACAACUUCACACUUCUUUUGGCACCUGCUUACAACUACAGAAUAUUUUGUGUGUUCCUCAAAUUACCAAGAACCUCAUUAGUAUUUCCAAACUCCUCACUGAUAAUGAUAUAAUCAUUGAAUUUUUCUCUGAUGUUUGCUUUCUAAAGGACAAGGUGAAGGGCACUCUGUUGGCUUAGGGGAUUGCUAGAGAUGGCCUAUACAAGCUACUGUCAAAAAAGGAAUCUCUCUCUUCUUCCACUUCUGUUCUGCCAGUGUCUCAUCCUAGUUCUAUGAUGUCAACUCUUUCCUGCAAUAAUGUAAUUACUUCUGUUCAAAGUUCAAAUAAUGACUUCUGUUUUAAGUUUACAUUUCCUGUAAGCUUUCAAACUUCAAUUUCUGUGUCAGCAAAUAUAUUGCACAAUAGACUUGGUCAUCCAAGUAAGCAUGUCAUACAAACUAUUCUCAGAAACAAUUGUUUAAUGUCAGCCAAUGUUAAUAAAUCAAAUUUUCUUUUCUGUGAUGCCUGUCAACUUGGAAAGUUACAUCAAUUACACUUUCCCGCUACUAAAAUCAAAACAAAAUAUCCCUUAGAAUUAAUACACACAUACUUAUGGGGACCAGCUCCAGUUUUAUCACUAGAUGGUUAUAGAUACUAUAUUUCCUUUGUUGAUGACUUCACCCGAUAUUGUUGGAUCUUUCCCUUAGUUUUAAAAUCUGAUGCCCUUACUACUUUCAAAAACUUCAAGAGCUUAGUUGAGAAACAAUUCAAUCUGCCCAUCAGAAUUUUACAGUCUGAUAUGGGAGGUGAAUUCAAAGCUUUUCAGUCAUUUCUUCAACAAUAAGGUAUCCAAGCUAGAUUUAGUUGUCCCUAUACUCACCAUCAAAAUGGUGUUGUUGAGAGAAAACAUAGACACUUAGUAGAAACUGGAUUAACACUCCUUGCUCAAGCAAAAAUGCCUAUUUCUUUCUGGUGGGAGGCUUUCCAUACAACCUCUUAUCUCAUUAAUAGAAUGCCUACCACUACACUGAACAACUUAUCUCCCUAUCAAAAGCUUCAUAAUCAGCCACCAAACUAUCAACUUCUCAGAGUUUUUGGUUGUGCUUGCUAUCCUUUUCCCAGGCCUUAUAAUGACCACAAGCUUGAUUUUCAUUCCCAAAAAUGCUUGUUUUUAGGUUACAGCCCUCUUCACAAAGGAUAUAAGUGUCUAACAAAGUCAAGCAAAGUAUAUGUUGCUGUUCAUAUUAUUUUUAAUGAGUCUGAUUUUCCCUAUUCAGAGUUGUUCGCUUCAUCUGAAUCUUCUUCCAAUUCUCUGUCAUCAUACUCUCCAUCUAUUUGUAUCCUCAAUGACAGUGGCUUGCAUCAGUCAUCAGCUAUAUCUCCUGCUUUAGCAGAGUUACCAACUCACAUUCACCUCAACAUCCUCACCAAGCCCCACACUCUCCUUGUCCCUCUCCAGUCUCAAAUUCCUACGGCUCAUCAUCACCACAUUCUUCAUCACAUAAUGCUUUAGCCAAUCCCUCUGAUGAAUUACAACCAUCAUCUCAACCUGUCAUUUCAACUCAUCAGAUGGUUACUCGAGCCAAAUCUAGUAUUUUUAAACCAAAGACCUACCUUACAGCUACCGAAGACCUUGAACCAGUGAGUGUUAAAGCAGCCCUGAUUGAUACAAAGUGGAAAAUGGCUAUGCAAGAAGAGUAUAAUGCUUUGCAGAAGAAUGACACCUGGACAUUAGUUCCAGCUGAAACCGCUACAAAACUCGUUGGAAAUAAGUGGGUUUUUAGAGUUAAAUAUAACCCAGAUGGUAGCAUUUCCAAGUAUAAGGCUCGGUUGGUUGCAAAAGGUUUUCAUCAAACUUAUGGAGUAGAUUUCUUUGAAACCUUUAGUCUAGUUGUUAAACCCUACACUGUUCGUAUUGUUCUCAGCUUAGCAGUCAUGCAUUGUUGGCCAGUUCGGCAAUUGGAUGUUAACAAUGCCUUUCUUAAUGGCAUGCUUACUGAAAAUGUGUUUAUGCCUCAGCCAGAAGGCUUUAUCAGCUCUCAGUUUCUCAAUCAUGUCUGCAAAUUACAAAAAGCCAUUUAUGGUCUUAAGCAGGCUCCAAGGGCUUUGUAUGAUAGAUUGAAAGGGUCUUUAGUUCGGUGGGGUUUCAGAUCUUCAAAGUCAGAUACUUCACUGUUUUUCAAGCAUAUUGGCAAUAAUGUUCUCAUCAUCCUUGUUUAUGUAGAUGAUAUCCUGAUAACAGGCUCUAGUGCUGUUUAUAUUUCAGAGGUUAUCAGUCUACUUAGCUCAGAAUUUGCACUUAAAGAUUUAGGAGAUUUUAACUACUUUCUUGGGGUAGAAGUGACUCCAUCUGCUGAAGGAUUACAUCUAUCUCAAACUAAGUAUGUUGGUGACAUCUUAAGAAAAGCUCAUAUGCUUGAGAGUAAAGGCUGCAAUACACCUAUCAGUAUUGUUGAUAAGUUGCAGAAGGACAAAGGUUGCUCAUUUACAAAUCCCUCACUUUACAAAAGCAUCAUUGGUUCUCUGCAGUAUCUGACACUGACCAGACCAGAUAUCGCAUUCACUGUAAACAAAUUGAGUCAGUUUUUAGCUGCUCCAACUAUCUUGCAUUGGCAGGCUUGCAAGAGGGUAUUACGAUAUCUACAAAGCACAACACAUUUUGGACUGCAGUUCUUCAAGUCAGGUCCUCCAAGUCUCAUAGCAUAUUCUGAUGCAGAUUGGGGGUCUGAUCCAGAUGAUAGAAGAUCUGUUGGAGGGUAUUGUGUUUAUCUUGGAUCCAAUCUUGUGUCUUGGUCAUCUAAGAAACAGAACAUUGUUUCCAGGUCAUCUGCUGAAUCUGAGUAUAGAGCUUUGGCCUUAGCUACAUCUGAGGUUUUGUGGAUUACAUAUCUGUUGAAAGAGCUCAAAGUAUCACUUCCCAAACCUCUUGUUCUUUACUGUGACAACAACAGUGCAGAAGCUUUGGCUAGCAAUCCUAAGUAUCAUUCCAGAACUAAACAUAUAGAACUGGAUUUACAUUUUGUCAGAGAACACAUUGCCAACAAGGAUCUCUUCAUUGAACAUGUGUCUAGUUCUGAUAAGUUAGCUGAUGUGCUUACCAAACCUCUGAGUUUUGAUAAUUUUGCCUAUAUGCGAACUAAGCUCAAUGUCUGCCCACGACCUUGAGCUUACGGGGGCAUGUUAAGAAUAACAUAUGCUGAGUCAGCUGCUGAGUCAUCAAGCCACGCUGGAAGUCAGUUUUGCAGUUAGUUAGAGAGCUUAUCAGCUUCUCUCCAAAAGUUUGUUAUGUGUAUUAGAAUCUGUGCUCAUGAGUUUUGUGAGUUUGUAACCUUGAAAAGAUUCUCACACUACUAUAAAUUGUAUUGUGACUCAAUUAAUAAAAGUUGUUGAAGCGUUGCAUUUUCUCUCAGUCAAAAUUUUCUCUCUGUUUUUCUAAGUAACCAAACAAAAUCUACAGAGCAUUUUGUAUUUUAACUAUAUCUACACACUUAUAACACAAGUUUGUCACCACUAAAAUAUAAACAUGUUCUGUAAAUGCCUCUAAGAUAUCUGAGAAUUCAUUUCACUACUGUCCAGUGCUCUUUGUCCAGAUUGGAGAGAAACCGACUGACUACACUAACUGCGUAAACAAUACCUGGUCUUGUACAAAUCACGGCGUACACCAAACUGCCAACUGCUGAAGCAUAAGGAACUCCUCUCACGGAGAAAUGGGUUUUGCUCUUGAGAUCUUUGGGAACAUGAAGAAUAAAGAUGUAAUUUCUUGGACUGACAUUGUUUCGGGGUAUAUAAAUAGAGGACAAGUGGAUAUAGCUCGACAGUAUUUUGCUCAGAUACCAGAACGAGAUUAUGUCUUAUAGACUGCCAUGAUUGAUGGGUACCUUCGAGUGAAUAGGUUCAGAGAGGCUUUGACACUUUUCCGGGAGAUGCAAACUUCAAAUAUAAGGCCAGACGAGUUUACCAUUGUUAGGAUUCUUACAGUUUGUGCGAAUCUGGGGGCACUAGAACCGGGAGAAUGGAUAAAGACUUACAUUGACAAAAACAAGGUCAAGAAUGAUAUAUUUGUGGGGAAUGCUUUGAUAGACAUGUACUGUAAAUGCGGAGAUGUUGAGAAAGCUCAAAGGGUACUCAGGAAGAUGCUUCGAAAGGACAAAUUCACAUGGACGGCCAUGAUUGUUGGCCUUGCCAUCAGUGACCCAUUUCCUACGAUCAGACCGGAUAAGGUAACUUAUGUUGGUGUUCUGUCUGCCUGUACUCACAAUGGUAACGAAACUUUUGUGAUAAAUAGUUGCGACUUAAGGUGAGAAUUGGAGGAAACGAAAUAGACUGAAGUUGUUCAAUCAUCGGUGGUUGCUAUUUGAUUUUAAGUUGUUCAAUCAUCGGUCAUCUCUAUUUGGUUUUCUCCAAUAUCUCAUCUCCAGUUUUGACUCAGAUUCUGUCUUACCACUAGUAAUUAAAAGUGAGGAGGCAGCAGUCAAUGCUAUUUCGGCUUGGCCCAAAAUUUCACCAGUUUGUUAGUGUUCUGCAGCUCUUGCUGCUUUCCUAGAGAUUCUGCAUCUUUUGCAAUUUGAUUGAUUAAAAAAAAAAAAAUUAGUGGCCAUUUAGAAUGAAGGAGAGAUUUGUGUGAAUGGUAUAGGUGAAAAAUUGGAUGAAAAUAAACAGGCAACCGUCCGUAUAAAACAACAAUAACAAUAUACAAAAAGAUAAGUAGACACUUCUGUAAUUCACGAAAGGAAAUUUAUGGUUGUUUCUGAAAAACAUACAUAUUAAUUUCACUUAUACUCUAAGGUGGGAUAGAUGUCAACUAGCUAUGCUAAUGAUACCUUGCCAUCAUGACUGGACUUGUGAGGAAUUUGGAAACAUGUAUGAUGAUUGUUACUUACACAAUUGUAGAAAGAAAUGCUGAGGUGGCUUGAACCAGAUGGUGAAAUCGUCUAACACACUUAAUUGUUAGAUGUGUUUUGGAUAUUCACAGUUAGGUUGAAAUUUGUAGUUUUCACUUGAAAGAAUUCAGUUAAAAAUUGAUUGGUAGAAUUGUAAAAUAGUCUAAAUUUUUAGUUCAAACCCAUUGCAUAUUUAAGAACAUCUUAAAUGAAUUGCUUAUUGCUAUCAUCAUCAUUAUUGUCCAUAUAAUAAUAAUAAUAAUAAUAAUAAUAAUAAUAAUAAUAAUAAUAAUCAAUAGAAAUGUUAUCUUAUCCACUAUUUUAUAUAUGUUUCCACUAAAAUCUAUUUAAUUAUUCUUUAUUUUUUUUCAACUGUUGCAUGUUAGAUUUAUUCGAUUUCCUAAGUUAUAUCAAUAGAAAUGUUAUCUUAUCCAUAAAAAGUUAGAUCUAACAAUUAUGAAAAUUACUAUAGUGCUGCUUUGAAUAAUUUUUUAAAAAUACCACAAGUAAAUAAUAAUUAGUUUAAAUAGUGGAGACUAAAAAGCAUUCACCCUUAUUUUUUAUCUGUUAUUAGUUUUUUUUAAUCUGUUAUACAUUUGAAACAUUCCAUUAAUUGCCAAUUAUGUAAGCGAGAUAGUAAUUAAUUUUUUUUAUUUAAAAAAAGUGAAAAUUAAUCCUAUGCAAUGUGAAUAAAUUUCUUUCCUUUUUCCUUCACUCUUUUUAUUUGAUAAUUAAGUUUCAAUCUAUGUACGCAAAAUUUCUGCAACAGCUGCAAAACAUAAAAAUAUAUGAUUGUUAAGGGAAACACGCAGAAGUUCAUCACUUCAAUGUUCAGUAUUUCCAAUUUUGGCAUUAAGCUCUUACGAAUAUAUUCCACUUAGAAAGCAAAAUAUUAGAAUUGUGAUUUUAAUUCAUUCAUCAUAUCUCAUUUCAAUCCCAAAAUAUUCAAGUGGAUCCAAGUUACCAUAAGGCUUCAGAGGCUCGAGCCUUAGCCAGAGAUGGUUAAUUGAUAGACUAGGUAAGAGAAACCAAGGUUGAAGUAUGUAGAAAUGUUAUUUCAUUUAUUUUUAUUUAUGAUUUUUUGUAAAAUGUAAGAAAUAUGUAGAAAUGUUGCCAGCAAUGAUUUUGGAACUUUGCAUAAAAUUUUUAUCAUUAUUGUUUUUGGUAUUAAGAAAUCCGAGGCGGUGAUUAGACGUAUGUUGCAACAAUUAAGAAAUUUCUUAUUGGAGAUAAUUUGGUAGGUUGCAACAAUUAGAGAAUCAUUUUCCUGUCAGUUAAUCAAUCAAUAAUAAAUUUCAAAUUGCAGAAAAUAAAAUAAUACUGUCGCACUUAGAAUCAUCUUUUCUAUCUCUUUCAAUUGUGACAAUCAUUUGUAACAAAUAAAUCAAUUUGAUGCACAUCAUUUCCCCAAUUCAAAGUUCAAGUCACUGCUCAAUUGCAGAGUAGUUAGUAGACAUGCAUGCAUGUUUAAUUAAGUACUGCAUUGUAGUAUCGAAAAUCAUAACAUCUCACCAAGCCCGGAAGCAUAGCUCUUUAUCUUGUAAAUGUUGAAAUCUUAUGCAAACUAUGGGAACCAUGAGCUCACUCUCAGUGUCACUUGAUUCCAUUUUCUGUUCUUGCCUUGAUUUCGAUGUUGGGAAUGUGACGUCUGAGUCUAAGGUUGAAGAUAAUCUCGAUGCCUUGCGGACUGCAAUGGAAAUAAAAUAUUUGUGUGUUGAGAAAUGAUGAAAUGAUGCAAUGGAAAUAAAAUCUCAAUCUCUUGAGAAAUGAUGUGAUAAGAAGAGUUACUGUUGCUGAAGGACAACAUCAAAUGCAACGAAUGGAUCGAGUGCAGGGCUGGCUUUCAAGGGUAAAAUCUGUGGAAAAUAAAGCUGAUGAUUUGAUGAGACACAGCUCUCAAGAGAUUGAGAAGUUAUGCCUUGGAGGCUUCUGUUCCAGGAACUGCAAAUGAAGCUACAGCCGUGGGAUAGAAUUUGCAACAAUGCUACGAUUGUGGAGAGUUUAAUGGGUGAAGGAUCAUUUGAAUAGGUGGCUGAGAGGGUGCCAGAAGAUGCAGCAGAGGAGAUAAAUUGUGAGCCAACAAUAGUGGGCAUGUUGUCGACUUUUGAGAAAGCCUGGAGAUGCCUUGAAGAAGAAUCAGUUGGAAUUAUUGGCCUAUAUGUCAAUGGGGGAGUUGGAAAAUAUUUACUCAAAUCAACAACAAGUUCCUUGAUAGUCCAAAUAAUUUUGAUGUUGCGAUCUGGGUAAUGGUCUGCCAAGAUUUGCAACCCCAGAAGUUUCGGGAAAAGAUUGGGAAAAAGAAAGUCUUGUUCGAUGAGUACCGGAUUGAACUAUAUUAGAUUAUAUUUAAAUAAUAUUAAAUAGUAUUUAAGUUGGUAUUCUAAUAUAAAUAUCAAUUAUCCAUGAAAUUUUAUAAUCAUAAUUAAAAUAAAUUUAAAAAGCAAUUACUAGGAAAAUUAAAUAUAUUGCAAAAAGUUAUUGGGUAGUCAUAAUAUAAUAGGCAAAUAAAAUUAAAUAAAACAAAUUACAUAUUUAAUUAUAUUUAUCAAAUAUUUAAAAAUAUUAUAUAAAAUAUUAUAUAAAAUCAAUUAAUUAAUGAUAUUAUUAAUUUUCAUGAUUAUUUUUAAUAUUAUAUUACUGAUUAUUAAAUUUAAUACAAUCAAAUAAUGCAAUAAAUAAUUAAACAUUCAAUUUUAUUGAUUAAUUAUUAAAUAUACAAGUAAUGAAAAUUUUAUCUCAAGAGUUGGUAGAAGCGAAAGUACUAAUUUAAUUAGAUCAUAGAUAAUAAAUAAAAAUAAAUUUUAAGUAAAUCAUAAUAAAAAAUUAAUUAAUUAAUUCAAUCAAUCAAUAUUAGGUGUAAAUAAAAAAAUGAUAUAAAUAAAAAUCUCAUAAAUGUACAACUUUUAUCUUUAAUCUUAUCCUAAAAGAACAAAAAGCAGAAUAUAUAUUGAAGUGUUUUUCACACCUUUUCAUUAACUGGAAUGCAUGUAUUUAUAUACAUCAUUUGUAACUAAUAAAGAGAAAAUAAAGGAAACUAUACAUGAGAGUAUCAAGGAGAAUAAUGGAAGAGAUUGUUGUCCGUAACUUGUGGAGAGUAUCAUGGAGCUUGAGAUUAUCUGAUAUGCCCCCGCAAGAGGGUGUUGCCAUUGGCGACACCCAUCUUGAACCUUAAUUCAGAAAAUGGUCGCUUAGAGAGGGGCUUGGUUAGGCUAUCAGCAAGUUGAUCUGCUGUAGAUACAUAAGAUACGCGCAAUAGCCCUUUGUUGACCCAAUCACGAACAAAAUGAUAAGCAAGAUCAAUGUGUUUUACCCUUGAAUGAAAGACUGGAUUGCGACACAAAUAGGUAGUUCCAAUAUUAUCACAAUAGAUGGUAGGAGUUUGACUCAAUUGAAGGCCAAGUUCUUGAAGUAGAUUCUGAACCCAUCGAACUUCAGAGGCUGCAUUUGCGACAGCCAAGUACUCAGCUUCUGUUGUGGAACGAGCUAUUGAUUUUUGUUUGUUCGAGCGCCAUGAGAUAGGAUUGCCGCCUAGAUAAAGCAUAUAGGCUGAUGUAGAAGUAAUGAAAAUUUAAUCUCAAGAGUUGGUAGAAGCGAAAGUACUAAUUUAAUUAGAUCAUAGAUAAUAAAUAAAAAUAAAUUUUAAGUAAAUCAUAAUAAAAAAAUUAAUUAAUUGAUUCAUCAAUCAAUAUUAGGUGUAAAUAAAAAAAAUGAUACAAAUAAAAAUCUCAUAAAUGGACAACUUUUAUUUUUAAUCUUAUCCCAACUAAACACAUGUGUAAAUUAGGAUUAUUAAUUCCAUAAUUUUCGGAUUAAAUUCAAAUUUAUUCCCCCUUAAUCCAAUUCAACUAAACUUGUCAAACAUGGGAUAAAAAUUUAAUUAUAAAAUUAGUCCAAUUCCAUACUUAAUCCUAGCAUCCAAAUAUAGCUCAAGUUCUUUGCUUAAAGAAGCUACCAAAUUUGAAGAGCGUUUACGGGAAGGCCUUGCGUUUCCCAGAUGUAUGCAGAAUUUUUGUAUCUAAAUGCCCAGAACUUAAGAAGCUGACGCUGGAUUUUGAAAGGGCGGGCCAAGGUAAAAUUCUUAUCAAAUGAAAGGAAAAUCGAUGGAAACAACUUCAAUGGGAGGAUCAAGCAACUCAGGAUGCAUUGCUUCUGUUUUUCAAAUCAACUGACAAGUGAUUGAAGGGGGCAUCAUCAGCCUGGAUGGGGAGAUCCUGGAGCAGAUCAGCAGGGUUUGAAUCUGCAUCAUCAACAUCAUCAGGAUCUCUAUUUCUAUUGCUGGUCGUAAUGCCUGCCGACUGUUGCUUGAAAAAGUGAUUAAGUGAGCCAGUUUUUUGUUUAUUAAAUUUUGUUUUGUAGAGACAGUCACAAAGUAUUUUUCUUAGUUGUUCUAUAUGAGAGUGAUGUGAACCAAUUUUUCAAUUAUAUAUUCUGUGGGAAAUUGCAAGUAUUUUUAAAAUAUGAUCGUUAUUAAAGGAAACAAAGGAAUCAACACAGCAUACUGAACCUCAGCAGUAUGAAGCUAAUGAUUAAACUCCUCACACAAUUCAUAACAUGCAAAACCAUUCACAAAAUCAUCCACAGCAACCAUAAUUGGCGUCCAAUAGAAAUUUACAAGAAUUACUUUUCUGUUCAUGCAAUCGGCGUCUGAACGCGGCUGAUCGGUCACCGGUGUUGGCGUUUACUGUGAUUAGACAAAUUGUAGCACUUCAAAAAUAACUUCUAUAGGGGUAAUUUCGAUUUCACAUAAUUAAUUUUAUUUACAAUAUUUUAUUCCUGCAAGGUCAACUGAGAUUCUUUCCACCGGGCACACCCUUCAUGUUCUUUUAUUUUCUGUCUUUUAUUAGCCGUUGGAUUUUACUACUCUUAUAUCCAACGGCUUGCCACAACAAGACAAAUGAGGUGGUACCUUUCAACCGCUGAAAGGUAGUUUUGGCCCCAAGUGAAAGAGGGAAAUAGGGAAUUGAUGCUAUAUUUUAUAUUUUCUAUUUUACUACUCUUGUAUCCACCGGCCUUUCUUAUAUUUUAUUGCAAAUUGAUGCUAACAAGAAAAAGCUAGAUCAUAUUCCACAGAAAAGUGAGAAAACAACCAGAUGGAUUCUUUUAUUAAACUACAAAUUAAAAUGGUAUCACAAAUUCUCAUCAAUUUAUUUAAAUAUAUUCUUUUAACCCUCUUUUUAAUUUCACAAAUUCUCAUCAAUUUAUUUAAAUAUAUUCUUUUAACCGGAAACAAUUGAUAUCACUUAUUAAGAAUAACAAAAUUUACUAUUUAAAAAUGAAGAUCAAUAAAUUUUUAUCAAUCAUGAAAGUUAAUGAGUGUCAAGAAAUUAAUUUUUGCUAAACAUACAAGCUAAUAACUAUUAAAAAAAUCUUAUAUUAUAGAGAUCAUAUAUAUUAAGAAAGACCAAAAAAAAAAUUAAAAAAAUAGUUAAAUUCAGUGUAUAGUUUAUAGGAUGUGAGAGUGGUAAAAGAAUAUAUAAUUGUAAAAUAGAGAAAAAGAAAAAGAGAUUAGUAGAGAAUAAUUUUGAGAUUUUUUAAUUUUUAAUUUUUAAUAAUAAAUUUAUUUUAAAAAAUAGGUGUGGAGAAAAAUUUGAUGGGUUCAAGCAAUUCCACCUAAUUUUAUAUUAUCAAUACGCAAAUGAAAGUACAAAAAUACCUCUAAUAGAGUGAAAUAAAGAGUUCUCUAAUCUCUAGGGUUUCUCAUUCCAAUUUUGAAAUUUCCCUACUUUAUUUUGAAUUAACCCUCUUUGUUACCAUUGAAUUGUAACAUUCAAAAUUUGAAUAUGUUUUUACAAAUAGAAGAUUAUUGGGACAAAAACAAUAAGAAAUAGAAAACCUAGUUGAAAAAGGAUAUUACAAAAAAAGAAAUUGCCAUUACCAUUCAAACAUUUACACAGUAAAGGCAUUAACAGCAUAAGGCGGCAAUAAAACUUACUCAUAAUUAGGGGUGGCAAAAAAGUCCGAGCCGGCUUAGGCCCGGCCAAGCCCAGUCUAGAUCCGUGGACUUAAAGUCCGACCCGUAAGGAUGUGGGCUUAGAUAUAGACCUAAAAAUUACAAAACCCACAUAUAUUAGACCUAAACAAGAACUUAGCAAAAAAACCCAAACUUUCUAAAUUUAUGAAUAAAAAAUAAAUUUAAUUUAAAUAAAAAAAAUUAAAAUAUUAAAUUAAUUGAAUUUUUUAUAUUAAUAUUUAUUAUUUUAUUAAAUUAUAUUGUUAAUAUUUAAUGUAUUUGACUAUUAUUCUAUUUAUAUAUUAUAUUAUUAUUUUUAAUUUAAAUAUUUUUCUUAAUUUAAAAAAUUUUUAUAAUUAAUUUAAAAAGUUCAGGCCCAGCCCGAGUUCGGUCCAUCCAAAUUUAACGGAUUUUUGAAGAACCUGAACUUCGUUUGAAUGAUAUGGGUCCGGCCCAAGCCCGCAAAUUGCCAUCCCGUGAUAAUAACAAACAGAUAUGGCCCAGCCCGAGUUCGGUCCAUCCAAAUUUAACGGAUUUUUGAAGAACCUGAACUUCGUUUGAAUGAUAUGGGUCCGGCCCAAGCCCGCAAAUUGCCAUCCCGUGAUAAUAACAAACAGAUAUAGAUAGAUCGAUGGAUGGCAUUUUUUAAAUGUACCUUAAAAACCAAAACAAAAGCAAAAAUAUUAAAAUAUUACACCAACUGCUAACUAAUUAAUCUAAUAAAACGCCUCGCUUAAUCAUUUCCAGUCCACUAAACACGCUGAACGGAUUCCAGCCUCUGAAGUCUCAUCUCAUUGUUAAAUUCAUUGAUGAAAGCUUCAACUCGCCGAUUCAACUCAUCUUGACUCAUCGAUUCCUCCCUCCUCAGCGACGUUCUGUCACUGAACGUCUCAGAUUUCCUCAGCUCACGUUUCGCCCAAGCCGUCGGAUCAUUCUCAUCAUUAUCACUACCACAGGCGAUGGUGAUGAUGUGGAAGGUGGAAGAAGCGGCGAUGGUGAUGAUGAUGAUGAUGAUGAUGAUGAUGAUGAAGUUGACUAUGAUGUAAUUGUACGGCGGCGACAGCCAGAACCUCAAAGAAAUGAAGAGGCUAGGGAUUGUCGAUACCGUGAAACAAAUGUACGGGAUUAUUGCUACCUUAAACAGCAUGAAAGUUGAAACAAACCCGGCUGACAAAAAUAACAACUUUGCUACCCGCGUUACUGUCUCUAAUCUGCUUGAUUUUGGGUCGAAAUUUUGAAAAAGAUCCCCCAUUUUUCAAUUUUCACACACAAUAAAGAAGGAAAAAGAAAGGUAGCUAGAUUUUUUUUUUGUUUUUCAACAAGGGAAGAAAUAAGAAAAGAACAUUAAAAGGAUUUUUCAGGCUUUGAUGGUCAUUAAAAUGAGACCCAGGAAACCAUUGAAGCUAAAAAAAAAACGAGAAGCCAUGUAUUUAUAUAUGCUGCUUUGCUUUACAAAAUCUGACUGGCAUCAGGGUGAAAAAAAAGUGCCAUUUGUUGGUACAGAGAGACAGAGGAGAGUAGAGAGGCAGAUGCAGGGGCAGGGGCGAAGUCAAGGGACCAUUGAAUGGGCAAGCGAGGUUUCAAUUUAUGUAACGAGGGACGAUUAAAGUUCUUGCAACUUUCCUGCCGUCUGAUGAAAUCUUGACCGUUCGAUGGUACAAUAAUGGUUAUAAUGAUCUUGAAAGUGUUGGAGAGAUAAGUUUGUACAGAUUAUGUACGCUAAAUAAAAUCACAUUUAAAAUGGUUUUUGAUUUUAUUCUAUUACAGAUUACUUUUAUUAAAUAAAUGAAGGUACAUUGAGUGAGUGAGUGAGUGACUUCACGAUUUUGCACUAACGCCGCUGUGUUAUCCUCCGCGGCACUUGUCCUCAUCAUUUGUAAUUGAAAAGCUGAUUUAAGAUUUUAGAAUAGUGCCUUUUGGAAAAAAAAUAUAUAUAUAUAUCAACGGCCGAUUGAGAUUUCUUUUUUGAAGAUUUAAAAUUAAUUUUUUAAAAAAUUAAAAAUUAAUUUUAAUAUUUUAUAAGUUUUAAAAAAAUUAUUUUUAAUAAAAUCACUUCAUAGUAGAUUCCGGAAAGUAGAUAUCUAUGCUUUUUAAAUUUUAAUUUUAAGAAUUAAUUUUUUACUUAAUAUAAUCCUUGCAUAUAUUAUAAAAUUUUAAAAUCAUCUUCAUUAAUUACAAAAUAAGAUCAUUAAUUUUAAGGAGAUUAUAAUCAUUAUCAAUUAUAGGGAGAUUAAAUGCUUAAAGUGACAAGUGCAAAACUAUUUAAAAAUAGUCAGUAAAAGUAUAGGUGGGCAAUUAGUUCAAUUCUAUUUGAAUCAACUAAAUUAAAUUAUAUCGUGUUUCAUAAAUUUUUAAAGCAACUGAUUUUUUGUUUGGUUUAGAUAAAAAUUAAACUAAACCGAAAAAUCAAACGGUUCAAAGAAAAAAAAGUUAAAAACAAAUUUUAUAAACUGAUCGGUUUCCGUUAGAUUCAAUUCCAAAUCUAAACAAACCAAUCCAAAGUGAAAAUAAACAUUUUUGUUGAAUGCACUUUUAAUUUGUUUGGAUACGUCUCGACCCUCCAGUCUCUUGAUUAAAGUUCAUUUAUUAGGGUCCGCUUGUAAUACAGCGUCUGUAUCUCAUACAGUCAAAUUUAAUAUUUUAUUAAGAAAAAGGGCAACCGUUAGAUAGAAGUAGAUACAUCCAAUGGUUAAUAUCUGUGAUUACUCAUUUUGGUGACCGGAUAUGCCAAUUAUUAUUUCAUCAAUUAACUUACCUAAAAAAUCAUAGCCGUUGGAUUGAGAUGCCUCUCUCUCCCUCAAAAUAACAGCCUUCGUAUUCUCUCUGCUAUUGUUUUGUCCUACAUCUAGAAUUUUGGAUGAAUGAACUUGGUAUUCAAGAACAUUCACCACCCAUCACAGCAAAGAGCAAAGAUAUAGUCGAAGGAGUGCCAUUUAUUCAGGCUUACUUGAUCUGUCAGUCUCGCUUCAAUUCGUCACUCAUUUUCUUGCGCUCAGCUUCAAUCUAUCACUCUCAGCUUCAGUUCGUCACUCAUAGCUUCAAUUUUUUCACUGUCGUGAAUCAUCUCUCUUGCUGUAUCUCUCUCUUAUGUCUUCCAAUAAUUUCGGUGAGCUCUCUCUCUAAUUUAAUAUAUGAUUAAAAAUCUUAUCAUCUUAUCAUGUCAUUUAAAUAUGCUUGAAGUUUCAAUUUAGUUUAUGAAUAUUACUUGAAAUUUUAGAUUCAAUAAUUUUAGUUUUUUUUUUCUCUAUCAUCAAUCAUAUAUUUUUUCUUGCUCUUUAACUUCUUAUCUUCAACUAAAUGUGACCUUACAUUUAUUUAGUGUAUGAUCAAUUUUUAAAUGCACAAUAAGCAUUGCAAAGUUGGCGUUAUGCAAAGGCUAUCACAAUGUGAGCGUUCAAUUGGACAGAGUGUCAUGAUCAUACAUCCUUGAACCCAAUAUUUAUUCCAAUAACAAAUGUAGAUACGUAAACUACUUUUUUUUUUUAAAUAAAAAUAAAAAACUUCAAUGAAUCAAUCAAUUAUUUUCUGAAAUGUUAUGCGAAUUGUGAUUGUGAGAUUAAAAAAAAAUAUCCAUGCAAAUCAAAUUGUAACCGCCCUCUCAAGAUAAACCAAGUAACACAAAGCAUCAUUAACUCUUUCUUGUUUCAGCCACAGUACUAUUUUUUGCUUGAUGAGAAUAUAUUUAAAUAGUAUUUAAGUUGGUAUUUUAAUAUAAAUAUCAAUUAUCCAUGAAAUUUUAUAAUCAUAAUUAAAAUAAAUUUAAAAAGCAAUUACUAGGAAAAUUAAAUAUAUUGCAAAAAGUCAUUGGGUAGUCAUAAUAUAAUAAGCAAAACAAAUUAAAUAUUUAAUUAUUUUUAUCAAAUAUUUAAAAAUAUUAUAUAAAAUCAAUUAAUUAAUGGUAUUAUUAAUUUUCAUGAUUAUUUUUAAUAUUAUAUUAGUGAUUAUUAAAUUUAAUACAAUCAAAUAAUGGAAUAAAUAAUUAAAUGUUUAAUUUUAUUGAUUAAUUAUUAAAUAUACAAGUAAUGAAAAUUUAAUCUCAAGAGUUGGUAGAAGCGAAAGUACUAAUUUAAUUAGAUUAUAGAUAAUAAAUAUAAAUAAAUUUUAGGUAAAUCAUAAUAAAAAAAUUAAUUAAUUGAUUCAAUCAAUCAAUAUUAGGUGUAAAUAAAAAAAUACAAAUAAAAAUCUCAUAAAUGUACAAUUUUUAUUUUUAAUUUUAUUCAAACUAAAUACAUGUGCAAAUUAAGAUUAUUACAUCCUUGAACCCAAUAUUUAUUCCAAUAACAAAUGUAGAUACGUAAACUACUGGGAAGCAGCACACGUGUCCUGAAGAGAGAAAAAAAUCGAGCAAAUGCAGACAAUGGGAGUUGGCUAAAAGUUGGAUCUGCAAUUUACAAAAUCUGUAACUUAUUAGCCAGCUCCCAAAUUGUGUAGUCUUUUUUCAAAUUGUACAGACAUUUAUAAAUUGGUGGCCCCUUGAAAAUUUAAUGCCAAGCAGAUAAAAGUCAUCAAGCACAGUCCUCAAUAGUUGUUUCGUGUAUAUUUAUAAAUUGGUGGCCCCUACAUCUUUAAUAAUUGGGAUUGAAUUACGGUAUAAUUGUAGAAUCAUGUCUCAAUUACAUUCAAUUGUUAGAUAUAUUUACGUUGGUAAAAUUUACUGAUAUCUAAUAAUUAAACGUAACUAUAACACAAUAUUAUAAUUACACCACAAAUUUUCUCUAAUAAUUAUUCCGAUACUUAUAAAUUGGUGGCCCCUUAGUAAUUUAACAGCAGCCUGCAAGUGUCAACUAAUGAAAAGUCAUCAUUCACAAUCUUCCAAGUGAAACAGGAAAUAUACAAAAAUUAAAACAUGUCAUUCUUUUUUUUUCAUUCCCUGUCAUGUAACUUACACCCAAAUACAUAAAUAAUAUAAAAUGAAUGGAGAGAUGCCAGGAGCAGAUCAGCAGGGUUUGAAUAUGACCUUUGGCGCUUGCUUUUUUUUUUUUUUGUGAUUUUUUUUUCAUUUUUUCCUUCCUGUCAUUUUAUCAUUUCUUUGGCUUUGUCUCUAUUGCGGGUGUUACUGCAUGCUUACUGUUUCUUGACAAAGUUUGCUAGCUUUUCCUUUUGUUUAUUAAAUAUUUUUAUCGUCACAAAGUAUUACUCGUUCUAUUUGACAGUGAUGUAAAUUAAUUUUUCAAUUUUAUAUUUUAUCGUCGAUGUGAAUUCAAUUUCAUUUGUCAUCAUGCACAAUCCUCAAUAAUUGUUUCGAUAUUUAUAAAUUGGUGGCCCCUACGUCCUCAAUAAUUGUUCCGAUACUUAUAAAUUGGUGGCCCCUUAAUAAUUGGUGUUUGAGGAAUUAAAUAGAGCGAUCAUGAUCUUUUCCAAAUGAAAGUGAGCAAAUGGUUGAGCAGGUCACCUUGAUCAGGUGGUAUGAGUUUGAUCAAAUCACCUCGACCAGGUACAAUGAGGUUGAGCAGAUCAUCUUGAUCAGGUGGUGUGAGCUUGAGCAGAUGACCAUGUGGUAUGAGCUUGAGCAAAUCACAUCGACUAGGUGCUAUGAGGUGGAGCAGAUCACCUCGACUAGGUACUAUGAGGUGGAGCAGAUCACCUCGACCAGGUGCUAUGAGCUCGAGCAGAUCACUUCGACCAUGUGCUAUGAGCUUGACCAGAUCACCUCGACCAGGUGGUCUAAACUUGAGCAGAUCACCUCGGCCAAGUGAUGACUAGGAAUAAAGACUCAGUUAAAAUAAACCACCACAAAGCUCCUCCGAAAAAUCAGGGCACGAAUCUGAUUAAUCAAUGGUUAUUGUCACGAUCUAAGGUCGUGGGUGUGGGGUGUUUUAUAAAAAUCCCGAGAAAAUCACACCAAGGGAAGGCUCUUUUUCUCUGGAUCUGACGGAGAAAUCCUUUCUGGAUACUCUAUUUUACUUUUCUGCAAAUUAUUCAAAAAGCUUUUGGUUUUAAAAUAAUGUUUAUUUAGCCAUAUGAAAAAUGACAUAUUUGGUUUUUCCUGUAAACCCCAUAACUGACUUGAGCGUUGGAGGGUUUACGCCAGAAAAACUUCCGGCACCUCUGACCAUUCUCUGUAAUUUCAGGUACUUAUUGAUCGUCAGCUUGAAGAUUAUAUGCUCAUGAAUGUUCUGCUCAUAGUCAGAGAAUAUUCUGACUAUAUUAGCCAUGACAUUUUAGUAAUUUCAGGUACUAAAAAAAAAUUAAAAUUGUUGGCGUGAAAAGCACAAAUCCUAUUUUUUGACAAUUUUAUCUUUGUCAAUUUCAAAGAUUUACAAUAUCAUAGGUAAAGAUUAUAACUAUUUCAUCUUCAAGUUUUUAAUUUUAUAUUUUUUGUAGGAACUUUAAGAAAAUAUCAAUAAUUUAAAGAGAAUUUUUGAAAUUUUUAAUUUUAUCUUUCUUGUAGGAAUUUUAAGAAAAUAUCAAUAAUUUAAAGAAGGUAAAAUAACCAAUAAUUUUAUUUUUUUUUUAGUUAUUUCCGUUUAAAAACUGUUCUUUUAUUAGCCGUUGGAUUUUACUACUCUUAUAUCCAACGGCUUGCCACAACAAGACAAAUGAGGUGGCACCUUCCAACAGCUGAAAGGUCGUUUUGGCCCCAAGUGAAACAGGGGAUGCACUUACUAUUAAGGACAGUUGGUGGCCAGCUAAUGCACUCAUUUUAUGUCCUUUUAUCUUUUUGAAUUCCUGAAGACAAGUGCAUUCAUUUUGUGUCCUUUCAUCUUUUUGAAUUACUGAAGACAAGUGGCCAGCUAAUGCAUUCAUUUUUUGUCCUUUCGUCUUUUUGAAUUAUUGAAGACAAGUGGCUCAUCGCUUUUACUGUAGGUAAGAUCUUGAUAAUCUCGAUUAUCAAAAUAAUAAUAUUCAAAAUAUUUCUUAAUUUUAUUUAAAAGAUAAAAGAAAAAUAAGUUAUGCUGGUAAAUUUUUUUAUUUUUUUAAUAAAAAUAAAAUAAAUUGAUGUUUAUAAUUGUUUCAAAUACUUUAAAGAUUGUAAUUUUAUGAGAGAGUAAUAUUUCACAUUUUUAAUGUGAAAAGUUGAAAAGGGACAAAGCAAGUUUCUCUGUUUUUCUUUUUCUUUUUUUAAAUUUGGUCAUCUCAAAUACUUCACCCUUCAACACUACAAUAUUUUGGUUAUAUAUAUAUAUAUAUAUAUAUAUAUAUAUAUUUUACACAUGCAUAUGAAUUACUUUUCUUUUAAGCUCCUGAAUAUUUAAGACAAAUCAUGAAAGAGAUGAGAAUAUAAUAAGAUGAUCAAAAUAUGUAACAAAAUUUUUUUAGAAGUGAAACAUCGUUAGAGUUGAAGUAAAACUCUGAAAAUAGAGAUACUGAUUAAUUUAGAAGAGAUGCAAGCAAAAGAUAUGCCAAAAAAAAAAAAAAGCAAUAUGUCACUUUGGAGGGCAAACUUGUCAGUUUCACAAAAAUACAUGCUUUGUAUUGAUAGUUGUCACUAUGUAUUAGGGUGCGUUUGAAAUUAUAGUGCUGUACCUUUUAAACUACAGUUGUUGUAGAAAAAAAUAAAAAAUAAAAACUACACCUAAGAUUAAGGAAAAGUACUUCAAAACUCUCUUUUGAUCAUAAAACCUUUUGUCUUAAUUAACUUAAAGAUUUUGAAUCUAAUAUUUUAUAACAAAUAAAAAUAUAUUACCAAAAUAAAUAUAAUAAUAUCUAUUUUAAAAUAAUAUCAAUAUUUAAAAUAUGUUUUAAUAUUUGACGAUCUAUUAGACACAUUUUAUUAUGUUAAAGUAAAUUUUAUAAUAAAUACAAACAUACUAAUAAAAUGAAUAUAUACAACAUUUAGAGUAUUUUGAAUAUUAUAUAAAAUAAAUUUAAUACAAUGCAUGAGAUAUAUUUUAUUAAUUUAAAAUGCUAUUUAACCUAAAGAUUUAUUUAUGAAAAAUUAAUGAUUAUAUUUUUGAAAUUAUUUAAAAUAUUAAAAAAAUUAAUAUUAUUAAUCUAUCAGGUAGAUUAAAUUAUUUAUAUUAUUUUGCAUUUAUUAAAAAAUUUUAAAAUCAAUCUUUUUAAUUACUAUUCUAAGGAUAUAAUAAUAGAGGCAACUCCGUUGCGUCAUGGUUUUGGUACCCCGUCGUUUGUCUUUUAGCACAGUCAUCGUUGGAUUUUAUCUCACGGCUGCAGAAGAGACACAGAGACGCUAGGGAGCAACCUGACAAAAAGGUCAUGGGCCGGUAAGCUGCAGGGAAAAUAUUUAAAAUACAAAAUCUUCCCUUAAAUUUUUUUUAAUAUUUAACAUGUUAUAGUUUCUAAUCUCAUGAAUAGUAGAGGAUAAAGUUUUAUCUUAAAAAAAGUAAUCCCAAGGGUCUCCUUGGGAUGAAAUUUUGCCUCUAUUAGAAUUAAGUGGUGGGCUCAUUAUUGUUACUUUUAUUUUUUUUAUACCAAACAUGAUAUAGGAUUAUUUUAUACUAAAAUUAUCCAAUCCUAUGAUAUAUAACUAAAACUAAACAGGCACUUAGGGUAUAUAUGAGCCACGGUGGAGAAGCUUUAUUUAAUAUUAUUGAUUUAAAUAAUAUCUCAUUAAAAAUGUACUGAGAAGAAAUUUCGGUGGGUAUUUUAGUCAAUCACAUGAUCAGCCUUUGGACUUGAAACGUCGGUCAGAAUGAUUUAUUCUAACAAGAAAAAACUAGGUAAUAUUCCACAAAAGUAAAAGUGACAAAACAACCAGCUGGAUUCUUUUAGGAAAUUACAAAGAGUAAUGAUACAGUCAUAAAUUUUUAUAUAAAUUUAUUUUAUAUAAAUUGAUGUGGUAUUAAUUCAUUAGUUGAAUGAAAAUAUAAAUUAAUAAAAAUAAAUUAUAUGGACCAAGUAAUAUUUAAUUCAAUCAAUCUUAUUAUGUCACAUCAAUUUAUAUAAAAUAAAUUUAUAUUUGUAUUAUUACUCAACUAUAAAUUAAAAUAAAUUUUUUCGAUAAACUACAAAUUAAAGUGGAUUCUUUUGAAUGCAAGUGGGACAGACGAUAAGGCUAAAAAUUAGUCAAGAAUCGAAUAGUCUUUUUCAAAUUCUUGUUUUAUUAUUUUUCAAAACCAGUUUUUGGUAAUUACAAUCGGGUCAUUAAUCAUUAUUCAGAGUUAUUGUUUCCUUCAGAAGUUAGUGGCUCAUGUUUGCAAGUGUGAAUAUGCGAUGCUCUUUUUCGAAAGCGCAAUGACAGUGGGUCCCGAAUCGGACGUCCCUAAAUCUUUUUAAAAUUUUUGCCGUAUAACGAACAGAGGUCAUUACUAAAAUUUCUCUUCCACAGCCUACAGCAGCUUCAGUUUAUCAAACUCAAUCAAUUUUCUUUCUUAACAAAAUUCCAAAGAUGUGUAGCAUUUUUCAGAUCACAUGCGAUGGUGCUCUUUUCAAUCGUUGCUUGGAUUGCUUUCUUGGAAAAGCAGCAUACAUACGUAACCUCCAAGAUAAUCUUGUAGCCUUGGAGACUGAACUGGGAAGACUAAUCGCAGCAAAGAACGAUGUGAUGAUGAGGGUUGUCAAUGCUGAACGGCAACAAAUGAGAAGGCUGGACGGAGUGCAAGUGUGGGUUUCGAGGGUGGACGCUGUUAAAACUGGAGCCGAUGAACUUAUCACAGACGGCUCUGAAGAAAUUGGCAAAUUAUGUGUUGGAGGCUACUGUUCCAAGAACUGCAGGUCAAGCUACAAAUUCGGAAAACAAGUGGGUAAAAAGCUACAAGAUGUGAAGACUUUAAUCGCCGAGGGAGUUUUUGAGGCGGUGGCCACUGAGGUGGUGCCCGAGAGAGCUCCGGAACCUGUAGCAGAUAAAAGACCCACUGAGCCAACAAUAGUAGGCCUGCAAUCACAGCUUGAACCAGUUUGGAGAUGUCUUGUAGAAGAAUCAGUGGGAAUCAUUGGCCUAUAUGGUAUGGGCGGUUUUGGUAAAACCACACUAUUGACCCAUAUCAACAAUAAAUUUCUUGAGAGUCCCACAAACUUUGAUUGUGUGAUUUGGGUCGUAGUUUCAAAAGACCUGCGACUUGAAAAAAUUCAAGAAGAUAUUGGGAAGAAGAUAGGUCUAUCUGAUGAUUCAUGGAAGAAUAAAAGUUUUGAAGAGAAAGCUGUGGACAUCCUGCUGAGAUUAGGAGAGAAGAGAUUUGUAUUGUUGUUAGAUGAUUUAUGGGAGCGGGUUGAUUUAACAAAAGUGGGCGUUCCACUUCCCAGCGCACAAAAUACUACCUCAAAAGUCGUAUUCACAACCCGUUCCAUUGGUGUUUGUGGCAGCAUGAGAGCUAGGCCGGUUAAAGUGGCAUGCCUAUCAGAAAAGCAAGCUUGGGAACUGUUCCGCGAAAAUGUUGGGGAAGAAACUCUUGAGAGUGAUCAUGAGAUCGUUGAGCUAGCCCAAACUGUGGCCAAAGAGUGUGGUGGUUUGCCACUCGCACUUAUUACUAUUGGUCGAGCUAUGGCCUACAGAAAGAAAGCGGAGCAGUGGAGACGUGCAAUUGAAGAGUUAAGAAGAUCAGCUUCAGAGUUUGCAGGUUUGGGAAAAGAGGUGUAUCCUCUUUUAAAGUUUAGCUAUGAUAGUUUGCAGAAUGAGACAAUUAGAUCUUGUUUCUUGUAUUGUUGUUUAUAUCCUGAAGAUUAUGGCAUUCUUAAAUGGGACUUGAUUGAUUGUUGGAUUGGUGAGGGAUUUUUUGGGGAAUCUGACAGGUUUGGUGCAGAAAACCAAGGAUAUGACAUUUUGGACACUCUUGUUCGUGCAUGUUUAUUAGAAGAGGUGGAAGAUGAUGAAGUAAAAAUGCAUGACGUUGUUCGUGAUAUGGCUAUAUGGAUAACUUGUGAAAUUGAGAAGGAGAAGAGAAACUUUUUGGUUUGUGCAGGUGCGGGACUAAAGGAGGCACCGGAGGUUAAAAGAUGGGAAAAUGUGAGAAGAUUGUCACUGAUGCAAAACCAAAUUAAAACUCUGUCAGAGGUUCCCACAUGCCCUCAUCUCCAUACUUUAUUUCUUGACUUCAAUGACAAUUUGAAUAUGAUCGCGGAUGGCUUCUUCCAACUUAUGCCUUCUCUCAAAGUUUUGAAGAUGUCAAACUGCGUGAAUUUAACUUUGAAAUUACCUUUGGGGAUGUCAAAGUUAGGUUCACUAGAACUUCUUGAUGUUUCGAAUACCGGCAUAAGAGAGUUACCAGAAGAGUUAAAGUUGUUGGUAAAUCUGAAAUGUUUGACUUUGAGGUGGACAUUUGAGUUAAAUAAAAUUCCACGGCAACUAAUAUCAAAUUCUUCAAGGUUACGUGUGUUGAGAAUGUUGGGUACUGGCCUUUUGAAUUUUCAUGAAGCGUCAGAAGAAAGCGUUUUAUUUGGUGGGGGUGAAGUUUUGAUACAGGAAUUGCUCGGUUUGAAAUAUUUAGAGGUAUUGGAGUUGACCUUGCGAAGUUAUCAUGCUCUCCAAAUUCUUUUGAGCUCAAAUAAGUUAAAAAGUUGUAUUCGAUCUCUUUUCCUCCAGUUGGCCGGAGAUGCAACGUCGAUUGUUGAUGCUACGGCUUUCGCAGAUCUAAACCACCUCAAUGAAUUAUAUAUUAAUAAAGGUUUUGAGUUGGAAGAAUUGAAGAUUGAUUAUACGGAGAUAGUACGAAAAAGGCGGGAACCUUUUGUUUUCCGCAGCCUUCACCAUGUUACUAUAUGGCGGUGCGCUAAAUUGAAAGAUUCGACAUUCCUCGUUUUUGCUCCAAACCUCAAGUCUCUUGUGCUAGGUAAUUGCCAUGCUAUGGAAGAAAUAAUCAGCGUUGGAAAAUUUUCCGAGGUUCCUGAGAUCAUGGGACAUAUGAGCCCUUUUGAAAAUCUCCAAAGGCUUCAUGUAGAAGAUUUGCCAGAUUUGAAGAGCAUCCACUGGAAGCCAUUGCCUUUCACUCAUCUGAAAGAAAUGGGGGUAAGAGCAUGUGAUCAGCUUGAAAAGCUUCCACUCGAUUCCAGCAGUGCAAAAGAGCGUAAAUUUGUUAUUCGUGGAGAAGAAGACUGGUGGAACCGACUUCAAUGGGAGGAUGAAGCCACUCAAAUUGCUUUUCGUUCCUGUUUCCAACCUUAUUCCUGAGCCGUGGUCGCAAAAUUUGAUUUCUGGUGAGUGCGUUUUUGUUAACGCUUAUGUUUUAUUCCAGUGUAUUUUUCUUCUGUCUUCUGCAAAUCACAAUUAAAUGUGUGAUACAUGUUACGGGUAAUAUACAUGCAGUAUUUUUGGUACACUGCAAAUCACAAUUAAAUGUGUGAUACAUGUUUACGGGAAAUUUAUAGACAUGCAGUAUUUUUGGUGGGGUCGAAUUGAUGCUCUGGUUUUUUUUUGUUGUCAAAAUUUUCUCUGUUUUUUCAAAUUGAUGCUUUAUUUAUAUCUUCUUCGUGAAAAGUGAUUUAAUUUCCUGCCAAAAGACGAACGAGAAGAACAUUAGAGUCAAACUAAUGCUCACAUAAAUUUCCCGUAAGAAUAUAUAUAUAAUUAGACUGGAAUAGUAGCCCUCUUUACAGAAAAUGACGCGAAAGUUAAUUUAGAAAGAUAUAUUCUUGAUUAAUCCAUUUUCUGAAGCUUUUAUUUUGUAUGGUCAAUUAUACCUUCAUACUAAAAAUUUCUGAAUUUAUAAAUUAGUGCAACUUGACAAUUUUUACUGAUGAUAUCUUCUAUUUUUCCUUUCUUUCUUUUUUUUUUUUACUCUCAUUGAAUGUUACUGUCAUUUUACUUACAAAUAGGUUUGAAUUUUAUUUAGUUUUCUCAUAGUAUUUGUGCAAGUACUAGAAGGUCAAACCCCGCAUACUUUGAUUGCCAAACCACCGUCCAAUUUAAAAAAAGAAAAAAAGAAAAAAAAUGUGUAAUCCAUGAAUCUGGUUAAUUUUGUUUGUUUGUUUUUUUUUUUUUAAAUAUCAUUCUUUUUCGGCCACCCAAAAUAUCAUUGAUGACUUUUCUGGUCUAAUGCUAUGUAAAUAGUAUGUUAAGUAAAACAUAAUCAAUUAUUUGUGUUUUAUCUCUAAUUAGAACAUCAAUCAGUUCAGUACCUCACAAAUAAUUCGCAAUAUCUACAAAAUACUAUAAUGGCUACAAAACAAAUCCUGCUUGCAAAUUGUCAAGGAUACCUAUCCGUUCGCUUGACAAGUCAUUUGAAUAAAUAUUGUUCACAUUCCUUACUCUGUCAAUUAUCCAAAGCACCAUCAACUUUAGUUUGAAUAGUAUACAUGCCAUCACCAUUACCAAGAAUCAAGCAUGAAAGAGUCAUUCUAUAGAGUGCAGAACAUGACUCUAUGCGGUAGUCAAUUUGACACACGACGAACAACAUAUGCUGCAUAACAUACAAAUUAAUUUCCCAUAUGUGAUGCAAUUUUCUCCUCAACAUAUGCGCAAUUCUUUCCAUUCCGGCCGUUGAUUGAACCCUUUGGCAACAAGACGAGCUUUAAGCCUGUCAGCAGAACCGUUGGAAUGUCUUUUAAUACAAAAAUCCAUUUGCAGCCAACAAUAUUGGAAGGGAUGGGAGGUGGAACAAGCUUCCAUGUCCCGUUACGAACAAGAGCAUCAUACUCUUCUGACAUAGCUUGACGCCAGUGAGGAUUUUUGAUAGCUUGCGUCACAGUUGUAGGUUCACAAUCAGAAGAAGGGCUAAAAUGAGCACGGAGGUUAAGUUUUUGUAACGGCUUGUGAAUCUUAUUUUUAGCUCGGGUAGUCAUAUCAUGAUGAUUUGUGGGGCAAUGAUGUAGUGGAGUUUGGGAAGAUGAUUGAAGAGGAAGUGAAGAAGUGCUUUGUGUAGAGGUAGAAGUAGGUUGGGAGGAUUGCUGCGGAGAUGUUACCGGUAGAGAAGAAGGAGCAGUACACGGUGGCAACUCCAGAGGGCCCAUAGUGAAACACUUGCGUAAUUAGGAGUGGUAGAAGAGCUUGUAAUGAUUUGUAUGGAAAAACAAACUCUACAAAUUUAACGAGACGUGAAAUGAAAAUUUGAAAGGUGGAUGGGUCAAAACAUAAAUAAGCACUUUGAGAUAAAGGAAUAUCCUAUAAAAACACAAGGCUUAGAGGGUGGUUCGAGUUUAUAUGAUGAAACACAAACAUUCAAAAAUUUUAAGUUUAUAUUAAUUAGGAGUGGUACCAAAAAUUAAUUAGGAGUGGUCCGCGGGACAUGUAGCUAUGGGGUUGUUGGAUGUGUUUUGGAUAUUUACAGACAUGCUGAGUUUGAGUUUAUAUCUCAACUUAAAAUUUGUAGUUUUCACUUGAAAAAAUUCAGUUAAAAAUUGAUUGGUAGAAUUGUGAAAAAAGUUUAAAUUUUUAGUUCAACCCGAUUGCAUAUUUAAGAACAUCUCAAAUGAAUUGCUUACUGCUAUCAUCAUCAUUAUUGUCCAUAUAAUAAUGGAUCUUUAUUAUAUAUAUAUGUUUCCACUAAAAUAUAUUUAAUUAUUCUUUAUUUUUCCAUUGUUGCGUGUAAGAUUUAUUUGAGUUCUAAGUUAUAUCAAUACAAAUGUUAUCUUAUCCAUUAAAAGUUAGAUCCAACAAUUAUGAAAAUUACCAUAGAGUUGCUUUCAACUAUUUUUUAAAAAUACCAGGAGUAAAAAAUAAUUAGUUCAAAUGGUGGAGACUAAAAAGCGUUCACCUUUAUUUUUUAUCUGUUAUUUAUUUUUUUCAUUAAUGCACAUGCUAUACAUUUGAGACAUUCCAUUAAUUGCCAAUUAUGUAUGUGAGAUAGUAAUUUAAAUUAAAAAAAUAAAAGUGAAAGUUAAUCCUAUGCAAUGUGAAUAAAUUUCUUUCCUUUUUCCUUUACUCUUUUUAUUUGACAAUAAAGUUUCCAUCUAUCAUCUAUCAUCUAUGUACGCAAAAUUUCUGCAACAGGUACAAAACAUAAAAAUAUAUGAUUGUUAAGGGAAACGCGCAGGAGUUCAUCAUUUCAAUGUUCAGCAUUACCAAUUUUGGCAUUAAGCUGAAUAUAUUCCACUUAGAAAGCAAAAUAUUAGACUCGUGAUUUUAAUUCAUUCAUUAUCUCUCAUUUUAAUCCCAAAAUAUUCAAGAGCAUCCAAGUUACCAUAAGACUUCAGAGGCUCAAGCCUUAGCCAGAGAUGGUUAAUUGAUAGACUAUGUGCCUGGGUCGAGCACUGGAAGCCUGCAAUGCAGACUGAUUGAUUUAUCAGUUUAACGUGUGCCAGGAAUGAAGAACUGGAAUAUCACCGUCAAGCAAGCACCCUGUGGAGCAAUACCGAAGAAUGCACAAUCCAGCUUUGCUAGGUGACACUGGAGGCUUUUUGAAAAGUGCUUCACGCUCACUUGCACAGAUUGAGCAUCCCCUCUGGAUAUUGCCCUCUCUGAUCGAGUCUGAGCACUCAAAUUUUGGUCCUCAGAGGGAGCUACAGUUUCUCUCCACUAACCAACAAUUUUCUAAACUCAGCACCUAGUGUGAUCAGAGUUGUUGAUAUUUGCAAAUGGAGAUCCCCAUAUUUGCAAAUGGAGACAUUUAACAAAUCACCAACAUGCUUCAUCCGGUCCACGAAAUUCUGCAACUGAUUCAAAUCUGGAACCUGAACCAGAGUCGGAGGUAUAUCUUGAGCCAUAUCUAAAGCAGUUUGAAGUUCAAGACCUUGAGCCCUUGACAAUGGUUUUGAAAUUGGAACAUCUUGGAUUACUGCAGACUUGUACCCCUUGGUUUCAAAGGUAAGGAAAGGCAUUGCUUGAGUACAAUUUGGAGGCAGCUUCUUCACCAAUUUUAUUUGGAGGCGAUUGGUAGCGGAUCCAGCUGCACCAAUUUCAGAGCAACUACUGACACUACUUCGAACAGCACACUGAAGAAGUGAUAUGUCUACGGCGAAGGCAAUGCAGUCCUCAUUUUGGCUUGAGACACAGUAAUCAUCGUAGAGAGUUUCCUUGUGAAACUGGGCAACACAUUGAAUCCCUUCGCCACUGAGAAGGUUGUGGAGGAAGUAAGCUUUCUCUCUAGUGAGGAAGAGGUGGCAUACCUUCCCCAUUUUGUCUAGGGCAGGUAGGAAUCUUUUUUCUAAGAGAUUUACUUCAUUCUCUGUGAGAAAUGCUUUGAACUUCAUCCCUCUGUCUCUAUCCUCACUUAUCAGGAAAUAAGUUGAAAGCACUACGAAGAGAGAGAGAGAGAGAGAGAGAGAGAGAAUUAAGAUAUAUAGACAAGAAAAAUAUUAGAUGUUGAUCUUACAAACUAAUACUUCAAGCAGUAUCCUAGAAAGCUAAAAACUGCAAGAUGGCUUGAAAUUUGAGAAGAGCACGUGCUUUUCCUCCUUAACUUGAGAAAAUGUUUUAUAUAGUGCACCUUACAGAAGCAUUUAAGCAAUUAGAACUUUGCACAAAAACAUCAAGAAGACUAAACAAAUCAGAUGCAGUGCAUUUGUCCAAGCACAAAUUGCAUUUUGUCCUCAACUUUAAUAUUUAUUGAUGAGAAUCAAUACAGGUCCCUCAUUUGUUAUAGAAAGCUUUCUUGUAGUCUCACCAGUUAAUAUGGAUAUUAGAUAAGGAAACUUUAUUAGGUUGCGAGGGUAAAAAAGGAAAGAGAUAUCAUUAUUUUAUUAUCGAUAAUUAUUAAAUUUUUUUCCAAAAAAAAGAACAAGCAAUGAUAUUUUAUUGUCAAUUGCAACCUUUAAUUUUUUUAAAUGCUAUUAGAAACACAAGAUAACAAAGAAAUACUUAUUUUUUCCUAAAACUAAAAUCAAUUGUUUAACUUCUUAUUUCAUAAUCCAACUCCAUUACUAAGUUAAAAAAAAUUGUUUCAAAAUUACUUGAGUCAUAUUCAAUGGACCAACAAAGUAACCGUUUUUAUUUUUAUUGAUUUUUGCAGGAAAUUAAUAAGUUAAAAAUAAUGAAAGCUAUUGUAAAAAAAUUUAUUAUCAACCUCAUAAUUUUUUUUUUUUUGGGGAAGAGAAUUCAAACAUUUUUUUUUUUUAAUUUCCAAGAAUUCUUGACACCCAUCUUAAUUAAAAGCUAUAUUUUUAUUCAAGAGUCAUGCUAUUCAUUCACUCACAGACCAAAGGCUUUCCGCAGCAAUAUUAUUAUUUAAAUUACAACAAAGGGGAAAUCAAACACGUCAUACAGAAGCUUAAAGGUGAAUCUACAAAAUCUAGAGCUCUCAACUACAAAAAUUACACUUGAUGAUCCUCUACAAGAUGAAGGUUGUUCAAUAUCUUGAGAUUGCCUGCCUUCCUCGACGACCUGCACGAUGUGUUUGUACAAAUCAUCAUACCUGUGCACCGGAUUUUUAAUAUCAACGCCACUGCAGCUGUGAUCAAGAACAUAAGAGCAUUUAACAUCUUUUCUCCAUCGAGAAAGAAUGUAGUGAGAUGGGAUCUCCUGCAUGCCACUCUGGUUUAGAACACAAAGAAUGUGUCUGCAUAAAUAUCCUCUGAAAUUGAACAACCCACAAACACAAAGCACCUCCAAGUCGGAGGCAUUGUACAAAACAUCGAAAGCCCUUGAAUCUUUCUCGUUGCUACCAACCUUAAAUUCUUCCUUCACUAUGUAUGUUACAGGUCCAUCAGCACUGACAUGUUUUGUGCUAUAGCAAUACAUAGCCUCCACCUCCGUCUGAAACUUCCUUAACAUUUCAUUUGUGUACAGUUUUGAGAGUUGAAAUUCAUAGUAUCAUCUUGGUUUCUGGAUACAACUUGAAUUUCUUGAAUCCAUAUCUGCCAAGGCUACCAGUUGAUAAUUCGCCUGCAGUGCUUGAUCAUACUUGUCUAAGAAUUCUUUCAAAGGAGUAUUCUUAUCAAGAUAUCCUUCAAAGUAUGAAGUAGAAACCUCAUUCUGCAGGAACGAAAACACUCCUGAUAAAAAAGCUUCCUUCAAAUAAAUAGGAGCCCACCUUUUAUGAUCUUCAUAUAAAGUUUGAAUCUAUCCGUGAUCCUUUAUUCCAUGACAUUGAAUCAUGUCUUCCCAAGCUGCUUCAAAUUUCUCAGGCCUGAGAGAGUGAUAAAUUGCUCUAUGUAAUGCAGCUUUAAUAGCUUCAUAUUCAAACAAUCCUUGGAGUUUCUCUGGAAUUUUUUUGCAUGAUGCAUGACAAUGAAAAGCAAUGAUAAGCUCUUGGGAAAACAUCACCAACAGCAAUUUGCAAGAUUCUACAUUGGUCAGUGAUGAUUGUUUGUGGAGAGCUCCCUAACAUACAUGUAAGCCACGCCGUAAACAACCAUGUAUAUGAUUCUAUGGUCUCACUGGCAAGUAAAUCACAAGUCCACAACCCAACAACACUGAUUGUCCAUGAUGAUUCACCCCAAUGAAUGAAACCAGUGGUACAUCAUAUCUUUCAGUCAGGCACGUAGUAUCAAUUAAGACCACAUCACCAAAGUACCUAUAUGCAACUCUUGACCUGGUAUCAGUCCAGAAUAGGUUUCUCAAGCAUCCCUUUUCAUUUAGAUCCACUACAUUAAAAAAGUUUGGAUCUGUCAACUGCAAAUGACAAAAGAAACUCUGGACAGCUUGUGCAUCUCCUGGUUUAAGCUUCAAUUGAUUUGAGCUAUUAACAUUAUUUCCAAAUACUCCAUUAACAUCUACCAUUUCCCUUGGUAUCAAUGAUAAGAGUUCGAAACAGUUUAAUUUUUUGAACUUCUUCAGCACUAUCUAAAUGCAAUGUUCUUUUGGUUCCAAUACCUAUGUGCUUAUGUGACUUGUAAAACUUUCCGCUUCUUGGGCUUAACAAGUGGUUAUGCUCAAGCUCGACUUCAAUGAUUCUCCACCUUUUGGUUUCCAUCAACCUAAACUUUAUCAUUGCUGGACAGCCAGUUCUUGUUUCUGGUCUUGGGCGGUUUGCCUCGCUUUUCUUCUUGAAGCCUGCACUACUACAGCUCAGCUUUCCUCUAUACUUUUCUCUACUCUUUCGGUACCAUGGAUUGCUAACUCUAACACCAAAACCCUGUUCCUUGGCAUAGCAAUUGUAAAAGUAAUAUACAUCAUCAUACAUCUCAAACUCCAUUCCAACAGUAGGAGGCAAGGGAUUUUGGAUUAUCCCAGUUUGUCCAACAUAUUCAGUCAUCGCACAAUCUCCUACGACCUCAAAAUCAUCAGUGUCAUCAUCACCUACUGGUUCGGUGUUGAGAGAAACUUCAUCCAUCUACAAUGGAUGUUCAAUGAAGUGAGCUUUAAGGAGAAAAAGCAAAAUCAGUUCAAGGAAUGAUAAUAUAAUCAUACAGUUACUUUCACAAAGCUUCAUAUUUCAUCACUGCUUUACCAACAUGCAACUGCCAGAGAACAAACAGACAUGUCAUAGACGCUUGAAUUAAGUAUUGGUACAAAUGAGCACACAUCAUGUGGGACAAAAUUUCAGUCACUAAACCCAAUACCACUUUUUACAUCAUACCAAGGAACAGAUUAAACCCGACACCUUCUUUUAAACCAUACCAAGGAGCAGAUUAAAUCAUCAAUGAAAAAUUAAUCACAUAAUAACUUAACCAGACAAAUGAAGAGCCUGAAACAGCACAAAACUUGAAUCUGAUUAUGAUAAUUGUUGAGUCCUUGUAUCUACAGCUUUCCUUCAAUGAUAAGACAAUGAACAUAAACGAGACACAAAAAAAUUAUUUUAAACUGACAGCCCAUGAUAUAAAUCAAACAAAAUCAACUCCUUUUUUUACACAUUACAUCUCAUAUUCAUUUACAUUGAAACACAAAAAGGAAGCAGGAGUGGGAAAAAAACAACAGCAGAGGAACUUAUUUCCAUAAGGUUUACGAAAUAAGGAAUCUAUUAAAACCCAAAACUUGAGGUCACCACUAAGAAUUUGGUUCUCAUUAUUUUUUUCUUCAUUUUUCACCAAUUGAUGAACUUAAAAUACAAUCAUAAAUGAUAAAACCCCAUCUCCAUCUUUUUGAACUAGAGCUAAAGCAAAGCAUUUUAAGAUGUUUCAUCAUUUUUUAAAAAAAAAAAAAACUCAAUAGUACAAUGUUUUUCAAUGUUAAAUGCACAAUUCAAUCUUCUCCUAAUUUACUCUAAUAAUCUCUUAAUUAAGGAAGAUUAAGCUUCAGUUGUAAGCUAAAACAAAUUUCUUAAAUCAAGCCCCAAUGCUUUAUGCUAUUCAACAAGGGCUCAUAAAUGAUAAAACUACUUCUAUAAAGAUACCCAUUUUCUAAAUUAAUUUCACAAACUGAAAUCAAACUCCUGAAACGUAACGAGCAUUAAUAUAAUCAAGCCCGAACAAGAAUUGAUAAAUGAUACAUAAACUCGUUUACACAUUUCGACAGACACUUUGCAAUCAAUGAGCAAAAAAUUAAUGGAGAAGAUAAAAUUCAAACGAAACAUGCCUUACAUUGAUAAAUUAGAAGGGCAAAAGAAAUUUUAGUACGAUAUGGGAUCAGGGUCUUGCCACGGUGAUGUUAUUUGUGAAGUUCGAGCGACUCAGCAGCCUUCGAGGUUGAAAAUUUGAUUGACCAAAAGCUUCCCGUUCGUUGAUUCUCUAAUAGUAGAAACGAGACUGGCAGUAUACACAACAAGUUCGCCGAUUUUAAAUUCCGUUGUUUGAGAUGGAAAAUUUUUUGAAAAAAUUAAUGUGUUCGAUGAAAAUCAAAAUCUCAAAAACCUUUUGUUUUUCAUUUUUUUGGAAAAAACCAUUGAGAUCCUUACUAUUUUUUCUUAUAUCAUCUUGCUUAAUAAUUUGCAAAGUCUAUCGCAUAGCACCCAUGCAUGAUGUAUGCUGCGUUGUAAUUUACAAUAUUGUACAUGAAUAAAUCCAGCUAAUAUUUGUUAAAAGAAAAUAAUAAUAACAUGUUAAAACUUUAAAAUUUGAUUAUUAGAAGAAAUUUUAAUUUAGCUAAGUAGGUGACAUGAUAAUAAAUAGAUACGUAUAAUGUCCGAGAUUUUUUAUAAGAUUAAUAAAUAUGAUAAAUUUGGAUUAGUUCAAUUUUGACAUAAUUGCAAACAAUUUAAUUUGUGUUGUUUCUCUAAAAGUUUGAGACACAAAUGUUAUUUCAAAUUGAUAAAAGUACAAUUUAAUCCCACUUGCUCUUCAACUAAAAAUUAAACAUGCAAAUACACACACUAAUUUAAAGUCAUCUGUAUAAUUGAAACGCCAUGCACUAGUAGUAGGUCAGAGAAACCAAGGUUGAAAUGUGUAGAAAUGUUGAAACGCCAAUAAUAAUUGAAACGCCAUGCACUGUUCGUUUAUUUUUAUUCAUGAUUUUUUGUAAAACGUAAGAAAUGUGUAGAAAUGUUGCCAGCAAUGAUUUUGGAACUUUGCAUAAAAUUUUUAUCGUUAUUGUUUUUGGUAUUAAGAAAUCCGAGGCGGUGAUUAGACGUAUGUUGCAACAAUUAAGAAAUUUCUUAUUGGAGAUAAUUCGGUAGGUUGCAACAAUUAGAGAAUCAUUUUCCUGUCAGUUAAACGGUUCAUUUUCAGCCAUAACAUGCUAAAAAUGCUACACUUAACGGUUCAUUUUCAUGGAUUUUCUCGGGAAACAAACAGAAAAUUACGGUUUAGAGAGUUGACUGACGUUUUGGCUUUUGAAAUUGAGAAGAUCGCGCGCCAAAUUGGAAGAGGGAAAGUGAAAGUGCGAGUUUUAAUAUGGGCAUUAGAUAAGGAAAUUUUAUUAGGUUGCGAGGGUAAAAAAGGAAAGAGAUAUCAUUAUUUUAUUAUCGAUAAUUAUUAAAUUUUUUUCCAAAAAAAGAACAAGCAUGGAUAUUUUAUUGUCAUUUGCAACCUUUAAUUUUUUAAAUGCUAUUAGAAACACAAGACAACAAAGAAAUACUUAUUUUUUUCCUAAAACUAAAAUCAAUUGUUUAACUUCUUAUUUCAUAAUCCAACUCCAUUACUUCGUGCUGGUUUUUUCAGGUGAAUAACAGCUAAAAAUAAUUUUAAAAGCUGUUACCAAUUCUCAUGAACUGUUACAAUUAAAAAAAUCAAGCAUGCAUGGAUGGUUAAGUGUGUAGAGAGAACCUCCAUCCUUAUAAUUCUUACUUAUGCAUGGUUAAGUGUUUAUAUUUAAACACUAAUUUCUAGGCUUCUUUUUCCCAUGUGGGAUAAGCCUCAUUUCCUUUCAAAUUUCCAACUUCAAGGGUGAACUUUGAGAGACAAUUUCUCAUUCACCCAAGCACCAUUUUGAGAAAAUAAAAUUAUACUUUUGAAGUAUGAACGGAAUAGAAUCCGAAUCUCACAAUAUUUCCCACUUUAGUUAAAUAGGACCCACUCAAAAUGUGCUCUCAAAAUAACAUGUUAUGCUAUUUUUUCAACAAAAUUGUGGGCCAACAAUAGUGGGCAUGGUGUCGACUUUUGAGAAAGCCUGGAGAUGCGUUGAAGAAGAAUCAAUUGGAAUUAUUGGCCUAUAUGUCAAUGGGGGAGUUAGAAAAUAUUUACUCAAAUCAACAACAAGUUCCUUGAUAGUCCAAAUAAUUUUGAUGUUGCGAUCUGGGUAGUGGUCUGCCAAGAUUUGCAACCCCAGAAGUUUCGGGAAAAGAUUGGGAAAAAGAAAGGCUUCUUCGAUGAGUCAUGGAAGAUAUGAAGUUUUGAAGAGAAAGCACUCGACAUAUUCAAGAAUUUAAGCAAGAUGAAGUUUGUAUUACUGUUGGAUGAUAGAUGGGAGCAUGUUGAUUUAAUUAAAAUUGGUGUCCCUCUUCCAAGCAGAAAAAUUACAUUCAAGAUAGUCUUCACAACUCGUUCUAUUGACAUUUGUGGCCUCAUGGAAGCUCACAACAAGAUUAAAGUGGAGUGUUUAAAUGACAAAGAAGCAUGGGAAUUAUUCUGCAAGAAGGUUGGAGAAGAUGUGGCGACUCUGUCCAAGUGCUAAGGAGAUCAGCCUCUAGGUAUGUAAAAACAAGUAUAUCCUCUUUUGAAAUUCAGUUAUGAUAAUUUACCAAGCGAUAAAAUUAGAUCGAGUCUGUUAUACUGUAGUUUGUUUCCAGAAGACUUUCCAAUUAGCAAAAUGGAAUUGAUACUGAGAUACGAAAUCAAGGAUACUACAUUAUUGGUGUUCUUGUUCCUUUAUGUUUAUUGGAAGAAGAGGCUCCACUGUUUGUAAAAGUGCAUGAGGUGAUACGCGAUAUGCUUCUGUGGAUAGCUGUGAAGGUUUUUUUUUUUUUUUUUUUUUUUUUUUAUAGGGAUAGCAUGUGAAGUUGAGAAGGAGAGAGAGAAUUUUGCAAGGAUUAACUGAAGUACCAGACAUUUGGAAAUGGGAAGGGUUGAGAAGGGUGUCUUUGAUGAUCAACAAAACUGAGAAGGUAUCAGAAAUUCCUUCAUCUCACGAUCCACUAACUUUGUUGCUUCAACAUAAUUAUUUAGAGGUGAUCAAUAAUGACUUCUUCCAAUCUAUGCAUUCCCUUAGAGUUUUGAACUUAUCAUGUAAUCAUUCUCUAACUGAUAAUUUCAAAGUUAGUUUCCCUACAUACGAGAGUUGCCGAAUGAGUUAACGUUCGUAGUGAAUCUUAAGUUUUUGAAUGUGGAGUAUGCACGGUUUCUUCAUUCAAUUCCAGGGCAAGUGAUAUCCAGUUUUACGAUGUUACAAGUUUUGAAGAUGUUUGGUUGUGGCAGGUCAUCUUCUGAUCGUGAGCCACACCAGAAGAUAGCGUUUUAUUUGGAGGCAGUAAAUUUUUGAUUGCGGAGUUGUUUGGUUUGAGAGACAUUUAGAUGUGUUGACCAUCAUCCUAAGAAGCUCCCAUGCUCUGAAAAGAUUUUUGAGCUCCAACAAACUUCAAAGUUGUUGAUGCCGAAAUCCGGAUGAGUUGAUCGAAUCUCAGAUCCCUGCAUCAGCAUUGAAUUUGUUUGGUGGGAAGCUGAUGAUUAGUUAGCACCAUGAGCAGAUUUUCUAUGAGCAGAUGUUCUGUGAGCAGAUCAGAUGUUCUCCUCGUUCUACGACCAGGGUCUCUGCUCGAUCAACUUCACCACGACCAGGAUCUCUCCUCGUAAAGCUUCUUCUCCAGAGGUUCCUGCGCACACAGACAAGUCAGAGUACGCCGGUUGUUUUCCCGGCGCAAACCCUCCGACGCUCAAGUCAGAUAUGAAGGUUCGGGGAACGCUUGCCACAGAUCUUAUGGCUUUUGUGUAGUUUUCUUUAGAAUUGCUUUUAUCUCUCUUCUAAUCUCAAAAUUGCUAACCCUUUUACCUUCGUUGGCUACCUUUUUAUAGGCUUCCUCUCAAUCCCAGUUUUCCGCAGUCUAUGCCGUUAUCCCACGUUCUCCUUCAAUUUUCAUCCCUCCUUUUUCGGGUAGUGGCCUUUAAAUGCUUUUAAAUGCUACAUCAUGGGAAACGUGGGGUAUCGCAUCUCUCGUAACGGUUCUGGGAAGAAUGUAAACGCCAUAAUUCUGUGGGAUCGUGUUCCUGCUUUUCCAGGAGAUGGGUAUCAGCUCGGGAUACACCUUUUGUCAGUAUCCGUCUCUGAUCGGUUCAUGUUGCCCUCUGCUCUGCUCGUACAGUUACACUUGGCUGAGGUGAUUCAUGCCGGGGGUGAUUCAUGCCGAGGUGAAAACAGUACUAUGGCCGACCUGGUAUCAUUAUUGGCUCAACACCAGUCCCCCAGUUUCUGGUCUUGUGAGUGAAAUGAGUCAAGAGUAGAAACUGAUAUUCAAAUCUUACCAAUCCGGGGGCUUCUCCUCUGGUCUUUCAUCUAUCGGGAUGGUCCUGAGGUAUCAUUUUUCUUCAAGGGAGAUUUUGACCUGAGUAUGGAAUAGGAAGUCAUCUGCUCAAGUUUAGACCACGUGGUCGAGGUGAUCUGGUCAAGCUCAUAGCACAUGGUCGAGGUGAUCUGCUCCACCUCAUAGCACCUGGUCGAGGUGAUCUGCUCCACCUCAUAGCACAUGGUCGAGAUGAUCUGAUCCACCUCAUAGCACCUGGUCGAGGCGAUCUGCUGAAGCUCAUACCAUCUGGCCAAGGUGACCUGCUCAACCAUUUGCUCACUUUCACUUGGAGGAGAUCAUGGUCGCUCUAUUUAAUUCCUCAAACACCAGUCCCCCAGUUUCUAGUGUUGAGAGUGAAACAAAUCAAGACUGGAAACUUUAGUGGUCUGCUCGUCUUCGCUUGGUUGAGCAGAUCCUGGCACGCUUGGCUUCUGUCUCGCCAUAAAACAGGCUUUGAGACUUUGUCGAGCCUUUGCAUGCCUUCGAUUCUUCAAGGAUUGGGAUUCUGCUCGCCUUCUCGUGGCCGAGCAGAUCCUAGCACGCUUGGCUUCUGUCUCGCCAUAAAACAGGCUUUGAGACUUUGGUGAGCCUUUGCGUGCCUUUGAUUCUUCAAGGAUUGGGAUUCUACUCGCCUUCUCGUGGCCGAGCAGAUCCUGGCACGCUUGGCUUCUGUCUCGCCAUAAAACAGGCUUUGAGACUUUGGUGAGCCUUUGCGUGCCUUUGAUUCUUCAAGGAUUGGGAUUCUGCUCGCCUUCUCGUGGCCGGUGGCCGAGCAGAUCCUGGCACGCUUGGCUUCUGUCUCGCCAUAAAACAGGCUUUAAGACUUUGGUGAGCCUUUGCGUGCCUUUGAUUCUUCAAGGAUUGGGAUUCUGCUCGCCUUCUCGUGGCCGAGCAGAUCCUGGCACGCUUGGCUUCUGUCUCGCCAUAAAACAGGCUUUGAGACUUUGGUGAGCCUUUGCGUGCCUUUGAUUCUUCAAGGAUUGGGAUUCUGCUCGCCUUCUCGUGGCCGAGCAGAUCCUGGCACGCUUGGCUUCUGUCUCGCCAUAAAACAGGCUUUGAGACUUUGGUGAGCCUUUGCGUGCCUUUGAUUACUUCAAAGAUUGGGAUUCUGCUCGCCUUCUCGUGGUCGAGCAGAUCCUGGCACGCUUGGCUUCUGUCUCGCCAUAAAACAGGCUUUGAGACUUUGGUGAGCCUUUGCGUGCCUUUGAUUCUUCAAGAUUGGGAUUCUGCUCGCCUUCUCGUGGCCGAGCAGAUCCUGGCACGCUUGGCUUCUGUCUCGCCAUAAAACAGGCUUUGAGACUUUGGUGAGCCUUUGCGUGCCUUUGAUUCUUCAAGGAUUGGGAUUCUGCUCGCCUUCUCGUGGCGAGCAGAUCCUGGCACGCUUGGCUUCUGUCUCGCCAUAAAACAGGCUUUGAGACUUUGGUGAGCCUUUGCGUGCCUUUGAUUCUUCAAGGAUUGGGAUUCUGCUCGCCUUCUCGUGGCCGAGCAGAUCCUGGCACGCUUGGCUUCUGUCUCGCCAUAAAACAGGCUUUGAGACUUUGGUGAGCCUUUGCGUGCCUUUGAUUCUUCAAGGAUUGGGAUUCUGCUCGCCUUCUCGUGGCCGAGCAGAUCCUGGCACGCUUGGCUUCUGUCUCGCCAUAAAACAGGCUUUGAGACUUUGGUGAGCCUUUGCGUGCCUUUGAUUCUUCAAGGAUUGGGAUUCUGCUCGCCUUCUCGUGGCCGAGCAGAUCCUGGCACGCUUGGCUUCUGUCUCGCCAUAAAACAGGCUUUGAGACUUUGGUGAGCCUUUGCGUGCCUUUGAUUCUUCAAGGAUUGGGAUUCUGCUCGCCUUCUCGUGGCCGAGCAGAUCCUGGCACGCUUGGCUUCUGUCUCGCCAUAAAACAGGCUUUGAGACUUUGGUGAGCCUUUGCGUGCCUUUGAUUCUUCAAGGAUUGGGAUUCUGCUCGCCUUCUCGUGGCCGAGCAGAUCCUGGCACGCUUGGCUUCUGUCUCGCCAUAAAACAGGCUUUGAGACUUUGGUGAGCCUUUGCAUGCCUUUGGUAAUUUCUUCGAAACUUGGGAUUCUGCUCGCCUUCUCGUGGUCGAGCAGAUCCUGGCACGCGUGGCUUCUGUCUCGCCAUAAAACAGGCUUUGAGACUUUGGUGAGCCUUUGCGUGCCUUUGAUUCUUCAAGGAUUGGGAUUCUGCUCGCCUUCUCGUGGCCGAGCAGAUCCUGGCACGCUUGGCUUCUGUCUCGCCAUAAAACAGGCUUUGAGACUUUGGUGAGCCUUUGCAUGCCUUUGAUUCUUCAAGGAUUGGGAUUCUGCUCGCCUUCUCGUGGCCGAGCAGAUCCUGGCACGCUUGGCUUCUGUCUCGCCAUAAAACAGGCUUUGAGACUUUGGGGAGCCUUUGCGUGCCUUUGAUUCUUCAAGAAUUGGGAUUCUGCUCGCCUUCUCGUGGCCGAGCAGAUCCUGGCACGCUUGGCUUCUGUCUCGCCAUAAAACAGGCUUUGAGACUUUGGUGAGCCUUUGCGUGCCUUUGAUUCUUCAAGGAUUGGGAUUCUGCUCGCUUUCUCGUGGCCGAGCAGAUCCUGGCACGCUUGGCUUCUGUCUCGCCAUAAAACAGGCUUUGAGACUUUGGUGAGCCUUUGCGUGCCUUUGAUUCUUCAAGGAUUGGGAUUCUGCUCGCCUUCUCGUGGCCGAGCAGAUCCUGGCACGCUUGGCUUCUGUCUCGCCAUAAAACAGGCUUUGAGACUUUGGUGAGCCUUUGCGUGCCUUUGAUUCUUCAAGGAUUGGGAUUCUGCUCGCCUUCUCGUGGCCGAGCAGAUCCUGGCACGCUUGGCUUCUGUCUCGACAUAAAACAGGCUUUGAGACUUUGGUGAAUCUUUGCGUGCCUUUGAUUCUUCAAGGAUUGGGAUUCUGCUCGCCUUCUCGUGGCCGAGCAGAUCCUGGCACGCUUGGCUUCUGUCUCGCCAUAAAACAGGCUUUGAGACUUUGGUGAGCCUUUGCAUGCCUUUGGUAAUUUCUUCAAAACUUGGGAUUCUGCUCGCCUUCUCGUGGUCGAGCAGAUCCUGGCACGCGUGGCUUCUGUCUCGCCAUAAAACAGGCUUUGAGACUUUGGUGAGCCUUUGCGUGCCUUUGAUUCUUCAAGGAUUGGGAUUCUGCUCGCCUUCUCGUGGCCGAGCAGAUCCUGGCACGCUUGGCUUCUGUCUCGCCAUAAAACAGGCUUUGAGACUUUGGUGAGCCUUUGCAUGCCUUUGAUUCUUCAAGGAUUGGGAUUCUGCUCGCCUUCUCGUGGCCGAGCAGAUCCUGGCACGCUUGGCUUCUGUCUCGCCAUAAAACAGGCUUUGAGACUUUGAUGAGCCUUUGCGUGCCUUUGUAGUAAACUUUGACUGGUUUCUUAACUCUAGCCUAGCUCUCUUUUCUUAAAUCAUUCUCAUAUUGAGUAACUUUCAAGAAAUCAAGUUAACUAAGUUAAACAGUCAGCCCUAAUAUAAGCACAAUUAGUUGAAUGAAUAUAAGGCAUCCUCAUAUCACAUAGUAGGAUUUAGAGAAAUAAUUAAAUUUUCAUGAGAAAAUUGUUUGUAAAUAAAAAUUUAACUUCUGACCUGUUCUGAUUUCUGCAAACGUCUGCCUUCAUUGUGCUCUCAUUUAAGGGUUUUGCUACCUUGUUUAAGCACGCUCAUCCAUUUAUGUACUGUAACAUUCUGAUUUGCUUCGACUAGAUGAAAAUUGAUAGAAACAAAAAUUUGGCUUCUCGUACCGGUCCCCACAGACGGCGCCAAAUGUUGAUGCCGAAAUUCGGAUGAGUUGAUCGAAUCUCAGAUCCCUGCAUCAGCAUUGAAUUUGUUUGGUGGGAAGCUGAUGAUUAGUUAGCACCAUGAGCAGAUUUUCUAUGAGCAGAUGUUCUGUGAGCAGAUCAGAUGUUCACCUCGUUCUACGACCAGGGUCUCUGCUCGAUCAACUUCACCACGACCAGGAUCUCUCCUCGUAAAGCUUCUUCUCCAGAGGUUCCUGCGCACACAGACAAGUCAGAGUACGCCGGUUGUUUUCCCGGCGCAAACCCUCCGACGCUCAAGUCAGAUAUGAAGGUUCGGGGAACGCUUGCCACAGAUCUUAUGGCUUUUGUGUAGUUUUCUUUAGAAUUGCUUUUAUCUCUCUUCUAAUCUCAAAAUUGCUAACCCUUUUACCUUCGUUGGCUACCUUUUUAUAGGCUUCCUCUCAAUCCCAGUUUUCCGCAGUCUAUGCCGUUAUCCCACGUUCUCCUUCAAUUUUCAUCCCUCCUUUUUCGGGUAGUGGCCUUUAAAUGCUUUUAAAUGCUACAUCAUGGGAAACGUGGGGUAUCGCAUCUCUCGUAACGGUUCUGGGAAGAAUGUAAACGCCAUAAUUCUGUGGGAUCGUGUUCCCGCUUUUCCAGGAGAUGGGUAUCAGCUCGGGAUACACCUUUUGUCAGUAUCCGUCUCUGAUCGGUUCAUGUUGCCCUCUGCUCUGCUCGUACAGUUACACUUGGCUGAGGUGAUUCAUGCCGGGGGUGAUUCAUGCCGAGGUGAAAACAGUACUAUGGCCGACCUGGUAUCAUUAUUGGCUCAACAAAAGUUGUACCUGAUCUCUCUAUCCUAAAUGCUUUGAUUCGAAGUCAGUUGAUGUUUUUGGCUAGGCUGAUCUGAAGCAUCUCAAUAGGCUAUAGAUAUUGCGAGUUGUAAGCUUUUGGAAGAAGUGAAGAUUGACUUUGUUGGGAAAGCACAAUGAACCCAUGGUUUUCACAGCCUUAUGUCACGGAAGUUGUCUAAAUACUGCACGGGUUGCUGCGCAAAGUAACCAUCCUAUGACAUUGAGCCAUGUUGAAAUAUCAUUUUGCUGUAAACUGAGGGAUUUGACAUAGCUUGCUUUUGCUCCAGACCUUCUUGUUGUUUCCAGAAAAUGUUGCCAUGAUAUAGAGGAAAUACUCGGUGUUGGAAAAUUAGGUGAAGAGAUGACGUCAAAUCUGGAACCCCCUGCAAAACUCCAAGGUUACGUUUGGCAUAUAGGAUUGGAUUAAAUUGGGUUCUAUUUAUAUUUUUAUGUUUGGUACAGUUCCGGAUUGAACCAUAUUAGAUUAUAUUUAAAUAAUAUUGAAUAGUAUUUAAGUUGGUAUUUUAAUAUAAAUAUCAAUUAUCCAUGAAAUUUUAUAAUCAUAAUUAAAAUAAAUUUAAAAAGCAAUUACUAGGAAAAUUAAAUAUAUUGCAAAAAGUUAUUGGGUAGUCAUAAUAUAAUAAGCAAAUAAAAUUAAAUAAAACAAAUUAAAUAUUUAAUUAUUUUUAUCAAAUAUUUAAAAAUAUUAUAUAAAAUCAAUUCAUUAAUGGUAUUAUUAAUUUUCAUGAUUAUUUUUAAUAUUAUAUUAGUGAUUAUUAAAUUUAAUACAAUCAAAUAAUGUAAUAAAUAAUUACACGUUUAAUUUUAUCGAUUAAUUAUUAAAUAUACAAGUAAUGAAAAUUUAAUCUCAGGAGUUGGUAGACGCAAAAGUACUAAUUUAAUUAGAUCAUAGAUAAUAAAUAAAAUAAAUUUUAAGUAAAUCAUAAUAAAAAAAUUAAUUAAUUGAUUCAAUCAAUCAAUAUUAGGUGUAAAUAAAAAAAGAGUAACGAUAUAUCCACAAACUCUUACACAAACUCAUGUGUCAUGAUAAGAUUGAUUGAAUUAAAUAUCACUUGGCCCACAUAAUUUAUUUUUAUUAUUUUAUAUUUUCAUUCAACCAAUGAAUUAACGCCACAUCAGUUUGUACAAGAUAUGUUUGUACAGGAAUUUGUGGCUGUAUCAUCACUCAUAAAAAAAAGAUACAAAUAAACCUCUCAUAAAUGGACAACUUUUAUCUUUAAUCUUAUCCCAACUAAACACAUGUGUAAAUUAGGAUUAUUAAUCCCAUGAUUUUAGGAUUAAAUUCAAAUUUAUUCCCCCUUAAUCCAAUCCAACUAAACUUGUCAAACAUGGGAUAAAAGUUUAAUUCUAAAAGCAUCACUAAAAGGCUCUUCAAAUAAGAUUUUAUUACUUAUUUGAAGAGCCAUAUCAAUAUUUAACGCUCCAAAAGACACUUCAGUUAAGAUUCUUCAAACAAUAGAUGAUUCUCUCUUUUCAAAUUUCGAGAGUUGAUUUCUCCCUCUUCAAUUUGUAUUUUAUUAUUUUUCAUUGGAGAAAGAGAGAGAAGUGCUUUAAUUGCUAUUGACUUUUUCCUUAAAAAAAUAAUUAUUUGAUUAAAAUAAUAUUAAUUUAUUUCUAUUUAAAGAGUCUUUUAAAGAAUAAUAUAUUUUUUUAUUUUUUUUAUUUAUCACAUAGGUAAAUAAAUAAAUAUUUAAAAAAUAAAAUUAAUAGAGACUUUUGGAGAUACUCUAAAAUUAGUCCAAUCCCAUACUUAAUCCUAGCAUCCAAAUAUAGCCCAAGUUGUUUGCUUAAAGAAGCUACCAAAUUUGAAGAGCGUUUACGGGAAGGCCCUGCGUUUCCCAGAUGUAUGCAGAAUUUUUGUAUCUAAAUGGCCAGAACUUAAGAAGCUGACGCUGGAUUUUGAAAGGGCGGGCCAAGGUAAAAUUCUUAUCAAGGGAAAGGAAAAUCGGUGGAAACAACUUCAAUGGGAGGAUCAAGCAACUCAGGAUGCAUUGCUUCUGUUUUUCAAAUCAACUGACAAGUGAUUGAAGGGGGCAUCAUCAGCCUGGAUGGGGAGAUCCUGGAGCAGAUCAGCAGGGUUUGAAUCUGCAUCAUCAACAUCAUCAGGAUCUCUAUUUCUAUUGCUGGUCGUAAUGCCUGCCGACUGUUGCUUGAAAAAGUGAUUAAGUGAGCCAGUUUUUUGUUUAUUAAAUUUUGUCUUAAUUGGCGUCCAAUAGAAAUUUACAAGAAUUACUUUUCUGUUCAUGCAAUCGGCGUCUGAACGCGGCUGAUCGGUCACCGGUGUUGGCGUUUACUGUGAUUAGACAAAUUGUAGGACUUCAAAAAUAACUUCUAUAGGGGUAAUUUCGAUUUCACAUAAUUAAUUUUAUUUACAAUAUUUUAUUCCUGCAAGGUCAACUGAGAUUCUUUCCACCGGGCACACCCUUCAUGUUCUUUUAUUUUCUGUCUUUUAUUAGCCGUUGGGUUUUACUACUCUUAUAUCCAACGGCUUGCCACAACAAGACAAAUGAGGUGGUACCUUCCAACUGCUGAAAGGUGGUUUUGGCCCCGAGUGAAACAGGGGAUGCACUUACUAUUAAGGACAGUUGGUGGCCAGCUAAUGCAUUCAUUUUAUGUCCUUUCGUCUUUUUGAAUUAUUGAAGACAAGGGGCUCCUCGCUUUUACUGUAGGUAAGAUCCAGAUAAUCUCGAUUAUCAAAAUAAUUAUUUUAAAAUACCUUAAUUAUUUUUUUUUUUAUGUUGCGUUUAUUAAACUAGAAUAAAAAUGAGUUGAAAUCGGAAUGAGUAGGAACAAGAAUGAAAAUGAAAAUAAUGAAUGGGAAUCAAAAUAAGUUGUUUACUUGAACUAUAGAAAUCAAAAUCGUAAUGAGUUGAGUUACCAUUAAUGUGUUUAUUUUGUCUUGGAAUCAGAAUCGAAACAAAUUAGAUUGUAACAAAUUACUAAAAAGUACUUAAUGGAUUAUUGUUAUAAUUAUUAUUAUUAUUAAUUAAUUAAUUGUACAAAAUUUUAAUUAAUUAUAAUAACUAUAAUAAAAUUAUUAUAAAAAUAUAUUAACUAAUAAUAUUAAUAUAAAUUACUUAAUUAAAAUAAUAUAUUAAUUGUGAUUAUUUAUUCAAAAAAUAUAAUUAUUAAUAAUUAUUUUUAAUAAUAUAUUAAUUCAUAGUAAUAAUUAUAUAUAUAUAUAUAUAUUUAUUUAAUUGUAUUAAUUUUAUUUAUUUAUUAUUAAUAAUAAAUGAAUUAAUUAUUAUAAUUAUUGUUAAUAAUUAUUAUAAUAGUAUAUUAAUUAAUUAAUUACAAUAAUAAUAUAUUAAUUAAUGUGAUAUUUAUUUAGGAACAAUAAUUAUUAAUAUAUUAUUGUUAAUAAUAUAUUAAUUAUUGUGAUUAUUUAUUCAAGAACUAUAAUUUUUAAUAAUUAUAGUUAAUAAUUUAUUUAUUUAUUUAUUUAUUUAUUAAUCAUAAUAUAUUAAUUAAUUAAUUAUAAUAUUAUAUUAAUUAAUUAUAAAAGAGGAUAAAGUGGAUAUUUUUAAUUUUGGGAAGGGCAAAAUAGUUAAUCCUAGGAAUGAGAGACUCUUUCUCACCUCUGCAUGGGAAUCAAUCUCUCAUUCUCUAUUCUCAAAUAGUAGUAGACCCCAUCAUUUCGAUUCUAAUUCUUACUCCAUAUUUGUGAAGUAAACAUCAUCAAUCAUUCUGAUUCUGAAUUUUUGUGAAUGGAGAGAUGCCGGAGCAGAUCAGCAGGGUUUGAAUAUGACCUUUGGCGCUUGCUUUUUUUUGUGAUUUUUUUUUUUCAUUUUUUCCUUCUUGUCAUUUUAUCAUUUCUUUGGCUUUGUCUCUAUUGCGGGUGUUAUUGCAUGCUUACUGUUGCUUGACAAAGUUUGCUAGCUUUUCCUUUUGUUUAUUAAAUUUUUUAUGGUCACAAAGAAUUACUUGUUCUAUUUGAGAGUGAUAUGAAUCAAUUUUUCAAUUAUAUAUUUUGUGGUCAAUGUGAAUUCAAUUUCAUUUGUCUCCCGCAAUUAUGAAAAAAUUACAGUCAUAAUAUGGAAAAGUACACCGGCAAAAACUUUGUAAAAGCUUCGGAGUGAUACGGGGAAUUCACUUACUACUAAGGACAAUUGGUGGCAAGCUAUUCCAUUCAUUUUAUGUCCAUCCAUCUAUUUAGUUAUUGAAGAUAAGUGGUCCAUUUGUAAAUUUCAGAUUGUCUCUCUCUCCCUCUUGAAAUAACAAUAUUUAAUAUAUCUCUUAAAUUAUUAUAAAUUUUAAUUUACUCUCGAUUUAAAAUGGAGCAUGUCGAUAAAUUUUUUUUCUUCUUAAUAAAAUUGACGUAAGUUGUGUUUACAGUAGUUUGAAGUUUGAAAUAUUUUAAAGAUUAUUAUUCUAUAAGGGAGUAAUAUGAAAUGAAAUUUACUUUUCAUGUGUGAACUGAAAAAGGACGAAGCAAGUGUCCCUACUUUUAUUUUAUUUCAAGGAGGAGUCAUCUCACAUACUUAAGCUCUUAACAUUACAUUUUUUUUUGUUACAUUUUUUUUUUAAUUUUUUUUUUUACACAUGCGUGUGGGUUGCUUAUCUGUAAGCUCCUUAAUAUAUAUUUAACACAAAUCAUGAAAAAGAUGGGAUUAUAUCAAGAUGAUCAAAGCAUGUAAAAAAAGAAAAAAGAAAAAAAAAUUAAGAAGUAAGACACUGAAAAUGGAGAAGAGACGGAAGCAAAAGAUAUUCCAAAACAAAGCAAUAACAAAGCAAUCUAUCCCCUUUCGAGGGCAGACUCAACAGGUUUAAAAAAGUACAUGCUUUGGAUUGGUAGUUGCAAUCAAGGGAAAAUAAAUAGGAUCCAAUGAAAUUUAAAUCUUGGAGAAAAUAAAUAAUCAUGCAGAUUUUCAAGAUUUUAAUAAGGGAUACUAAUAUCUUAUUUUGAUUAAUAACAUUCUUUCACUGUGUUAACUCAAAAAAAAUAUUAUAAUGCUUUACAAUAAAUACAAAUGUCCUAUUAAAUGAAUAUAUAAAAAAUUUAGAAUAUUUAGAAUAUUAUAUAAAAUAAUUUUAAUAUAAUGCGUGAGAUAUAUUUUAUUAAUUUAAAAUGUCAUUUUACCUAAAAAAUAUGAUAAAUUAAUAAUUACAUGUUUGAAGUUAUUUCAAAUAUUAAAAAAAUUUAAUAUUAUUAGUCUUUUAGAUAGAUUAAAUUAUUUUUUAAAGAGAUAGAUUAAAUUAUUUUAAAAUACCUUAAUUGUUUUUACUUUAAACAUUACCGGCCUUUCUUUUAUUUUAUUGCAAAUUAAUGCUAACAAGAAAAAGCUAGAUCAUAUUCCGCAAAAGCAAAAGUGACAAACACAACCAGCUGGAAUCUUUUAUAAAACUACAAAUUAAAAUGGAUUUUUUUUUUGAUAAAUUACACAUGAAAGUGGAUUCUUUUGAAUAUAAGUGGGGUAGGCUCUUUUAUUUUAUUUUUGAAUAUUGUAUAACGGGACUGUAGACUCUUUUAUUAAACUACAAAUUGUAUAGUCUUUUUAAAAUUGUUAUGAAUUAGUGGCCCCUACAAUCCUCAACAAUUGUACCAAUAUUCACAAGUUGGUGGCCCCUACAAUUCUGUUCCGAUAAUUUAACUGUGCAAGUCCUCAUUCACAAUCUUCCAGGUCAUGCUCUCAAUAAUUGUUUUUUUUUUUUUUUUUUUUUUUUUUUUUCUGCAUUCCCUUUCAUGCUCUUAAUAAUUGAAGAGCAUACUUUUCAUUUUCAAAUGUGGAGCCGCAUCUAAUGUCGCUAAUUUAAUUUGGGAUUAAAUUAGGGGACCAUUAUAUUGCAGUGUGCACUAAUUUUUGUGUUUAUCUAAACUCUUUAAGUUUAAGACAUAUUAUGGCAUAAAUAAGAAUAUAACAAUAACAAAAGAGUUAGAAAGUGUAGAGAAGAUCUUGCAGAAAUAUAAAUAAUAUCUAUUUUAAAAUAAUUUUUAAUAUUUUAUGAUCCAUUAGAUAUAUUUUAUUAUAUUAAAAUAAAUUUUAUAAUAAAUAAAAACAUCCUAUUAAAAUGAAUAUAUAGAAAAUUUAGAGUAUUUUAAGUAUUAUAUAAAAUAAUUUUAAUAAAAUAUGUGAGAUAUUCAUAGUUUAUUAAUUUAAAAUACCAUUUUAAAAUUAAAGAUUUAUUUAUGAUAAAUUAAUAAUUAUAUUUUUGAAAUUACUUCAAAUAUUAAAAAAUUAAUAUUACUAAUCUAUUAGAUAGAUUAAAUUAUAUAUAUUAUUUUCUAUUUAUUAAAAAAUUAAAAUUAUUUUUAAUUACUAUUCAAAAAAUAUAAUGAUAAAAAAAAAUCUUAACAUCUUUAUUAAAAAUUUAAAAAUUUACAUGAUCAAUUCUCUAAAUAUUUAGGGUAUAUGUGAACAUCGGUGGAGAAGCUUUAUUUAAUAUUAUUGAUUUAAAUAAUAUGUCAAUUAAAAAUGCGCGGAGAAGAAAUUUCGGUGGGUAUUUUAGUCUUUUCAGCAAUUAUCAUGAUCAGAUCAGCCUUUAGCUUGAAACGUCGGUCAGAAAAGUUUUAAAAUUAAUGCUAACAAGAAAAAGCUAGGUCAUAUUCCACAAAAGCAAAAGUGACAAAACAACCAGCUGGUUUUUUUUACUAAACUACAAAUUAAAAGUGGAUUCUUUUGAAUACAAGUGGGACAGACGAUUAGGCUCUUUUUAUUAAACGCAAGUAAAAAGUAGUCGAAUAGUCUUUUUUCAAAUUAUUGUUUUAUUAUUUUUCCUUCAAAAGUUAGUGUGGCUCAUGUUUGCAGGUGCGAAUGUCAGAUCACAUGCGAUGGUGCUUUUUUCAAUCGUUGCUUGGAUUGCUUUCUUGGAAAAGCAGCAUACAUACGUAACCUCCAAGAUAAUCUUGAUGCCUUGGAGACUGAAUUGGGAAAUCUGAUCGCUAGAAAGAACGAUGUGAUGAGGAGGGUUGUCGAUGCUGAACGGCAACAAAUGAGAAGGCUGGACGGAGUGCAAGUGUGGGUUUCGAGGGUGGAUUCUGUUAAAACUGAAGCUGAUCAAUUUAUAAGAGACGGCUCUCGAGAAAUUGAAAAAUUAUGUGUUGGAGGCUACUGUUCCAAGAAUUGCAUGUCAAGCUACAAGUUCGGGAAAAAAGUGGCUAAAAAGCUACGGGAUGUGCGGACUUUAAUCAGUGAAGGAGUUUUUGAGGUGGUGGCUGACAGAGCUCCAGAGUCUGUAGCAGAUGAAAGACCUACUGAGCGAACAGUAGUAGGCUUGCAAUCACAACUUGAACAAGUCUGGAGAUGUCUUGUAGAAGAAUCAGCGGGAAUCAUUGGCCUAUAUGGCAUGGGCGGUGUUGGUAAAACUACACUACUGACCCAUAUCAACAAUAAAUUUCUCGAGAGUCCAACCAACUUUGAUUGUGUGAUUUGGGUUGUAGUUUCAAAAGACCUGCGACUCGAAAAAAUUCAAGAAGAUAUUGGGAAAAAGAUAGGUUUGGUUGGUGAUUCAUGGAAGAGUAAAAGUGUAGAGGAGAAAGCUGUCGACAUCUUCCGGAGUUUAAGAGAGAAGAGAUUUGUAUUGUUGUUAGAUGAUAUAUGGGAGCGGGUUGAUUUAACAAAGGUGGGCGUUCCACUUCCCGGACCAAAAAAUACUACCUCAAAAGUCGUAUUCACAACCCGUUUCAUCAAUGUUUGUGGUACCAUGGAAGUUGACAGGAAGUUUCAAUUAGCAUGCUUAUCAAAAAAGGAUGCUUGGGAACUGUUUCGAGAAAAAGUUGGGGAAGAAACUCUUCAGAGUCAUCAUGAUAUCGAUGAGCUAGCCCAAAUUGUGGUCAAAGAGUGUGGUGGUUUGCCGCUCGCACUUAUUACUAUUGGUCGAGCUAUGGCCUACAGAAAGAAAGCGGAGCAGUGGAGUCGUCCAAUUGAAGAGUUAAGGAGAUCAGCUUCAGAGUUUGCAGGUUUGGGAAAAAAAGUGUAUCCUCUUUUAAAAUUCAGCUAUGAUAGUUUACAGAAUGAUAGGGUUAGAUCUUGUUUCUUGUACUGUUGUUUAUAUCCUGAAGAUUAUGGCAUUCUUAAAUGGGACUUGAUUGAUUGUUGGUUUGGCGAGGGAUUUUUUGGGGAAUCUGACAGGUUUGGUGCAGAAAACCAAGGAUAUGACAUUUUGGACACUCUUGUUCGUGCAUGUUUAUUAGAAGAGGUGGAAGAUGAUGAAGUUAAAAUGCAUGACGUUAUUCGUGAUAUGGCUCUAUGGAUAACUUGUGAAAUUGAGAAGGAGAAGAGAAACUUUUUGGUUCGUGCAGGUGCUGGAUUAAAAGAGGUACCGGGUGUUAAAGGAUGGGAAAAUGUGAGAAGAUUGUCAUUGAUGCAAAACCAAAUUGAAACUCUGUCAGAGGUUCCCACAUGCCCUCAUCUCCUCACUUUAUUUCUUGACUUUAAUCAGGAGUUGGAGAUGAUCGCGGAUGGCUUCUUCCAACUUAUGCCUUCUCUCAAAGUUUUGAAGAUGUCAAACUGUUCGAAUUUGAAAUUACCUGUUGGGAUGUCAGAGUUGGGUUCAUCACUAGAACUUCUCGAUAUUUCAGAAAACAGCAUAACAGAGUUACCGGAAGAGUUAAAGAAGUUGGCAAAUCUGAAAUGUUUGAAUUUGGGGUGGACAAGGGAGUUAAAUAAAAUUCCACGGCAACUAAUAUCAAAUUCUUCAAGGUUACGUGUGUUGAGAAUGUUCGCUACUGGCCGGUUCAAUUUUCAUGAAGCACCAGAAAACAGCGUUUUAUUUGGUGGGGGUGAAGUUUUGAUACAGGAAUUGCUCGGUUUGAAAUAUUUAGAGGUAUUGGAGUUGACCUUGGGAAGUUAUCAUGCUCUCCAAAUUCUUUUGAGCUCAAAUAAGUUAAAAAGUUGUAUUCGAUCUCUUUUCCUCGAGUUGACCGGAGAUACAGCGUCAAUUAUUGACGCUACGGCUUUCGCAGAUCUAAACCACCUCAAUGAAUUAUGGAUUGAUAAUGGUAUUGAGUUGGAAGAGUUGAAGAUUGAUUAUACGGAGAUAGUACGAAAAAGGCGGGAACCUUUUGUUUUCCGCAGCCUUCACUGUGUUACUAUGAUUUCGUGCCGUAAAUUGAAAGAUUUGACAUUCCUCGUUUUUGCUUCAAACCUCAAGUCUCUUCGGCUACGCAAUUGCUAUGCUAUGGAAGAAAUAAUCAGCGUCGGAAAAUUUGCUGAGACUCCUGAGAUGAUGGGACGUAUAAGCCCUUUUGAAAAUCUCCAAAUGCUUGAUUUACAAGGUUUGCCACAUUUGAAGAGCAUCUUCUGGAAGCCAUUGCCUUUCACUCAUCUGAAAGAAAUGGAGGUACUUAGGUGCGAUCGGCUUGAAAAGCUUCCACUCGAUUCCAACAGUGCAAAGGAGCGCAAAUUUGUUAUUCGUGGAGAAGAAGACUGGUGGAACCGACUUCAAUGGGAGGAUGAAGCCACUCAAAUUGCUUUUCGUUCCUGUUUUAAAAGUGAUGCUUUAUUUAUAUCUUAUUCGUGAAAAGUGAUUUAAUUUCCUGCCAAAAGACGAACGAGAAGAACAUUAGAGUCAAACUAAUGCUCACAUAAAUUUCCCAUAAGAAUAUAUAAUUAGACUGGAAUGCACACCUCUAGAUUGAACAGAAUUAAAGCUGAGAAGAUAUUGAGUAUAGUAGCCCUCUUUACAGAAAAUGACACGAAAGUUAAUUUAGAAAGAUAUAUUCUUGAUUAAUCCAUUUUCUGAAGUUUUUAUUUUGUAUGGUCAAUUAUACCUUCAUACUAAAAAUUUCUGAAGUUAUAAAUUAGUGCAACUUGACAAUUUUUACUGAUGAUAUCUUCUAUUUUUCCUUUUUUUUUUUUUUUUCACUUUCAUAGACUGGCAGCGGAUCCUGCGGCACCAAUUUGAGAGAAUAUACUGACACUACUUCGAACAGCAAGCAGAAUAUGUCUACGGCAAAGGCAAUGCAGUCCUCAUUUUGGCUUGAGAUGCAGUAAUCAUCGAAGAGAGUUUCCUUGUGAAACUGGGCAACACAUUGAAUCCCUUCGCCACUGAGAAGGUUGUGGAGGAAGUAAGCUUUCUCUCCAGUGAGGAAGAGGUGGCAUAUACCUUCCCCAUUUUGUCGAGGGCAGGUAGGAAUCUUUUUUCUAAGAGAUUUACUUCGUUCUCUGUAAGAAAUGCUUUGAACUUCAUCCCUCUGUCUCUAUCCUCACUUAUCAGGAAAUAAGUUGAAAGCACUAUGAAGAGAGAGAGAGAGAGAGAGAGAGAGAGAGAGAGAGAGAAUUAAGAUAUAGAGACAAGAAAAAUAUUAGACGUUGAUCUUACAAACUAAUACUUCAAGCAGUAUCCUAGAAAGCUAAAAACUGCAAGAUGGCUUGAAAUUUGAAAAGAGCACGUGCUUUUCCUCCUUAACUUGAGAAAAUGUUUAAUAUAGUGCACCUUACAGAAGCAUUUAAGCAAUUAGAACUUUGCACAAAAACAUCAAGAAGACUAAACAAGUCAGAUGCAGUGCAUUUGUCCAAGCACAAAUUGCAUUUUGUCCUCAACUUUAAUAUUUAUUGAUGAGAAUCAAUACAGGUCCCUCAUUUGUUAUAGAAAGCUUUCUUUCUUGUAGUCUCACCAGUUAAUUCACAGGUCUAUAAUCAUCUUGCAAAGUUAAGGGCAUUUCUUUCGAUCUAAAGUCUUUGCAUCACCACCUCAUCACACGCCAAGCCAAUAUUCCAUUUACCUCUACAACAAAAAGUUUUAAUUAAACAAUCCUAAUGCACGCAGCCAAAUAAAAUGCAGUAAGAAUAUUCAACUUAAAAAUCUGAAAGCCAACUUGGUGAAUUGCCUCCUUAGGUGAAGUUCCAUGCUUUACUAUAGUUGACAGAACUCAGCAAAAGCUUCCAUACAACAGAUUUUGAAAAUGAUGAUGCCAACAGAUACUUAUUCAAUCCAUUGAAACUCCAAAGGUUCAUUGUUCAUAGAAGUUUACAGAGUUUUGGUCAUCAAAUAGCUCAGACCUAAUCCCAAACAAAAAACGAGUGAAAAUUAGAUCACGAGCAGCUAAUUGUAAAUUCUAACUUAACUCUUCAUCUCCUUUGUAAACAAGAAACAAAAUGGAGACACGCAAAAUGAAUAUGGAGAAAAUUUGAACUCAAAUGAAAUGAGGGCACAAAAGCAAACAAAUGGCAUGCACCAAAAAACCAAGCCUCAAUCAAAAACUAAUUAACCAUUAAGAAAAAAAUUGCCCAGAGAAUGAACUCCAAAUUCAGGAGUCAAGCAAGAACCUUUCAUUAUUUCAGAAGCUCCUGUACAAAUUAAUAAGUUAUGCUCUUUGGAAGCAAACCUAAAUUCCAAGAGAAACAGAACCCAAAAAAAUUUGCAAUUAUACGCAAAGGAAGUGAAGCACAGGAUUCUAUCACACAUAGGAAUUGUAUAACAAGAGAUCGAUAUAUCGAAUUAGAAAACUCAAUUCGAAUUUGUGUCAAAAAUCAAAAUUAGAAGAUUUCACAUUUCGAGAGGAACAAGCAACAGAUGAAGUUCAAAAUUUCAGCCAUAACAUGCUAAAAAUGCUGCACUUAACGGUUCAUUUUCAUGGAUUUUCUCGGGAAACAAACAGAAAAUUACGGUUUAGAGAGUUGACUGACCUUUUGGCUUUUGAAAUUGAGAAGAUCGCACGCCAAAUUGGAAGAGGGAAAGUGAAAGUGCGAGUUUUAAUAUGGGUAUUAGAUAAGGAAAUUUUAUUAGGUUGCGAGGGUAAAAAAGGAAAGAGAUAUCAUUGUUUUAUUAUCGAUAAUUAUUAAAUUUUUUUCCAAAAAAAAAACAGGCAAGGAUAUUUUAUUGUCAUUUGCAACCUUUAAUUUUUUUAAAUGCUAUUAGAAACACAAGACAACAAAGAAAUACUUAUUUUUUUCUAAAACUAAAAUCAACUGUUUAGGGCCCGUUUGGUAUUGUUUCUAAAUUUAUAUUUUCUGACAAUAAAAAUGAAAAUGAAAAUGAUGUUUUGCAGUUGCUGUAUUUUAAAUUUAAGUAUACGUUUGGUAUCAUUUUCUAUAUCCUAUAUUUUAAAAUUAAAAAUAAUAAUAUGUGUUUGGUAAACACAUUUGAAAAUAAUAAAAACAGAGAAUAUGCGUUUGGUAAUACUUUUUUUAAAAAGAGUUUUUACUAGUAUUUACGUCAUAUUUAUAGUUAUAAAAUAAUUAUUUAGCUAAUACAUACACAAAUACAACAUAAUAAUUUAAACAAAAUUAUUAUAAAAAAAUUACAUGAUAAUAAAGUUUUAGAAUUAGCAUUAAUUAAAAAAAAGUUUUACAUUGUCAUUAUUUUUACACCAUAAUUAAGAUAUAUAUUACAACACAUGAUUUAAACAAAAUAAUUAUAAAAAAAUUACAUGAUAGGCAUUAUGCAUUACGCAUGUAAUCAUGCCACAUAAAAGCUGCAAUUCUAUCUCUUAUAGCAUUCAUCUUUGCGACACUUGAAGGAGAUAAAUCAAUAUUAGUAAGUGACCUACUAGUGUCUCCUUCUUCGUUGGUAACCAAAUCUUGCACAUCAAAGUCUCCAAAUAACCUAUCACAGGCAAUAAAUUCAAAUUGUGAAUCCCAUCUAAAGCAAUAAAUUGAAAUUACAGAUUGUUUGAUUGGAUUGAAUCCUAUCCUGGGCAAAGCUUGAAAAAACUUUAUUUCUCUCUAGUAACAAAAGUCCUAUUUGCCUAAUGCAUUUUCUCUGUAAAAAAAAAAAAAAUUGGAGUGACAUGCAAUAAAUUCAACUUGUGCAUCAUCAACAAAAUGGAAUUUGGAGUAAAAUCAACAUCAUGGCAAUGACAAUCGUGAACAAUAUCAUCUUUACAUGCUAUUAAAAACAAUUAAAAUCACUCAAAUAAUUUCUGAAAUUUUUAUUAAAUUCUCAGGUUUUUUUUUUUCAUUCUAAAUGUCAUAUAUACAAAUUCAUUACUGUCCAAAAACAUCCUACUUUAAGAAAUAUUUAAAAGUUAAUUAAGUAAAAAAUCUUGUAAAUUAUAAUGUCUUUUUUUUUUUUCGUUUUAAAUUGGUUUCCAAAGAAUGAUGUCUAUGCUUACAGAAGCAAAACAUGCCAAACAGCAGCAGCGACAUUUUGUGAAUUGUUUUUAACUUAAACAAAACAAAUACCGGCAAGUGACAGAUCCGAGAGAGCAACAGCAGCUGGCGUGAAGACGAGCAGCAACGGCUGAGCAGAGCAACAGCGGAAACAGAGCAGCAGCGAAGACGAGCAGCAGCGGAGCAGAGCAGCAGCAGAAACAGAGUAGCGGCGGCUAUGGCGGAAACACAGCAACGACAGUGGUUGAGAGUGCAGAUUUGCUGAGGAAAGGGAGAGAGUGCAGAUUUAUUGCAACUGAAUCAAGAAGGCUGCGGGGGAAAGGGGAAGAGAGAGAGGCAAUGAAGAGAUAAGGAGGAGAGAGUGGAUCGGGAGAAAUAAAGAGAGAGAAAGAUGUUGGAUGAAGAUAAGGGGAGGGAGAGAGUGCAGAUUUGCUGCAACUGGAUGAAGAAAGUUGGGGGGAAGAGAGAGCGGCAGUGAAGAGAUAAGGAGGAGGUCACGAUUUUUCUUUUGUUUUUUAAUUCAUUUUUAGGUUUAGGUGGCGUUUGUUUUUUUGUCUGAAAUCUGAAUAGACUUGAAUUAGUCUGAAUUCUGAAUAGGUCUGAAUGUCUGAAUCUGAAUAAUAUGUUUGUUUUUUCGUCUGAAUCUUGAAAAAUAAGUAUUAAGUUGUUUGUUUUUUUCAACUUAAAAAGCUGAAAAUAUAUACUUUUACAUUUGUAUCCUUAUUAAAUUUGAAUGUCAAAUAAAUAAUAUAUUAAAUACCACAAUAUUUUAACAUUUAUAAGUAAAACUAUAUUCAAGUGAAUACAUAAUUAUUUUAGAAUUUUAAUAUAUAAAAUACCAUAAAUUUCAAAUUUUAUCGUAUAUAAUAUAAGAAAGAAAAAACAGGGAUAUUUUUAUGUGGGGUAGAUAUCUAUGGGUGAGUUUUGGGAUAGACAUGAAAAAUAAAUUAUAAAACAUGGAUAUUUUUGACAUUAGCAAGUAAUUGACUUAAUUUAGAUUUCUCCAUUAAGUAAAAAGCCAAAAAAAUUAGCUUAUUUUAUUAAGUCAAAAUUAUUUAAAAAUUCUCAUUAAGUUAUAAAAACAAACAACUCUAAUUAACUUAAUUAAUUAAGUUAAGUCACUUUAAGUCAUUAAGUUAAAAAACAAACGCAACCUUAGUCUGUAAAAUUUGGAGAACAUGUUUAACUUGUUUUCAGUUGUAUAGUUAUAAUAAUGAAUCCGAAUUUUGUGUUUUGUAAUUUGUUUUGUGAAAAAAAUCCACCAAACAUGUUUUAUGUGUGUAUUAUAAAAAUGAAAACGCAAAUAUGGCUUGAAAAACGGUACCAAACGGGCCCUUAACUUCUUAUUUCAUAAUCCAACUCCAUUACUAAGUUAAAAAAAAUUGUUUUAAAAUUACUUGAGUCAUAUCCAAUAGACCAACAAAGUAAUCGUUUUUAUUUUUAUUGAUUUUUGCAGGAAAUUAGUGGCUUAAAAAUACUGAAAGCUAUUGUAAAAAUCUUUAUUAUCAACCUCAUUGUUUUUUUUUUUUUUUGGGGAAGAGAAUUCAAUUUUUUUUUUUAAUGAAUAUCGCUGUUUCGUUUGAGUUGGAUGUGAAUUCAAAUUCAUUUGAGUUGGAUGUGAAUUCAAAUUCAAAUAUUCUUUGUUUUUCAAUUCUGAACUCGAUUUCUUUUUCUCAAGAAUGUUAUGUAGAAAUGAUUUUUACUAAAUCAUUUUUGAUGAAUUGUUUAAAUUAAACAAUUGGAAUAAGAAUUGUAACGAUUUAUCAUAAGCGCGCUAAUAUGAUAACUUGUUUUACGAAAGAUUAAUUAAUCAAUUAAUAUUAAAUUAUAUAUUAGUCAAUUAUAUAUGUGUUACAUUUGUCAUGGUUUGUGCGUGAUACUACAUAAUUUCUAAAAGAAUAUAGUAAAAACACGUUAAAAUGUUAUUUUAAUGAAUAAAAUUUUAUAAUUUUAUUAAUUAGGUGACACAAUAAUAAAUGGAUUUCUGUAAGAAUUGAGUUUCUUGAGAUAAUUAUUACAUAAGGAGAAGUUUAGUUGGUUCAAUUUUGACAUGUUAAGAAGAGCAUCACAGCACAGAAAACACAAAUUGCCACUUCCACUAAUAAAAGAUACCUGUUUGAAAAGUAAUUAUAAACUAUCUUCUUUGUGUUAUUUCUCAAAACUUUUGUGGCACAAAUGUUAUUUCCAUUGACAACAGUACGAAAUACCACCCCUUUCACUUGAGCAGGAGCAAAGCAAAGGUAUGAUGAGCUAUCUCUGUAUAAUUGAAACGCCAUUACUAAACGAUUCUUGAUGAUGGGAGCCACCGUGCCAGCUUUGUCGCUGAUUUGGUAUUAUUCUUAACUUGCAGAUAGUUGUGGAUAUGAUAUGCAAAAGGUAAGGACUAUAUCUUCUUGAUGGAGGCCUCUGAUUUUUUCCCUUCUAUGUAAUUUAGUAAAUCGCAUUUUCCUUUGUGAUUGAUAUAUCAUACCAAAGUCAAGUCUUAAAUACUGCUGUCAUAUGUUAAGGUUCAACUUCCAUUUUGAUUAACGUCCAUCUGCUGCUGCUUCCAAAAGUGAGAAUGAGAUACUUUGGUUAAUUUCAGUAGUUGAACCCAAUAGAGUACUUUAUUUAGAUCUUCAUGGUUCAAAGGCCUGAAAAAACUUGCCGGUAUUUGGAAAAUGACAUUCUGUGCUUUUAUUUAGACUUAUUAUUUAAGUGAUAAAAACUCCCGUAACCUGCUGUCAAGAAAAUUUCAGAUUGUUAAAAGACAACAUUUUGUUUCGGCCAAAAAUGUUUGUUUCGAUUAAAGACUUGAACCAUUUUCAUUUAACCUUGAUUGUGAUGCUUUACAUUAUGCAUGUUCCUCUCAAUCAAUAAAAGUUGAGGUCAUGAUUUUAUAUUUCUAUUUUGUAACUUGAAAUAAUUGGUCUGCCUGUUUCUGUAGCUUGAUAACAUGAAUUUUUCCUUCUGAAGUUAAUUUGAUCAAUAAAGUAAUUCUUCGGAGAUGAUAUGCCCAUUCUAUAGUCAUUUUCUUAGCUAACAUGUUUUUUCUUCACUCUUCAGAGCAUGUCUAAACUAAUUGAUCGCUCAGCGGAGACUUUGGGUGAGAAGACAAAAUUUCUUAGUAAAUCCUCUGAAAAGGUAUGCAUAAUUCUCGAGUAUUAAAUAACCAUUGGUCAUAAUUUUUGUUCUUUUUUUGGAGAUCGUUAAAAGUGGUUGAUGACCUAUUUUUUACUAUCAUAGAGGGAUCAUGAAUUCCUUUUCUUUUCUGUGGCUCGGCAACACUUUCGGGCCAAACUAAGGAAAUCUAUUUUAGGUAAUGUAAAAACCAGUUGUAGGAUGUAAUAGUUUAUUAUGCCCUGACAAUAACUUUUUGUAUAAUUGUCAGUUUAAUGAAUACAAGAGGAACUCUGUUGGCAAAUUCAUCCAUGAUAGAAUAUAGAUGCUAAAAUUAUUUAUGCAUACCAGUUGCCUUAACUAAUUUUUCUCAACACUGGUAUUGAACAGGAAAAUGAAUAUGCAAUUUGUAUAUUGUGCCAUUGUGGAGAAUUUGGAUAUUCUUAUUUAAGUAUCAAGGAGAGUAUUUGCCUCAUCUUUAAACAAUGAAUCUUUGAGAAAUGAGGAGUGGGUGAUUGGCAGUGUCUUCAUGUAAAUGUUCAUUUAUUUGUAUUUUGAACUAUUACGAGAAUCUUUGUGUGCCAAAUUAGUAAUACAAAUGUUCAGAUGAUUUUUCCUGUUGAUCAUGCGCGUGUAUCUGCACACAACCAUUGUGUACCACUUUAUUCUGAUGCGCAAAUAUCUGUAGUUUAGAAGAAAAGAAAUAAUAAUCAUAUAUUAUUGCUUGGUUCAUGAUUAUUAAACGAUUAUGGCUUUAGAAAAUCCACAAAUCCUUUGUGUUCAUAUAUGAAUGUGCAAAGUUUGCUAUAUCUUAGAUUACCUUCUUCCAAGAUAACAAGUUCAUAUAUUUUUUUUAAUCCUUUUUCAUCACAGUUGAAUUUCAAGUGUAAGUUUUGUUAUUAAUAGCUGGUGUCCUGUUAUUAUGAUUUCAUAAACAGUGAGCGGAUAUGUGCUCUACUUUUGGAGGGCCUCCACAUGAAAGAAAAUUGCAACAAUUGAAUUCUUCUGGAGGUUAUGGUAUUUAAUUUAUUUUCUCAGCUUGUUGAAAGACUAAUAUAUUUCCUUCAGUACGCACGGCGUGGUGGGAAGGGUUUUUAUUGAAAGAAUUAUGAUAUUUCUUAGACUUUGUUUUGGAAGGGGGUGGAGGGAUUUCUCAUCCAUAUAUGGUUACUUGAUUAGCUUUUGACUGUAUUGUCUCCGUCGUGCAAAGGAAAAUCCAAAUACUAACGAAGGGGAAUUGCUUAGGCACCCAAAAGACAGAAAUGAAUUACAGAAGGAAGUUUUUGCUGCUUUAUUUAGUGCUGCUGAGAAAUCUGAUGGAUUUCCUGAAAUUACGGUGAAGACGGAGUGGAGGUCCAACGCAUUAGGAAAGGUGGUGAGUGAACCGCCGGAGGAAUUAGUACCAGAAUACAAGGCUAAUGUGGUGCACUUGCAGCAAGAUGACCAGACCUGUAUGUGCUCUUAUAUUAACUAUAUUGUUGGAUUUGUGAGUGUGUACAUUUUUGUGUGUAUACUCACUUUUGUAUUUAUGCAUAUUAACGUGUGUAGGAUUCUUGAUUUCUGCCACUUACUGGAGAACUAGUGGAAAGCUUUAUACUGAUAUAUGUGCUAUAACUAAUGGAAACUACGAUAUGAAUAUUUUCUCUCACCUGGAGAACUGUAUAACAGAUAUAAUUUGUGGCUCUGGAAUACUGAAGAUUCUGCAAUAACUAAUGGAAAAUAUGAUAUGAAUAUUUUUUCUCACCUGGAGAACUUUGUAACAGAUACAUUUUGUGGCUCUGGAAUGUCUAAAGAAUGCUUCAGUUUAGAUCAAAUAUCUUUUAGUUAGAAAAGAUAAAAUUCUCUGAAUCUGAAAGACUGAAACAUUUUGCAUAUUUUGUGAAAGGGUAGUAUCUGUAGAUACUAGCUCAUGCAUUGAGGUAAUAUCAGUGUUAAAGAAAAACAACAAUAAUUUAUUAUACAAAAUUAGGUUCACUUGCUUUAAAUGCUGGUCUGAUCAACCAUAUCAACCUGUAAUGGUUCUGCAGAAAUAUAUAUACGGGGAGAAACUAGCUAAAUUUUCCUUUCACUUAUGGGUUUGGUCUUUUUUUCCCCUAUUUUUCAGCUUUCCUUCUCCUGAAGUAUGUUAACAAUUGCAGAUAAUGACGAAGAGGACCGCUUCCAGGCUCUUUGUAGAGCUGUGAUGGAAUAUAGGGGCACAAUGAAGGAAUAUUGUAAGGCUGUAGGUACUUUCUCUCUUGUCAUUUAUGUUUUCUCACACAUUUUGUAUAUGCCCUGAACAUGCAGCUUUGUAUGUGUCAAUUGCCUUUUACAUUUUAAAAGCCAUAAAGUAAGAAUACAGUUCCUUGUCAGGCUAUUGAUGCGUUCGCUCAGAAGGGUCAUGUUCAAGCAGGAAAACUUCUAGAACAUGUAAGGUUUCCAUCUACAGCCAUCCAUUGACAGUGUCAAAGUAUUUGGCUGCAGCUUCUAGAAGCUACAUCUAGAAGCUUUGAUGCAGCAAAUGUUGAAGGCACCGCCAAGGAGAAAAAGAAGGAAGAAUGAAGAAGAUGUUGCAGAAGUUGAUCUUGACAAAUGAUGGUUGGAACGCCAAAAUGGAAGAAAGAAAAAAGGUUGGAACACGGCUUUGAAGAAGCCACGAGAAGAAUAAAGAAAAUAUUAAAAUAAUAGCUAAUUUUGGCUAUAUAAAGGAAGCUCCCCUUUUUUUGGUUUGUGUAUCCAAUCCUCAGUUUCUCUUCUUCAUUCAGAGAGUGUUUCUUUGGGGUGUAUUUGGGGAUUAGGUGAGAGAAAAUUAUUUCUGAAAGAGUGGUUGUAAUAAUUUUCCACAUAGUGAAUAUUUUUUCUCUGGUUGUCUUUUUGACAACGGCCGUGGUUUUUCUCCAUAUUUGGAGUUUUCCACGUAAAUCUUGUGUUGUGGGAUUGAUAUUAUUUUUCAUUUAAUUUUUCUUGUUAAUUUGUUAAUUGAAAAAUUGCUUGGAGAGAUCCUGGGAGGAAGCUCAAUUUCCUAACAGUGGUAUCAGAGCCAUUGAUUGAAGUUUUUUGGUGUCGGGGCACUGCUCACGUAUACGGUACUGUUUACGUAUACGGUACUAUUCACGUGAAGCAGUGGGAGCCAAUCCAAACAGUUCGUGGUGAAGAGUAAAAGCUUAUCUGCAAAGCAAAUAUGUCAGGAUUGAAAUUUUCAAGUCCGGUGAAAUUUGAAAUAGAAAAAUUCGAUGGGAGAAUUAACUUUGGCUCGUGGCAAGUUCAAGUCAAAGAUGUGUUGAUUCAAUCUGGGUUACACAAGGCAUUGAAAGGGAAGCCAUCCCCUGCUUCCAGUAGUGGCUCUGGAAAAGCUAGUAUAAGUGAUGAAGAUUGGGAAGAAUUAGAUGAUCGAGCUGCAAGUGCCAUACGACUAUGUCUAGCAAAGAAUGUUCUUGCAAAUGUAGGAAAAAUUCCUACAGCGAAAGAACUUUGGGAGAAGCUAGAAAAGUUGUAUCAGACAAAGAGCAUCUCAAAUCGAUUGUACCUGAAGGAGCGAUUUCACACACUGCGAAUGGCUGAAGGUACAAAAAUUUCUGAUCACCUCAGUGUUCUCAAUGGUAUUGUGUCAGAACUAGAAGCCAUUGGAGUUAAAAUUGAAGAUGAGGACAAGGCGCUUAGGUUACUAUGGUCACUUCCAACUUCCUACAAACACUUGUUACCUACUUUGAUGUACGGGAAGGAGACAGUAGAUCUUGAAGAAGUUACUAGUACUUUACUCUCAGAAGAAAGAAGACUGAAUGGUGAAAGUACUAAAACUACAGAUGUCUCGGCUUUGGCAGUUGUAGGGAAUUGGCAGAAAGAUAAAUCUAAGAAGAAAGGAGUCUGCUGGGGGUGUGGACAAUCGGGGCACUUAAAAAGAGAUUGUCAUAGUAGAAAUAGAGUAGGAUCGGCAAGUGGCUCCAGAUUAGAUAUUGAUAGUAUUGCUAGUGGUAAGUCUCUCAUCAUCGUGGGAGACGAUGAUCCCUUAUAAAAUGGAUGAUGAUGACAUCCUCAUGGUAUACCGCUAGUACCAUGAAAGGGGAUAUGUUACUACUAGCGGGUCCACAAGAUUUACACACAAGGCAUGGUUGGCAUUGAUGCAGGGUGUGUGGUGGAAUUUAUGUCGAUGGCUGACAAACUUCCAGGAAGACCAACAUGGAAGUUGCACCAUAAAUUUCAGCAAGAUAUUUCGACAUGUGCCGAUGUAAAAUUCUUAGAAUUGUUAAUUAAUUCUAAGUGGUAUACUCUUUAUGGUGGAGUAUGAUAAUUCUCUAUGGUGAGGAUUAUGACUAAGGUGAAAAUAGUAAGGUUAGUGUGGAGAUUGAUUGAUUCUCAAUCAAAACUCCAAGUGGGAGAAUGUCAAAGUAUUUGGCUGCAGCUUCUAGAAGCUACAUCUAGAAGCUUUGAUGCAGCAAAUGUUGAAGGCACCGCCAAGGAGAAAAAGAAGGAAGAAUGAAGAAGAUGUUGCAGAAGUUGAUCUUGACAAAUGAUGGUUGGAACGCCAAAAUGGAAGAAAGAAAAAGGUUGGAACACGGCUUUGAAGAAGCCACGAGAAGAAUAAAGAAAAUAUUAAAAUAAUAGCCAAUUUUGGCUAUAUAAAGGAAGCUCCCCUUUUUUUGGUUUGUGUAUCCAAUCCUCAGUUUCUCUUCUUCAUUCAGAGAGUGUUUCUUUGGGGUGUAUUUGAGGAUUAGGUGAGAGAAAAUUAUUUCUGAAAGAGUGGUUAUAAUAAUUUUCCACAUAGUGAAUAUUUUUUCUCUGGUUGUCUUUUUGACAACGGCCGUGGUUUUUCUCCAGAUUUAGAGUUUUCCACGUAAAUUUUGUGUUGUGGGAUUGAUAUUAUUUUUCAUUUAAUUUUUCUUGUUAAUUUGUUAAUUGACAAAUUGCUUGGAGAGAUCCUGGGAGGAAGCUCAAUUUCCUAACAGACAGCAGAUACAUUUUCAUUGAGCAGACACUGUUAGCAUUCAAGAUGCUGGCAGAUUCACUUGAUUCUUAUUAGUUUGUUUAGUGGCAAAGCAUAUAACCUGUAUUUCAAAGCCAAGUUGUGCUAUUGAUUAUGUUAACUUUAUUGUUAACCUAAAGUGAUAUGGAGGACAUAAUCAAUGUAGGAAAAUUAGGUGAAGAGACGAUGUCAACUCUUGAACCUCUUACAAAGCUCCAAGUUCUUUACUUGAAGAAGCUGCCAAAUUUGAAGAGCGUCUACUGGAAGGCAUUUCCAUUCCCAGAUGUAUGCAGAAUUUUUGUAUUAAUGCCCAGUUCUUAAGAACCUGCCACUGGAUUUUCAAGGGACGGGCCAAGGUAAAAUUCUUAUCAAGGGAAAGGAAGAUUGGUGGAAAGAACUUCAAUGGGAGGAUCAAGCAACUCAGAAUGCAUUGCUUCCAUUUUUCAAAUCAACUGACAAGUGAUUGAAGGGGGCAUCAUCAACAUCAUCAACAGAGAUGGAGAGAUUCUGGAGCAGAUCAGCAGGGUUUGUAUAUGAUCUUUGGUGGUUGCUUUCUUUUGUGAUUUUUUUUUUCUUCCUGUCAUUUUAUCAUUUCUUUGUCUCUUUUUCUAUUGCUGAUGUUAGUGUAUGCUUACUGUUGCUUGACAAAGUUUGCUUGCUUCUUGUUUAUUAAAUUUUUUAUGGUCACAAAAUAUUACUUGUUCUAUUUGAGAGUGAUGUGAAUCAAUUUUCAAUUAUAUAUUUUGUGGUCAAUGUGAAUUCAAUUUCAUUUGUCUCCUGCAAUUAUGAGAAAAUUGCAGAGUCAUAAUAUGGAAAAGAACACCAGCAAAAACUUUGUAAAAGCUUCGGAGUGAAACAGGGAAUUCACUUACUACUAAGAACAAUUGAUGGCGAGCUAUUCCAUUCAUUUUAUGUCCAUCCAUCUAUUUAAUUAUUAAAGAUAAGUGGUCCAUUUAUAAAUUUUAGAUUUUCUCUCUUUGAAAAUAACAAUAUGUAAAAUAUCUCUUAAAUUAUUAUAAAUUUUAAUUUACUCUCGAUUUAAAACGGAACAUGCUGAUGAAAUUUUUUUCUUCUUACUAAAAUUGAAAUAAAUUGUGUUUGCAGUAGUUUGAAAUAUUUUAAAGAUUAUUAUUUUAUAAGGGAGUAAUAUGAAAUGAAAUUUACUUUUCAUGCGUGAAAUGUUGAAAAAGGACAAAGGAAGUGUCCCUGCUUUUAUUUUAUUUCAAAGUGGAGUCAUCUCACAUACUUUAGCUCUAACAUUACAAUUUUUCAGGUUACAUUUUUAUUUAUUUAUUUUCUUUUUUACACAUGCAUGUGGGUUACUUUUCCGUAAGCUCCUUUAUAUAUAUUGAACCCUACGAAGAAUGUUAUGGAAGAGCAAAUGAUAUUUCUGAUAGACUCUAUUUGAUUAUGUAGCCUGAAUGGAUGUCUUGUUGAAAGAUAUUUCAGUGCAUUAGUUCAUCCUUGUCUCUCAAUGUGUUUUUAAUGGUUUUUCCAAUUGUUUAUUAUUAUAGAUUGAUUGUAAAUUGAUAUGAAUUUAAUGUUGAAAUGUUUUCUCUUUAGUGGAAUGAAUUUAAAAGUGCAAAAGAUUAUUGCACACGGAGAAAUAAACAUAUAUGCUUUAUAACUUUAGCAAUCGAUUCUUUUACAGCUGGAAACAGAGAUGAUGAUUAUCAUAAGGAUGAAGAAAAGGACAAAAAUUGUCAAUGAUUAACGAAAUCUCUAUGCAAAUUGAUUUUAGCAGGAAAAAAGUGAGCUAAAUGAUGGAGACGAUUAGUGGUAAUAUUUCAUAGAGUUCCUUCCAAUCUUCUCAUGAAUCCCCUUUUUGAGUUAUAUUUAUUUUAUUUUUAAAAUAUCUUUUUUCUCUUUUACUACACUUCUAAUUUUUCAUUUUUUUUUAUUGUUAAACUCAAAGUAGUAUUGUGAUAUUUUUUAUUUAUUUUGCAAUCUUAUUAUUACUCUACACUUAAGUUAAAAAGUUUUAUAGGUGAUGAAUUUUUGAAUGUUAAUCAUUAGCUUAAAUUUCACAUAUUUUACAUUAUAAUUUGAAAUUUAGUACCAAAAUAUUUAAUCAAUAAGAAUUAUGAAAAGAUUAAUAGAUUAUUCUAAAUUUAUACAACUUAUUUUAGUUAGAUCAGAAGUAGCAGGUUAAAAAAAGAAAAGAUUGGUUAUGAAAUUUGUUGGAAAAAAAUCUAUGUGUGUUUAAUUUUUAUUCGUUGUUAACUCUAAUUAAAUAGGUUAAAUAAUUUUGUUAUUUUUUACUUAUCAAAAAAUUUAAGAUCAAUAUUUUUAGUUACCAUUUGAAGGAUAUUAUGACAAAAACAAAAUUUUCAUGUCUUUGUUAAAAAUUUGGGGGUUUGUAUAACUAUUUUUUCAAAUGUUAGGGGCAUAACUGUCUUUUUACUCUUAUAUAUAUGAACCAUGGUGGUGAAAAAGCGUGAUUUAAUGUUAUUUAUUUAAAUAAUAUCUCAAUUAAAAAUGUAAGCAGAAGAAAUUUUGGUGGGUAUUUUAGUCUUCUAACGAUUAUCAUGAUUAGGCCCUGGUCUUGAAACGUUGGUCAGAAAAAUUUUAAAAUGCGUUCAUUGUCUUUACUUUAAAAACGUUAUUUUAUUUUAUUUUAUUACAAAUUAAUGCCAACAAGAAAAAGCAAGAUCUAAUAUUCCACAAAAGGAAAUCGUAAUAUUCCAUAAAAGCAAAUAACCAGCUGGAUUCUUUUAUUGAACUACAAAUUAAAGUGGAAUCUUUUAUUAAACAACAAAUUAAAGUUCAAAUAUUUAAAUAGUAGUGCGUUAGACGAUUAGGCUCUCUUAUUAAAGGCAAGUAUAAAGUAGUCAAGAAUCGAACAUCUCUAUUGUCUAGUCUUUUUUUUUUAAUUCUUCUUUUAUUAUUUUUCAGAAUAGGUUUUGGUGAUUACUAUUGGGUUAUUAUUCAGAGUUAUUGUUAUCUUCCGGGGCAGUUUCUGUUAAUCGAAAUCGUUAAUUAAAAUUUUAGAACUCUUAUGGGAAGAAUGUUUUUCUGUUAUCUUUUUUAUAUUCUAAUUUCAACUGUAAGGAGUCGUUUUAGAAUUUGGGUCUGGAAUCGAAUUUCAAUGCAUGAAUUAAUAUUUUUAAAAAAAAUUACUACACGCAGUUUAGGUUACAAACUAUUUUUUGCAAAGUUGACUAUGAAAUUGGAGAAAUUAAGUAAUUUAUAAUGUUUGCAAAGGAAGAGACUAACAUACUUCCAAUUACACUAUCUCUCUAUUAUCAUAAUAUUAAGACUAAAGUAACUUUAAAUAAAUUUUAUUUGAAAAGUUAUAUCAAAUGCAGUCUAAUUUUAUUAACUUGAAGAGUUAAUAAUUAUAGAAAUUAUUGUUCUAACUUAAUUAGUACAAGUGGUAUAAAGGUUAAGUGUGCACUAAAUCUGUUUAAAUUUUUUCCAGAAUAACUAACAGAGGUCAUUACUAGAAUUAUAAUUACUAGUCUAUUAGAUAGAAAAAAUUAUUUAUAUUGUUUUAUAUUUAUUAAAAAAUUUUAAAGUCAAUCUUUUUAAUUACUAUUUAAAAAAUAUUAUAAUUAAAAAAAUUUAAUGUCUUUAUUAAAAAUUUAAAAAUUUACAUGACCGUUCUAUAAAUAUUUAAAGUGUAACUGUCAUUUUCUCAUAUAUAUAUAUAUAAAUCACGGUGGUGAAGCUUUAUUUAAUAUUAAUGAUUUAAAUAAUAAUAUCUCAAUUAAAAAUGUACAGAGAAUAAAUUUCGGUGGGUAUAUUAGUCUUUUACAAUUAUCAUGAUUAGCCCUUCCUCUUGUAACGUAGGUCAGAAAAGUUUUAAAAUGCCUUGAUUUCAAUUUCUGCUUUAUAUUUUUCCCCGUAUAAUGGGGAGAGGUCAUUACUAAAAUUUCUCUUCCACAGCAAUUACAGCAGCUUCAGUUAAUCAAACUCAAAUCAAUUUUCUUUCUUAACAAAAUUCCAAAGAUGUGUAGCAUUUUUCAGAUCACAUGCGAUGGUGCUCUUUUCAAUCGUUGCUUGGAUUGCUUUCUCGGAAAAGCAGCAUACAUAAGCAACCUCCAAGAUAAUCUUGAUGCCUUGGACACUGAACUGGGAAGACUAAUCGCAGCAAAGAACGAUGUGAUGAUGAGGGUUGUCAAUGCUGAACGGCAACAAAUGAGAAGGCUGGACGGAGUGCAAGUGUGGGUUUCGAGGGUGGAUGCUGUUAAAACUGGAGCCGAUGAAUUGAUGAGGCACAGCUCUCAAGAAAUUGACAAAUUAUGUGUUGGAGGCUACUGUUCCAAGAACUGCAGGUCAAGCUACAAGUUCGGAAAACAAGUGGCUAAAAAGCUACAAGAUGUGAAGACUUUAAUCGCCGAGGGAGUUUUUGAGGCGGUGGCCACUGAGGUGGUGCCCGAGAGAGCUCCGGAACCUGUAGCAGAUAAAAGACCCAUUGAGCCAACAAUAGUAGGCUUGCAAUCACAGCUUGAAGAAGUUUGGAGAUGUCUUGUAGAAGAAUCAGUGGGAAUCAUUGGCCUAUAUGGUAUGGGCGGUGUUGGUAAAACCACACUAUUGACCCAUAUCAACAAUAAAUUUCUUGAGAGUCCCACAAACUUUGAUUGUGUGAUUUGGGUCGUAGUUUCAAAAGACCUGCGACUUGAAAAAAUUCAAGAAGAUAUUGGGAAGAAGAUAGGUCUAUCUGAUGAUUCAUGGAAGAAUAAAAGUUUUGAAGAGAAAGCUGUGGACAUCCUGCUGAGAUUAGGAGAGAAGAGAUUUGUAUUGUUGUUAGAUGAUUUAUGGGAGCGGGUUGAUUUAACAAAAGUGGGCGUUCCACUUCCCAGCGCACAAAAUACUACCUCAAAAGUCGUAUUCACAACCCGUUCCAUUGGUGUUUGUGGCAGCAUGAGAGCUAGGCCGGUUAAAGUGGCAUGCCUAUCAGAAAAGCAAGCUUGGGAACUGUUCCGCGAAAAUGUUGGGGAAGAAACUCUUGAGAGUGAUCAUGAGAUCGUUGAGCUAGCCCAAACUGUGGCCAAAGAGUGUGGUGGUUUGCCACUCGCACUUAUUACUAUUGGUCGAGCUAUGGCCUACAGAAAGAAAGCGGAGCAGUGGAGACGUGCAAUUGAAGAGUUAAGAAGAUCAGCUUCAGAGUUUGCAGGUUUGGGAAAAGAGGUGUAUCCUCUUUUAAAGUUUAGCUAUGAUAGUUUGCAGAAUGAUACAAUUAGAUCUUGUUUCUUGUAUUGUUGUUUAUAUCCUGAAGAUUAUGGCAUUCUUAAAUGGGACUUAAUUGAUUGUUGGAUUGGUGAGGGAUUUUUGGGGGAAUCUGACAGGUUUGGUGCAGAAAACCAAGGAUAUGACAUUUUGGACACUCUUGUUCGUGCAUGUUUAUUAGAAGAGGUGGAAGAUGAUAAAGUAAAAAUGCAUGAUGUUAUUCGUGAUAUGGCUCUAUGGAUAGCUUGUGAAAUUGAGAAGGAGAAGAGAAACUUUUUGGUUUGUGCAGGUGCUGGAUUAAAAGAGGCACCGGAUGUUAAAGGAUGGGAAAAUGUGAGAAGAUUGUCAUUGAUGCAAAACCAAAUUAAAACUCUGUCAGAGGUUCCUACAUGCCCUCAUCUCCAUACUCUAUUUCUUGACUUUAAUAAGGAGUUGGAGAUGAUCGCGGAUGGCUUCUUCCAAUUUAUGCCUUCUCUCAAAGUUUUGAAGAUGUCAAACUGCUGGAAUUUUCAAUUACCUGUUGGGAUGUCAGAGUUGGGUUCAUCACUAGAACUUCUUGAUAUUUCACAUACCCGAAUACAAGAGUUACCAGAAGAGUUAAAGUUGUUGGUAAAUCUGAAAUGUUUGAAUUUGAGGGGUACAGGCCAGUUAAAUAAAAUUCCACGGCAACUAAUAUCAAAAUUUUCAAGGUUACUUGUGUUGAGAAUGUUGGGUACUGGCCAGUUCAAUUUUCAUGAAGCACCAGAAGACAGCAUUUUAUUUGGUGGGGGCGAAGUUUUGAUACAGGAAUUGCUCGGUUUGAAAUAUUUAGAGGUAUUGGAGUUGACCUUGGGAAGUUAUCAUGCUCUCCAAAUUCUUUUGAACUCAAAUAAGUUAAAAAGUUGUAUUCGAUCCCUUUACCUCGAGUUGUUCACAGAUACAACGUCGAUUAUUGAUGCUACGGCUUUCGCAGAUCUAAACCACCUCAAUAAAUUAUAUAUUUAUAAAGGUUUUGAGUUGGAAGAAAUGAAGAUUGAUUAUAUGGAGAUAGUACGAAAAAGGCGGGAACCUUUUGUUUUCCACGGCCUUCACCGUGUUACUAUGGUUUUAUGCCAUAAAUUGAAAGAUGUGACAUUCCUCGUUUUUGCUCCAAACCUCAAGUCUCUUUUGCUAGUCGAUUGCUAUGCUAUGGAAGAAAUAAUCAGCGUCGGAAAAAUUUCUGAGACUCCUGAGAUGAUGGGACAUAUAAGCCCUUUUGAAAAUCUCCAAAUGCUUGAUUUGUCACGUUUGCCACAUUUGAAGAGCAUCUUCUGGAACCCAUUGCCUUUCACUCAUCUGAAAGAAAUGGCGGUACUUAUGUGCGAUCAGCUUAGAAAGCUUCCACUCGAUUCCAACAGUGCAAAGGAGCGUAAAUUUGUUAUUCGUGGAUACACAGAGUGGUGGAACCGACUUCAAUGGGAGGAUGAAGCCACUCAAAUUGCUUUUCGUUCCUGUUUCCAACCUCGUCCCUGAGCGGUGGUCGCAAAUUUUGAUUUCUGGUGAGUGCGUUCGUCUUUUAAAAGAAGAAUUUAAAAGAAAUUUAUUCUUGUCGUUUUCUUCUCUGUUUUUAUUUCAGUUUGUUUCUCUCUCUCUCUCUCUCUCUGUUUGUCUUCCGUAAAUCACAAUUAAAUGUUGAAUUAAUGGAAUUAAUGCUUCAUAAAUUUGCCGGCACUGCCGUUACUUUACUUUUUGCUGUCAAAUUUUGCCCUUUUUAUUUUUUAACAAGUUGAUACUUUAUUUAUAUCUUCUUAGCGAUUUAAUUUCCUGUCAAAAGACGAACGAGAAGAACAUAUGACUUAAACCAAUGCUCGAAUAAACUUGCUGUAAAAAGAUAUAAUCUCACUGAAAUGCACACGCCUAGAAUGAAUAGAAUUAAAAUAGGGAAAAUAUUAAGUAUAUUAGCCCUCUUUACCGAAAAUCAAAUGACAAUAAAUUUUUUGAAGUUUUGAUUUUCUAUGGUCAAUUCCACCUUUUGCAAUUUCUUCUGUUCUAACAAAAACCAAUUUCUAUGUUCAAGCAUUUUCGUUUGGAUAUUAAUAAUUCUCCACCGAAAGAGUGAACUCUUGGAUGCUGCUGCUCAAGGGAUCUCUAAUCAAUAGCCCGAAGGGCGCCGAGACCUGACCGGACCUACGCCCAAGUUUGGUCUUAAAGCCUGGGCUUGAGCCUGGCAAUUAAAUUAAAACAUUAAUUGAUUUCUUGAUUGAAUUGUCGUGUAAUUGAUUUAUGGGGGAUGACACAUCAACAUACUUGAAAAUACACUAAUCUCAGCAUCAUCGGUUAGUAACUUUUAGAUUUAUGGGUAAUCAAUAGUUAAGAUUAGUUGUCAUUAAUACUAAAUAAUUUUUACUUUUUUUGUCUCUUCUAGAGGAUCUUCUAGAAAAAUGCAUCCACAAGUAAAUUUAAUACUUUACAUAAUAAACAAAGCCUAAAUGUUAAAUUUAAGAAACUGCAUUGCAUUUCAGUUGAAGCUGACUUUAAUAUUUAGGGUAGAAAAAUAAUUAAUUUUAUUUUUUGAAAUGUCCAUAUUCAGAGCAAAUUUCAAAAAGACUCAAUAAUUUCUCAUAAAUUUCAAUUAAAAAUAUUCAAUUUGUUGUUUCAGUUCUUUUAUUUUUUAUUUUUUCCAACAUGAAAGCGACUUAAUGUUACUAAAUUGGUUUUAUGGUCUUUGGAUUUUCAUGACCCAAUAAUUGGAACAAAACAAUUUUCUCAAGCGCUCUCCCGCAACAUUUUAUAAUUGAAGCCGCGGCCCCGCCCGUGGUUCCAAACUUUAUCUUUCUCCCGCUCUUUAAAUUAAUGCGAGCAGCCUCCGUCCUUGACUAGUUGACUGCUUUUGUUCUUUUUUAUUAAUUAAUUAAUUAAUUAAUUAAUUCAGCCGCCCCCCUUUCUUGUCCCAAUGUCUUCUACUUUCGGUUUCCUUUUAUUAUCUCUUUAUUUUUAAAAUAUGCUUAUAGUAAUAAUAAAAUAUAAAAAUUAAAAUUAAAAUUAACAUAUUAAAAUAUAAUUUAUCAGAAAAUUAAGAUAGAGAAAUAUUAUAAGCACAUCAAUCAAAAAGUGAAAAAAAAAAUUUUAAUUUGCAUUAAAUAUAAACUUUCAGUGUUAAUCAAUUUUCUAAAUAACUGAAAUUAUUUUAAAAUAAAAAUAAAUUAUUCUUCCAAGAAAAAAAAUUACACCCACUCACUGGACUGGCUGUCAAGAGUCGCUUUAGGACUGAAGUUGGUAACUUUUGCAAGCAGUCUGAACUUGAAUGGCAGCAACCCACGCUUUCAGAUUUAUGGUUAAUCAAUAGCUGAGAGUUGUUAUCGCUAAGUGCAUCCGUUGCUAAUGUUUUUAAUGUUUUUUUCUCUCUCCUACAGCAUCUUCUAGGAAAGUGCAUCCGUUGCUAAAAUUUAGUAUUGUAAAUAAUAAACCAAGAAUAAAUAUUAAAUCUAAGAAACUGUAUUGCAUUUAAUAUUUAAGGGAGAAAAAGAAUUAUAGUGUCUUUAUUAAUCAGUAAUGAGAAAAGACUAGAGUAAUAAUAAAUUGUAUUGCUAUUAAUGUGUUUAUUUUAUUUUGUACUCAAAAUGAAUUAUUUUAAAUUAUUGAAAUACCUUUAUUGUUAUUCUAAUUAUUAUUAUUAUUAUUAUUAUUCAAUAUUUAUUAUAAUAUUUUAUUAUUAUUAUUAUUAUUAUUCAAUAUUUAUUAUAAUAUUUUUCAUAUUACUAAAAAGUAAUAAUAAUAAUGAUAAUAUUGGAAUUGUUGUUUUUUUAUAUUAUUAUUAUUAUUAUUCAAAACACUUCUUGUCAGCUCAUUCAUACGUGAAGACCAAAACCAAAUCUCUUCUUCUCCUUCUUUUCUUAUAGUGCAGGAUGUGUGUGCUCGGACUUCUCUCUCAUUCUUUUUUCUUUUUAGAUUUUGAAAACCUAAAAAAAAGAGUGUAGGAGUUUUUAUUUUCUUAAAACAAGACUUUUUGAAUUAUCCAAUUGAGUUAAAUUCUGUGGCAACUGGUAUUUACAUUUCUUGUUUAUUUCGCAAGUUAUUAUUGCCUAAUGCUAUGUCAACUCUAACAUUCGCAAUUUUUUUUUUGGUCCUCUUUUAACACCAAACAUUAGUGUAGGUUAAGUAACAUAAUCAGUACUGGGACAAUUUGAAAUCCCUUUGUGGCAGUGACAAUGAGAUCUCAUUUUAACCGAUAAAGUCUUUUGACUCUGUCAACUCAAAAAAAUAGAUUCAAAUGUUUUGUAAUAAAUAAAAAUAUAAUAUUAAAAUAAAUGUGACAAUAUAUAUUUUAAAUAAUUUCAAUACAAAAAACAUUUGAAUGUUUUAUAAUUUAUUAGACAUAUUUUAUUAUAUUAAUAUAAAUUUUCUAAGAAAUAUGGACAUAAUAUUAAAAUAAAUUUAUGAAAAAUUUAAAUUAUUUUGAAUGUAAAAACAUUUUAAUGUUUUAUAAUUUAUUAGACAUAUUUUAUUAUAUUAAUAUAAAUUUUCUAAGAAAUAUGGACAUAAUAUUAAAAUAAAUUUAUGAAAAUUUAAAUCAUUUUGAAUGUAAAAUAAUUUUAAUGUUUUAUAAUUUAUUAGACAUAUUUUAUUAUAUUAAUAUAAAUUUUCUAAGAAAUAUGGACAUAAUAUUAAAAUAAAUUUAUGAAAAUUUAAAUUAUUUUGAAUGUAAAAUAAUAUUAAUAUUAUUAAUCCAUUAGGUAUUAAUUAUAAAAAUUAUUUAACCCAAAGAUUUUUUAUAUCCUUACAAUAAAUAUAAAUAUAUUAUUUACAUUUAAAAAUUUAAAAAUUUAAAAAUAUUUAAAUAAUAUUAAUCUACAAUUAUAUUUUCAUUUAUUAUAAAUAUUUAAAGUCAAAUCUUUUGCACUUCUAUUUUAUUACAAUUAUGGCGCACAAAGAAAGAGCCAUAUAUGAUUUAUAGCGUUAGAAAUUGGUUUAUUUUAAAGCUGGAAACAGAGAGGAUGAUUAGUAUAAGGAUAAAAGAAAAAGGGAUAAAGAAUAUUAAUGAUUAACAAAAUCUCUCUGCAAAUUGAUUGCAGUAGAAAAAAAGUGAGCUGAACAAUCUAGACAUUUAGUGGUAGAGUGAUAUUUCAUUUGUAGCAAAGUACAUCUCAAGGUUAAGGGAAAAGACUUAAGAUCUCGCUUUUGAUUAUAAUACUUUUUUUUAAAGAAAAAAAUUAAUUUUAAUAUUUUAUAAUAAAUAAAAAUAUAAUCUUAAAAUAAAUAUAAUAGUACAUAUUUUAAAAUAAUCUCAUUAUUUAAAAUUGUUUUAAUAUUUUGUAAUUUGCCAGAAAAAUUUUAUUAUUUUCAAGUAAAUUUUAUAAUAAAUACAAACACACUAUUAAGAUAAAUAUAUGAAAAAAUUAAAGUAUUUUGAAUAUUAUACAAAAUAAUUUUAAUAUUGUUAAUAGUGAGAUAAUUCUAUUAAUUUAAAAUGCUACUUAACCUUAAGAUUUAUUUAUGAUAAAUUAAUAAUUACAUUUUUAAAUUAUUUCAAAUAUUAAAAAUAUUUUAAUAUUACUUAUCUAUUAGAUAGACUAAAUUAUUUAAAUUAUUUUGUAUAAAUUAAUUACUAUUUAAAGGAUAUUAUGAUAAAAAGAUCUUAGUGUUUUUAUUAAAAAUUUAAAAUUUACAUGACUAUUUCUUUAAAUAUUUAGGGCAUAUAUGAACCACGGAGGAGAAAAGCUUUAUUUAAUAUUUUAGAAUAGUUUUUGAUCAGUACAAUUGGGUCCUUAUUCAGAAUUAUUGUUCUCUUCCGCAACAGUUUUUGUUUAUCAAAGUCAUCAAUUAAAAUUUUAGAAUUCUUAUCAUCAGAAGUAGUCGUUUUAGAAGUUGGGUCUUGGAUCAAAUUUCUACGAGUGCAUGAAUUAACAAUAAAAAAAUUUCAUUACACACGGUUUAAGCUACAAAACUACUAUUUGCACAGUUGACUAUAAAACUUACCUCCAAUUACACUAAACCUCUCUAUUUGGUAACGUUGAGACUAAAUUAAUUUUAUUAGCAUGAAAAGAUAAUAGAAAUAUAAUUAUAAAUACUAUUGUUGUUAAUCAAUUAGUACAUGUGAUAUAAAGGUUAAAUGUGCACUAUAUUUAAUAAUUAAUUAGUGGAGCAUGUUAAACAAAAUGUUAAUGUAUAUUUAUAUAGUGUUAGGAAUAUGCAAAGUCAAGUCCUCAAUUUGCAUUAUCCUGUAUAGAAUAUUACUCUAAAAAUGUUUUACUAUAAUUGGCUUAGAACAUUUGUAAAGAAAAUAAUAAUAAAAUAAUAAAUAACAUACACCGUCACAUAGCAUCUAGACAAUGAUAGAAAAUUAUUAAAGAGAGUGCAAACAAUUAAUUAGAGAUUUUUAUGAUGACUUUUAAUAUUCAUGAUAAUAACAAAUAAAUACAUGUAUCACUUUUUUAAAAUAUUAAAUUUGACGUGCUCCAUUAAUAAAUUAUUAUUGUAAUUCAGACUCUAUCUAUAUAUCCUUGCACUAAGAAUAAUUAAGGUGGCGUUUGUUUUUUUAACUUAAUGACUUAAAGUGACUUAACUUAAUUAAUUAAGUUAAUUAGAGGUGUUUGUUUUAUAACUUAAUGAGACUUUUUAGAUAAUUUUGACUUAAUAAAAUAAGCUAAUUUUUUUGACUUUUUACUUAAUGGAGAAAUCUGAAUUAAGUCAAUUACUUGCUAAUGUCAAAAAUAUCCUUGUUUUAUAAUUUAUUUUUCAUGUCUAUCCCAAAACUCACCCAUAGAUAUUUACCCCACAUAAAAAUAUCCCUGUUUUUUUCUUUCUUAUAUUAUAUACGAUAAAAUUUGAAAUUUAUAGUAUUUUAUAUAUUAAAAUUCUAAAAUAAUUAUGUAUUCACUUGAAUAUAGUUUUACUUAUAAAUGUUAAAAUAUGAUGGUAUUUAAUAUAUUAUUUAUUUGACAUUCAAAUUUAAUAAGGAUACAAAUGUAAAAGUACAUAUUUUCAGCUUUUUAAGUUGAAAAAAAACAACUUAAUACUUAUUUUCUGAGAUUCAGACGAAAAAAUAAACAUAUUAUUCAGAUUCAGACAUUCAGACCUAUUCAGAAUUCAAACUAAUUCAAAUCUAUUUAAAUUUUAGACAAAAAAAUAAACGCCACCUAAAUCAUAAUAAAAAUUUUCAUAACUACAUCUCGUUUCUUCCUCAUAAUAAUAAUUAGAUUGGUUCGAAUAUUAUAACAGAUUUAGUGUAUAGCCACAUCCAAUUUAAAUAUUGACCCAAUUGGGAUGGUCCCCAAAAAAAAAGAUUCGUUAAAGGAUAAUUCUAAUUAUUUUCACUUCUCAAACGUUAGUGGGACGUUUCUAUUAGCGCACUCGUAAGCCAAGUUGUCAAAUAUUUAUAUUAAACUACAAUUGCUGACAAGAAAAAUCAAGAUCGUGUUGCGCAAGUGGGUCCCGAAUAGGACGUGCCUAAAUCUCUCGUAAGCCAAGUUGUCAAAUGUUUAUAUUAAACUAACAAUUGCUGACUAGAAAAAUCAAGAUCGUAUUAAAAGUGGGUCCCGAAUAGAACGAGACUAAAUCUUUUUAAGAAUAUUAUCAUUUUAUUGAUAUACCAUGUCAGUAUUAAAAUUUAUUAAAAAAUAUAUUUUAUUAUUAAAAUUUUAUAUUGUUAUCAAUUCACUAUCAUAUUAUUUCGUUAAGAAAAAAUUAAUAUUUAACGAAAAUUGAGAUAAAAAUUAAUUUUUGUUCUCUGUCUUUAUUUAUUUAUUUAUUUAUUUGGAUCUUCUGCAAAUCACAAUCAAAUGUUGAAUUAUAAAUUUGCCGGCAUUCCUUUUUUUGUUUUUUUUGGGCCGGGGGUGGUGUUGAAUUGAUGCUCUGAUUUUUGACUUUUUGUUGUCAAAUUUUACUCUGUUUUUUCAAAUUGAUGCUAGAAUAUUUGAAUCAAAUUAAUGCUCUAGUAAAUUUGUCCAGUUGCCGUAAAAAGAUAUAAUUACACUGAAAUGCACACCUAUGGAAUGAAUAGAAUUAAACAGAGAAAACAUUAAGUAUAAUAGCUGUCUUCACAGAAAAUCAUAUGAAAAUAAAUUUUUGAAGUUUUUGUUUUUCCGUGGUCAAUCAUACCCUUUAUAAUUUCUUCUGUUCUAACUACAAUAAAAUUUUUGGUCCAAGGAUUUUUAUUAGGGGUAUUAAUAAGAGUCCACCAAAAGAGUGAACACUUGGAUGCUGCUUGAAGGGUCUCUAAUCAAUAGCUGGAAGCAAUUGAGAAGGCGGUUGCUACUGUGAAUUCAAAUGUAAAAUAUUUGCUAUUCUUCGAUUUGGUUCAUGAUUUCGUAUGAAUAUCGUUGUUCCGUUGAGUUGCAUGCGAAUUCAAAUGCAAAAUAUUCUUCGAUUUUCAAUUUUGAAAUCAAAUUUUUUUUCCUUCUCAAGCAUGUUAUGCAGAAACGAUUUUUACUAAAUCAUUUUUGACAAACUAUUUAAAUUAAACCACUGGAAUAAGAAUUGUAAGGAUUUAUCGUAAGCUUACUAAUACGAUAAUUCUGAAACUAUCACCUUUUUUUUUUUUUUUGAUUUGUUGCAGGGAAACCCAAAUUUUGUAUUUUGUCAGUUUCAUCUGAUAUGGAAUUUAUUUCCUCCCUAAAGAUUUAUCAAACUGCUUCUCUUCCGUGCUUCAAAUAUCUUUAUGCAAUUACGAUCUCAUAGGAAAAGAGAGUUUGGGUUGUAUUUAUUAUAGUAUUUAUUUUUUAUUUUUUGUUAAAAGAAAUUUAUUUUAAAAUAGUUUAUAGCAACAGUUUUUAUUGAACAAUAAUGAGGAAGGAUUAUUAUAGGUUCAAAUAGUUGUUAGAACAUUAUAAAAAAGUCCAUUUACUAUCAAAUGUUUUAAAUUGGUGCAACCUGAUAGUUGUCUCAUAUAAUUUUUUUAGGGUAAAAACUCGUUUAAUUCCUAUAUUUUAAGAUUAGUACUCAUUUAGUCCUUAUAUUUUUAAAAAUGUCUCAAAACAUUCAUACCCUUAAAUUAUUAACAUCUCUGCUGUUACUUUUUAUUUCUUUUGACUUAUUUUUACAAUAUUGCUCUCUUACAAUAAUGUUUCUUUUUAUAAAAUUAAUAAAAAAAAAUUAAAUUAUCAAUUUAACCCCAAAAAUAAAAUAAAAAUAAAAAGAAUAAAUAUUAAUUUUUGUGAAAGCUUACAUGUGUCCAAAAUAAAUUUUAUUGUAAAAAUAAUUAAAUUGCCUUUUUUUUGGACAUUAGUAAUAAAAAAAUUAAUAUAUUAAUUCCUCAGCAGUGUGUUACAAAAAGUAAAAUAUAUUAAUUUUGUUUUUAUUUUAGACAAUGAGAUAGAGAAAAGUACAAGAUAAAGGAAAGGACUUCAAAACUCACUGUUCAUCAUAAUGCCCUUUGUCUUUAAAAAAAAAAUCAUUCUAAUAUUUUAUAACACAUAAAAUAUAAUCCUAAGAUAAAUAUAAUAAUACAUAUUUUUAACUAAUCUCGAUAUUUAAAAUAUGUUUUAAUAUUUUAUAAUCUAUCAGACAUAUUUUAUUAUAUUAAAGUAAAAUUUAUAAUAAAUACAAACAUAUUAUUAAAAUAAAUAUAUAAAAAAUAUUUAUUUUUUAUAUGUUUACACUGAGGACUCUCUUUAAUUCAUUUAUUUUCUCUCUCUCCAAACAGGUACUGUCUUCAGAUAGCAAUGCUAUGAUAGUAAUCCAAUUCUCUUCUCCCCCACCUGAGCGAGAUUUGAAUUUGAAUCCCUUGUUUUUCACCCACUCUGUUUUUUUUCACGCAAGAUUUGACAAUUUGAGUUAAAAAAUAUGGUCCAAAACUUGAACACGUAUCUUUUAAUUGUAAUAAAAGUUCUUUAAGCUUUGGAGAUGGCAUAUAUAUGGCUGGAAGUGUCCUUUUCUUUGACCUAGAGGCAGCACCAAGCUAUCCAGCAUCAUCAUUUUUCAAGUGGGUCUUAAAUGCCUAGAAACGUUGGUGUUUCUUGAUUUAAAGAUGACACAUGCUAUAAGUGUGAAUGGUUUGGCUAAGCCUAAAUUUAAAGUCUACUCAAGUCGCAUUCAGGAUCAUGGAAAUUGGAAAGGGAGAGAUGAUAGCAAGAUUUAUAAUAAACAAUUAACUUGGGUCCUCAGUGUACAAAGCAAAUGCCACGCAAGCGAUAGCCGGCCCGGCCCAGAAAACCCAGUGGCCAUCCCAGAGAUGGCCUCCUCUAACGAGUGCUGGGCCCAAACAUCUUGCCGGGUUGAACCCAGCUCCGGCAUAGCCCUUUUGAGCAGUAACAGUUGUCGAGACAAAAACCAGAAGACCCAACACUGUUCCAAUGACAAUGCAUACGGUAACUCUGCCAAGAGCCUUGGCUUGUCUGGAGUCAAAAGCCAUCCACACAGAAGCAAAAAGGAACACAAACGAGCAAAUUAUCUCAAGCCAAAGGGCCUGCCUAGUCCCCAAGCCGAUCUCAAUAGGCCCAUCUGGCCCAGGUACCACAACAUUCAGGCUGCAGCCUCCAAGUUGUCAAAUAUUUAUAUUAAACUACAAUUGCUGACUAGAAAAAUCAAGAUCGUAUUACAAGUGGGUCCCGAAUUGGACGUGCCUAAAUCUUUUUAUAAUUUUCCCAGUGUAGCGGACACAGGUCAUUACUAAAUUUCUCUUCCACACGCCACAGCAGCUUCGGUUAAUCAAACUCAAUCAAUUUUCUUGGCUUCUCCGCUUAUCAAUAUUACAAGGUAUGGGUAGCAUUUUUCAAAUCACAUGCGCUGGUACUAUUUUCAAUCGUUGCUUAGAUUGCUUUCUUGGAAAAGCAGCAUACAUAAGUAACCUCCAAUUUAAUCUCGUUGCCUUGGAGACUGAACUAAGGAAACUAAUCGCAGCAAAGAACGAUGUGAUGACGGCGGUUGUCAAUGCUGAACGGCAACAAAUGAGAAGGCUGGACCAAGUGCAAGUGUGGGUUUCGAGGGCGGAUGCUGUUAAAACUGUUGAAAAAUUAUGUCUUAGAGGGUUCUGUUCCAGGAACUGCACGUCAAGCUACAAGUUCGGAAAACAAGUGGCUAAAAAGCUACGAGCUGUGGAGACUUUAAUCGCCGAAGGAGUUUUUGAGGCGGUGGCUACGGAGGUGGUGCCUGAGAGAGCUCCAGAGCCUGUAGCAGAUGAAAGACCUACCGGGCGAACAGUAGUAGGCUUGCAAUCACAACUUGAACAAGUCUGGAGAUGUCUUGCAGAAGAAUCAGCGGGAAUCAUUGGCCUAUAUGGUAUGGGCGGUGUUGGUAAAACUACACUAUUGACCCAUAUCAACAAUAAAUUUCUCGAGAGUCCAACCAACUUGAUUGUGUGAUUUGGGUAGUAGUUUCAAAAGACAUGCGACUUGAAAAAAUUCAAGAAGAUAUUGGGAAAAAGAUAGGUUUGGUUAGUGAUUCAUGGAAGAGUAGAAGUGUAGAGGAGAAAGCUCUCGACAUCUUCCGGAGUUUAAGAGAGAAGAGAAUUGUAUUGCUGUUAGAU
rnacentral:lncRNA from 1 species